rnacentral:lncRNA from 1 species
UGAUUCAGUGGUGUCUGGAAGUGGCAUGACUUCUCAAUAUGCUGAAGACAACAGUCAAAGAAAAGCAGAUGAAAGCUCAAAACAGGUAGUUCAUUUCUCUCCAUCUCAGAAUGACUCCAGCCUCCCUCAUAAAGAGAAUGAAGAAUACAAAUUGGCAUCUGGUGUCAAGAGUGUCUCAGAAGGUGCCCAGUCAGGUGACAGUCAGUCGCUGUCCCAUGGUAAAAAUGAAGGAGAAGUUGAAGAAGGAAUGAUUGUUGAUGAUGCUACCAAGGUCCGAGAGCCUGAAGCAUAUGAUCAUGGUGAUGAAGACUUUGAUUAUGAGCAGGGGGAUGGGGACAAUUAUAACGUAGAUGAAGGAGAAAAUGGAGAUGCUGAAGAAGAAUAUCUGGAUGAUGAGGAUGGUGAUGAUGGUGAUGAUGACGACUUUGCCAAAAAGAUGGGUGUAAUGUACUAGCACCAAAGCAACGGGAGAUUUUUCUGUACUCUCUUGCUGCUGUUGGUUCAUUUAAUAGUGCAAAGCUUGAUGAGCUUGUUUAGAUUGGCUCUGAAAACAAUUGGCAAAUUUAGCUGCUCUACUGAUUUUGUGUUUAGAAGUAGAGUAAUUAAGGUUUUUUCCCCCUUUGUACCGAUCAGAAGCUUUGUGUAUUUAAGCUAUUGACUGGAUGGAAAAUUUUCAUCCUGCUUGUGGUCUUCAGCAUCCUUAGUUUUAUUAUUACAAUAGAGGUUCAUGACUGUAACAUUAGAUGGUUUAAUAAGGAAAAAGUUUUGAUGACUUGUUUGUGUGGACUUUCGCACUUUCUUGCGUAACUAUUUUGUAUGGUACUUUUAUGGACGAGGAGAGUUCUACUUAUUUUUCACCUUAGAAUCUAGAUUGAUAUCAUUCUCACUGCGGUUACAGAACUCUGCUUUUGCUAAAUCAUCCAAAACUCAUCUGAUUUCAGUUUAACAAUUCGGAAUACUGUAUGGAAAACUAAAAAGGAAAUAUUGGUUGAGUUCAAGAUGAUUAAAAGAAAAUACUAUGAAUUGCUGCAUCCAGCAAAACCAUCUGAUUCAGGAUUACUGCUUGCUAGUGGAAGUGUGGAACAGAGCUCCAAUGCUUGGCUUAAGCUCAACCAAGGGAAAGCAAUCAAGCUGCAUGCUUUAUCCCAAGAAAUUACUCUGGUUGUAUAAUUUUUUAUCUAGCCCCUUGCUAUCUUUGCCUUAACGUAAAAUACCUCCAUCUUUGAUGCUGUAAGUUAUCCUCCUUAAUAACAUAGUUUCUCUAACUUAUGACUCUGAAAUUGGAGACGGAAGAAGACGGGGAAUGACAAAAAUAUUAGCAUUUUCGUGGUGCUUAGCUUUAUGUCAAUGCUUUGAUUACAUGUGAUCCCACCAAAAGCAGGGAUGAUUUGAAGUUCACUUCUUCUGAAGUGUGGUGGUGUGGGAUAGGUUGGGUAAGAAAUUUUUUAAAAUUUUAAAAAAUAUCCCAAUAAAAUAUUAAAUUUUGAAAACACCUCGAUAUACAUUUACAAUGAUAAAUUUUUUAUAUACAAUACAACAGUGUAAUAUUUUAAAAAUAUUCCCAAAAAUACUUACCAUACAAUCUCAAAUUCAACUUACCAAAACAUUAAAAAAAAUAAAAUAAAAAUAAAAAUCUAACUCCCUAAUUUUCUUCUAUCUAUUACCAUCACACGCUACCACCACCCAUCGCCACCAGUACCAUUCCCCUCCUUUUUCCUCUAUCGCCACCAAACCCCCUUUCCCCUUCCUGUUCCUCUCUCUCCUUCUUCUUUCUCUCUCCUCCUUUCUCCCCUUCAUCUUCCUCCCUCCUCUUCUUCUCCUCCCCUACCAACGCAUCCUUUUCCUUCCCCGGCUGCCAUGAGGGUUUGUUAAUAGGCUGGUGAGUCCAAGACGGCAUCGUGAUGGGAUUUGCCUAAGCUGAUGAAUAUGAGCCAUAUGGAGAAGUUUGAUUCUUUUGACCGUUAAGAGAUCAAGGACCCUACCGCCCAAGACCCAAAUUGAAGUCAAAACUAUUUAAGGAGCCCGAUUUGCUAUUGGAUUUUCCGUAGUUUGAAUUCAUCUUCCUUCUCUAAAUGUGAAUUAUGUUUUGGAAAUUUGGGUAAAUCAAACCAAAUACAAAUCAAAAAAACAAACACUAAAUGUAGAUGAUCUGAAAUUAUAAAUCAAACAAUGAACUAAAAGAAAAGAAAGAAAGAAAGAAGGGAUCUCGAAUGGGUUCAAUAUAUACUUGAAGGAAUUAAAAUUGGAAUUGAAACUGAUAUUUAUAGAAAGAUGCAAGAAAACGUUGGACCGUGUAGGGCUGAAGGGAGAGGUUUGGUGGGAGAAGAGAGGAAGGGAGAGGAAGGAAGAUGAAAGGGAGGGAGGAGGAGAGAGGAAGAAGAAAGAGAUGAAGGAAGGAGAAGGAGGGAGAAAAGAAGGGAUUGGUGGCGGUGCUAGUGUGGGAUAGGUCAGGGAAGAAAUUUUUAAAAAUUUUUCAAAAUUCUACAAUAAAAUAUUAAAUUUUAAAAACACCCCAAUAUACCACCUACAGUGAUUAGUGUUAUUAAUUGUGUUGAGUCGAGUCGAGUCGAAUAUUUGAUUAUUGAACUUGAUUCGUGCUUAGUUCGAGUCAGGUUCAAACUCGUUCAACUAAGCAGACAAGCCUUGAAAUGUACUCGAACACUGUAGACACCAAAAUUUUGUCAAUUUUUAAUAUUUUCUUCGAUUUUUUUUAAUUUAAUGAGUUAUUUAUUUUCUUGCAUUUUCAUGUGUGUUUUUCUCAUUUUGCAGGUUUGUUUUAGGACAAAAAAAAAAACAACAAAACAAAGCAAAAUAGCAACAAAAAGGAAAAAAAGAGAAAAUUGUUAUGAAACAACUAAAAUGUGGAUGUCCCUUUGUAUUUCCAAGAGGAUUAAUUCUUGAUUUAUGGCUACAUUAUGUAUAGAAGUUACAAACCAUAAAUCUAUUCAUGUAGUGGAGAAACCGUUUCAAGGUUUCUUCGUAUUCUUGUAGUAGUGGGUGUUUAAUAGGAUUAAUGUACCUUUAAUCUUAUAGUACCUAUAUAUAGAGGUACAUCGACACCCUUUGUAAGGACUUUUUGAUUAGUUGGAAUAUAAGAUAAUCACUCUCUAUUUCUCUACUUCUUUCUCUAAUAUCUCCAAUAUUUCACUUGAUAUUAUAGUGGUUUAUGUUAUUAGUUUUACAACACGUUAUCAGCACGAGUCUCUACUUUUGAUUAAAAGGUGAAAACGGAGUUUUUACCUUGAGCAAAAGUGAAAUACGAGAUUCUGCCCAUGUUUGUUUUUUCGCCAACAUCUGUUUAUUUAUUGAGGUAAAUUUCUAACCUAUAAAUUUAUUUCAAUUUCUUAUGGCUAACAUUUGAAUGAUAAAAAAAAUACAAGUGUCUAUUGCUGAGCAACCACUAAAUACAAACAUAUACUGUUUGACAUCUUUGAUAUAAUAUUUCUCCUUUUAAUUCUACUUAUUUAUCUUUAGAAUUAUUUGUUAUAAAUACUUAUAUUCUGAUGCAAUGAAUUUUGGAGAUGCUAUUAUAGAAAAUCAAUUGUGUUUGAGAAUUCACUUGUCCUUUGAAAUAUUUAAAGAAAAAGAUUCGAUCACUUGAAGAUGGUCGUUCUUUAAUAAAAAGAUUUGGCCACCAGAAGAUGGUUAUUAUUUCAAAAGCCUGGUAUGAUAAAUUUACCUAUGACUACAAGAACAUAAUUAUGCAAUUUUUAGAAUUACUUCUCAGUUGAAAUUGUGUCGAAAAAAUUUCACUCAUAAGAUAUAUUGAAAAUGAUCCUUUCCACAAUUGAUUUCUCGAAUAUGCUCCUGUAGUAGCAAUAUUAAGAGAAAUUUUGAGAAGUAUUUUGUACUUAUUGCAUGCUAAUUCUAGUCCAUUCCCAGAAGUGAAUGUGAUUAAAUUUCAAUUUAUUAGUUAUGGUUGGUUGUUGCCAUGACUAUGAUUUUGGUAAAUAUAUAUUUUACCAUUAAAGAGAAAAAGUUGCCAAUUUCAAUUUAUUAGUUAUGGUUGGUUGUUGCCAUGACUAUGAUUUUGGUAAAUAUAUAUUUUAUCAUUAAAAGAGAAAAAGUUGCCACUUGAAGUGGGAUAAUAAUGAUAAGGACAAGAAAAUAAGUGUCCUGAAGACAAAUGUCCCGAAGUACAUUUGAUAAAUAAAAAUUAUAAUAGCAUUUUCACAUGGCCAAUUUCUUUAAACACUCUGAAGGUGUAUGAUAAUUGAUUUAAUUAACUUUUCUUCCUGAAGAAGAAUUGCAUGUUAAAUAUUUGGGAUCAAAGGAUUAUGGUGAUGAUAUUUGUCCCAUAAGAAUUAUGGUGAUAAUGAUCUGUGUUUCAUUAAUAAGUGCUACUAUAUACACUAUAUUCCAAUAAAAGAGACAAACACAAUCAGUGGUAGUGUUUAAGUGAUUGAAAGCUCCAGAAGAGCCACUGAUAUAUUUCUCCUUGUAGGAGAAAAGUUAAUGAUAAAUAAAGCACUACUUUUUACGAUGUCUCGAAAAAUUUAUUAAAUUUGAAUAUCCGUCAAAAUGGAUAUCAAAUUGAGACACUAAAUGAGAGAGAUCAUGUUUAGAAAUCAAAUGAGAUAAAUGUUGAUUAUAUCAUAAUAAUCAUUUGAGAGAGAAAUGAUUAUCGAUAUAAUUGUUUUCAUUCUCAUUUGAUUUAUAAUCAUCACCUGCAGUAAACCAGAAGUUUACUGAUCCCAACGGAUAUAUGAUUUGACAAAAGUGAAAAUAUUUGAGAGCCGACAAAUAUUUUUACAUACCCCUUUAUAUUAUAUAUGGCUCCAAAAAAAAUUUAAAAUUUAUGUCGGGUAUGAAUUAGUUUUUACGAUUAAAUAUCGUAAAAUAUUGACAAGUGAUCUAUUAAAUGAUUUAUUUAUUCUGAUGAACUACGAUUCCCGACAUUAGGGGGAGAAAAAAAUCAACCGAAAGGAAAUCAUCUAAAAAAUUAAAUUUCCUCGAUCCUCAAUAAUGUGAACUAGAAGUUCAAAAAAUUCUUCAUUUGUUGAAAGUUACAAAUCAAUUGUCAGAUAUAUUUAUCGACUCCAGAAGAGUCAUUAAAUCAACUAUUCCUGCAGGAAAUACUCUAGCUAAGAAUGAUGUCCCUGAAGGACAUGUACAAGUGCUACAAAUAAAUUUAAGACCGGCUUACCUAAAUAAGGUAUAACUUGAUUUCAAAUAUCUCUGGAGAUUAAAUAAAUGUAUGACAAAAUUCAACCUCUUAAAGAGGUCACUCCUGAAGAGCCAACUCCUGAAAAGAAUGAAAUCAUAGAAAAUUUAAUUGGAGUCUAAUGAAAUGUAACACUUGAUAUUAUAGAAGUUAAUGAGGAUCAUGAAUCUAAAUCAAUUGAUGAAUGUCGGUAUAGAAAUGAUUGGCCAAAAUGGAAAGAUGUGAUCCAAUCUGAAUUAGGCUCAUUGGUUAAAAGAAAAGUUUUGGACUUGUAGUCCAAACACCUGAAGGUGUAAAGCCAGUAGGAUAUAAAUGGGUAUUUGUGCUAAAGAGAAAUGAGAAAAAGAAUUGUGAGACUUGUAGCCCAAGAAUUUUCACAAAGGUCUGGAUUUGAUUAUGAUGAAACGUAUUCACCUGUAGUGGAUGCUAUCACAUUUAGAUAUCUUAUAAGUUUUGCAGUACAUGAAAAAUUAGAUAUGCGUCUAAUGGAUGUCGUUAUUGCAUAUUUAUAUGGAAAUCUUGAAAAUGAUAUUUAUAUGAGAAUUCCCGAAGGAUUCAACAUGCCUGAAGCAUGCAAAUCAAAUUCUAAAGAUAUUUAUUCUAUUAAAUUACAAAAGUCUUUGUAUGGCCUCAAACAAUCUGGAUGUAUGUGGUAUAACCGCCUCAAUGAAUGUUUAACUAAAGAAAGUUAUACCAAUGAUCCAAUAUGUCCAUGUGUUUUUAUCAAGAAAAAUGGAUCAAAUUUUGUGAUAAUUGCGGUAUAUGUUGAUGAUCUAAAUUUAAUUGGAAUUCUUGAAGAGAUUUAAAAUAAUGUUGAAUAUUUGAAGAAGGAUUGAGAUCAAGAAUUUUGGAAAAACAAAAUUCUACCUUGAUUUACAAAUUGAGCAUUUGAAAAGUGAAAUUUUUGUCUACCAAACUGCUUAUACUCAGAAGGUAUUAAAGCGAUUUUAUAUGGAUAAAGCACAUAUAUUAAGUACUCCAAUGGUCGUCAGAUCAUUAGAUCCUUAUAAGGAUCCUUUUAGACUGCGAGAGGAAAAUGAAGAGAUGCUUGCCUGAAGUACCAUAUCUCAGUGCAAUUGGUGAAGAAUAUUUGGAAUGCGACGAUUAAAAUAUCUCAAAUGAUAUUUGCAUCAGGGGAGAAAUUAAUAUACAAGAAUAGUGUACUCUUUUUCCUUCACUAGAAUUUUGUCCCAAUAGGUUUUUCCCUAGUAAGAUUUUAACGAGGCAUAUUCUUUGUGUAAUGGACAUCCAAGGGGAGUGUUAUGAAACAACUAAAAUGUGGAUGUCCCUUUGUAUUCUCAAGAGAAUUAAUUCUUGAUUUAUGGCUACAUUAUGUAUAGAAGUUACAAUCCAUAAAUCUAUUCAUGUAGUGGAUAAACCGUUUCAUAGGUUUCUUCAUAUUCUUGUAGUAGUGGGUGUUUAAUAGGAUUAAUGUACCUUUAAUCUUGUAGUACCUAUAUAUAGAGGUACAUCGACACCCUUUGUGAGGACCUUUUGAUUAGUUGGAAUAUAAGAUAAUCACUCUCUAUUUCUCUAUUUCUUUAUUUAAUAUCUCCAAUAGUUCACUUGAUAUUAUAGUGGUUUAUUUUAUUAGUUUUACAACAAAAAUCAAGAAAUCAAAUCAUCCUAAUCAUUUUUCUCCACCAAAUACACUUAAGCCAUUUUUACACUCAAUGGCCAUGCUUCUUUCUUUUCAUUAGGUGGGAAGACCAUCCCUUGGAGAAGCAAGGAAACCAACUCCCCACCAAUUAAUACUUCUCUCGGCUCUCUCACACGAGAGGACCAUCAGACAAGCAAAGAAAAAAAAACCAACUCCACUUUCCCUCACUCUCUCACUCUCGGUCUCUCCCAAAACACUCCAUCAGAGAAGCAAAACAAAAACAGAAAACACUCCAACUCUCACAUCCCUCUCGGCUCUCUCCCUCGACAGACGAAAGCCACAGACGAAAAAGGGGAAGCUUGGGAGCUUGCUGCUAGUGCCAUUACCACCACCACUGCCAUAAUAAUCUCCAUUGUAAGUCUCUCCUUUUAUUUUUUGCUUUGAUUCCAACGAGAGAAGUGAAAAUUGGAGUGAGACAAGAUCACCGAAGAUUCUUCUUGCGUAGUCUAUGCAAAAGUUGAAAUCAAUGAUUUAUGGUUAGGAAUUUUAUCAGUAUGUAUUGAUGAGUUAGGGAGGUACCAUAUUUGCAGUAGAUUAAAUUUACCCGAAACCAUGUGUAAGAAAUUCAGGGAAACUUGACUUGGCUGGGAAAAUUUUUACGAGGACAAGGUGUGAAUUAAAUGAUGGUGCAGUCCUCUUGAAAUGCCAGAAUAUUAUUGGGUGUCUGCUGUAUGCAGUGCUGAACCCUCAUUAUAUACUCUUAUAACGUUUUAUAUGUAAUUGUUUCUCUAUUUUGUAAUGUGAAAUGCUUGUCAUGGUGUGUGUAUAUAUAUUUACAAAAAAAAAAAAAAAACUUACAUUAGACUACUAUGUUAUAUUGUUUGCUGUUUUUUCUAAGAUUAUAGGUUGCAUUUCUGUAAGUAGUGCUGAGCCCUCGUUAUAUACUUUAUUUUGCUUCGUCUUAAAAUGCUUGUCAUGGUUCAUAAAUGAAAAUAAAUAAAUCCCAAAUUUCAUAUUUGUACCCUUGACACAAUAUUCAGUUUAAAAAAAAAAAUUUCAAGUUCUGUUUCUCCAAUAACUAAUGUUACAAACCAUUUUUGUAUUUUAGUUCUUUACCUUUUUCAAAACUCUGAAUUCAAUUAAACCAUCUUUCAAUUUUGGCUCUUUUAAAAUUCUAAAAUACUAGAAGAGAGCUUAUAUAUACAAAUAUACAUACUCCUCUCUCUAGCUUUCUAAUGUCCUUGGGGCCUACUUGCUUGUUUAAUAAAAGGGCCACGGGGGGAACUCAAUAUUUUUAACCUUCAACGAUUUGAAAGAUCAGGGGAAGAAGAUCAUACAACUCGAAAGUUUAUCAAUCGUACCAACAAAUUAAUCUACAAAGACCUCCAACCAAUCUAAUGUCAAGUUCUGCAAAUCCAUCCCGAAGGAGAGAGAAUAUUCCCACUUCGGAAAGAGCCCCGUUUUUCUAAUCCACGAAAUGAAUGAAUUCCAAGAAAAGAUCUGCACCUACAGAGAUUGCUUCGGUCAAGGAUACUAACAUUGAGGCUUACCACCUGCAAAGAAAAGAAUCUACUAUUGCCAGCAUGCACCAUUUUCUGCUACCUCAUUCUAUUCUACCAUGGACGAAUUAUUCAUCAGGAAGAAUUCUGUUUCAUUUGCUGCAGGCCCUUGGAAUCAAAUUCUGUUAUUGAUGAUCCAAGAACGUCUAAGAGGGGCUUUAGCUGAGUAUCUACCACUGGAAAAAUCUCACAUCAUGGCGAGGUUCCAGUACAAGGGCACCGUACCGAAACACAUCACAUCCCAAUAUUUUUCCGCUACACCUUCUCUACUUUGAUUAUUGAUACGUUAUCUUGGUCAAAACUUGGUAGAAUCGACUUUCAAAAAUCUAGUGACUUAGAUUGUGCAACACCAUUUAGUGAGAUGGUGUGCUAUAAUCUAGACCAUUGUAUUUCUGACAAUUAGAUCUAUUUCAAGUGUGAGCCAAAGCACAAAAGUUACGCUCCUUAACUUAGUAGCAGCAUACUAGCAUCUAUAUGCUAUACGAUAAAAGUAGAUAAUUAUUCAAAAUCCCAGCAUUUUCAGCUUAGUGACAUCAGGAGUCUUAACCUCAGACGACCAUGCACUACUCUCUACGACAAAGGAAAUCCUUCAGAAUUUGGUACAUCUCUGUAUUCAGAACAAAUGAGGGAGUGUUUGGAUAGCAAAAUAUCUUAAAUAAUAUUUCGCUUGUAUCAUAAACACAUUUUUCAACCUACCUUUUUAUAUUUCCAAUCACUUUUUUAUCUCACAUACAUCACAUCACAAAAAGUGCUACAGUAAUUAUUCCAAAUAAUAUUUCAAAUAAUACUCUAUCCAAAAUUGGUCUUUGUUAAUGGGAUCGAUGAACUCAAAAGAUUUCAGCCUAAUGAAUAAAUUGUAUUCAUAAUAUUAUAACUGUUUGGCCCUUAAAAAGGGUGGCCUUUACUGAAAAAAAAAAAAGAAAAAACAAUGUGACCUUUAUUUAGUUCUUUGAGCCCCAAUGGGUUAAUCUUAACUUAAUUAACUUAUAAUUAAUUUACUUAUUAUUUGGUUGAGUGAAUGUGUUGUCUAAACCAUGACUCUUAGAUUAGGCUUGACGGACAAAUAAUAGAUUUCAACCUUUAGAUAAAUUUCAAUUAAACUCUAAUUACAAUUUCGCUAUUGUUACCUACAAUAACAUUUCUUGCACAUUGCUACUCUUGCCAUUGCACAUCGGUUUUUUCCUUUUGCCUUUUAUUCAUGCCAAGUCAAAUAAAUCUAGCCCUUAUGUUUAUGGGUGUUCAUUGGCCAAUAAUCGGGGAUUUCGUAAAAAAAAUUUUGGUAAUUCAAAAAUUGAUUUUUUAAGACCAAUAUCCGAUCACUGUCUAGACCUUAGUUUGAUAAAUUGGAUCAAAGAACCGAUAAUUCGGUAAUAUCCGAAAUAUCGAUAGUGAGUUAAAAUAUUUUAGUUUUCUCUAAAAAAUUGUUAUAACAAAAUAAUAUCUUAUAUGUUUUUCCAAUAAAAUUCAAUCAACUCAAACAAAUAUGAUAUGAAAAAAACAAGGUUCAUAAUUCUAAGUCAUAACUCAUAAUUUCAACUCUUAAACAACAUUGAAAUAUAUAAGAACUUCAAAUUUAAUUAUUAAGCAAAACUUCAAUGUAUCAACUUCCAUUAAAAUUUUACGUCGAAUUACAGUUAUAGUUAAGUUAACUAAUUAGUAUUUAGCGAUAGGAUUAAGAUUUACUCUAAUAUUUAGUAGGAUACAUAAGUGGGCAUGUAUUCUACUUUGACUCCUUAUUGAUUUUAUGUGAAAGAAUGGUUUAUUGAAUUGUUCUUGAAAUUUUAAGGGCAUGAAUAACUUAAGACUGAAUUCUGCUAGUCUAACUAUUAUAUAAAAACUUAAAACUACAUUCACCAAGAAGUACCACGUGAAUAACUUAAACUAAUUUGGCAUUCUUUGAUUGGUUUGUUGUUUGGGAUAAUUUCAAAAACCUCUCAUGAGGUUUUUAACAAUUUUAUUUAGCUCAUUUAAGAUUUUAAAAAUUAUACAUGCCCCUCUUGUCAUUUAAAAUAACAAUACUAUCCUUAAAUAUUUUAAUGAAAAUUUCCUGUUUGGUAUGUUAAUAUUUAGAAUAACUUUUAAAAUUAUUUUUAAUUCUUUUAUUCUUUUUAUUCCUUUUUUAAUUUUUUUUUCAAUAAAACUGUAGAACUACCACUAUCACUUCUAGAUUUUAUUGUAACCAAAUAUCAAACUAAAGAUUUUGUUUUUUGAUGAAUUAACUUUAUAUGCAAUCCAAUGUUUUUGCUGAUAUUUGUUUUCCAUUUUUUGAUAUUAAAAUUAACAAUAAAUCAAAAGGAAAUGACCCAAAAUCACAACUAAAUUAUAAUAAUCCCAUUACUUGAAAAAUUUAUAAAGUCUAAAUGAAUUAUUUCAAUAUUUUCUUUUCUAUCUUAUAAAUUUAAAUUUAUAAUAAAAUACCAUAAAAAAUAUUCUAUCAUAGUGAUAAAAUUUUAUUAUAGUUAUUUAUAAUAGUAAGUAUGUAUAUGAAAAUUUUGGCACAUUUUCUUAUAAUUAUAUUAAAUAAUCUUAUAAUUGUAUGGGAAAGUAAAUUAAAACUCAUUAAAUAAGAGCAUUUUUGGGUAUUUAUUUAAAAAUUUGACCAAGUCAAUUUUAUUUUAAGGUUUUGUUACUAACACUAUCAAAUCAAAGUAGGUAGUGUAAUUUUUCAAAUUUCAGGAGAGUUCAGUGAAAUUGUAGAAAUCUCCAGGAAGGUUUUUGAAAUUAUCCACUGUUGUUUUAACACUAACUUCACUAACAAUUGUCAUCUGCAAUUGAUUGCUUGGUGGGACAUGUGUCUUUGGUAUAUGUUUAACCAUGGGGGUUGUUUUAGUAAUAUGAGUGCUUGGUUCAAAUUAGUGAUGCAUGUGGUACAAAUACAUACAGCUUUUGGUAAUUUCCUGUUAACACAUUUAACCCUUACAUUAAUUUACAAAAAAGUUGAGUUUGUGAGUAUUGAAAUCAAGAUUGAAUUAUGCUCUGGUAAUGGCUAUCUCACUCUUACAAUAUUGGUGAAAGGUUUAAUUGUCAGCAUUCUUCCGUUUGGGUCUUCUUGAUUUUUUUCGAUUUUAAAUUCUGUUGGUGUUUUUUAGUCUUUCGUAUGUAUUAGAAGGCUAUGUAAAGGACUCAUUGCAAUGUACUUCUUGCAAGCAUACUGUCUGGUUUCAAUUUAGGUUGGUUCCAUCUUUAAUUUUGCUUUCAAAGAUCACAAGGAAUUUGAUGAUUUUGAUUAAAUGUUAGCUAUUAGGAAUUCAAUAGUUUGUCGUUUCUUGUUAAUGCAUUUUUAGUUUAAUUCCUUAUAGCCAAAAUCUAAACCUUUUCUUUCAUGGGAUAUUUGUGGAAAUAGUUGUAGAACUUUUUAGAGCAGAGAUUCAUCAGGAAAUUUGCUGAGACAGGUAUGUCCGACAGCUUUGCCUUUUAAUUUUCCACUUUUCACUUUUAUAGAUGUUUAAUUGUAUUGGAUUUUAGUUUUGGUUAUAGUAAUGUUGUUGUUUAUUGUUUACUCUCUCCAAGAGUUUUUUCCCCUCUGUCGUGUUGUCUAUUGUAUCGGAUUUCAGUUUUGCCACCAAUAAUGUUGUUAUUCUUUGUGGAUUUGCUAUAAGAGUUUUUCCCUUCUGACAUGUGCCUGUGGCUAAGUAUAGUGCAGUAGUUAAGUAUACUUUAUCUCUUGAUUAUCUUUUUUUUUCCCUCUUGUUGCACUUUUGCUAUAAGAGAUGUUGGACUGGCCAACUGGUUUAGUAUAUGUGAUUUUGCCAUAUUUGGAUUCGGUGUUUGUGAAAUAGCUUUGAUUAGAGAAUUCCAACCCGCUCAGUAUCUACUUAAGUAGUGGCAGGAGAUCUGAUGCCUUUAUAUAUUAAUCCACUUCCAUGUUAUUACGUAUAAAUUUUGAUAAAUAGCUUAUGAUAUUUUUUUGUUAAUUAUCAUUCCUACGAUAAUAUAUUGGUCCACCUAAUGUGCCAUGCCAAUAUACCGUUAUCUUAGAUUUAAUCAAUUUUCUAACUUACAAAUCUCAAUGAUGUAAAAGAAUAUUUCCUGACAGCAAGACUAAAAUUUAUAAUUUCUAAUGAGUAAUUAAUUUUCAUGAAUAAUUACCAAUCAAUCUAUGCACUUGUUACUUUGAUCACGUGCACUUGAGGACAGACAAUUGUUUCCCUUCAAAUAGUAUGAAAUUAUAGAAAAUACGUGCCUUAUAAUUUUGUAGUCAUUUUUGUGACGCCCCCACUUCUCCCUAAGGCGAACCAAAGAGUAUCCGCGGGACACCUGCCCACCUCUCGCCAGGACUCGGUACAAUUCCCGUUCAAAUUUAAUACAAUAAUAACUAAUAUGACAAGACAAAGUAAAAAAGUGUGGAUGCUUCCAUAUAUAAUAUCCGGUCUGACACCACAAGUGCAAAAUACAUCAAUUUUUCAAAAUAUACAACUGUCAAAAGAUGCUUAGUCGAUUACAUUUGAAACCUUAAUACAAAAGUACAUCCCAAGGGUUUUUCCGAGUUUCACUCCACAUCUGUUCCUGUUAAGGAAAACAAAUCUAUAGGGUGAGCGAUUACUUGUGAAGCCAAGAACACACAUGCAAGCACGUUGUCCAAGUAACAAUCUUAUUUAACAAGUAAAACAAUAAUAUUCAAGUAAAUAACAAUUCGGGCGAGAAAAGUAAACAGAAACAAUUCAAGGAUACAAGAGCUCUCAGGGGCUAUUUUCCACUUGCACGAUCAUGAACCUCCACGAGUUGACACUCUGUCAAUCGGGUAGGUUAUUGUCUAUAGAACUUCACUUACUCGUUCCCCGUUCACCGUUACUCCCCUGCUCCGGGCCUGCACGUUUUUUUGUUAUAGGCGAUACUGCUCGAGUAUGCUAAACAAGAUCUCCCCACUAGAUCGAGCUUAUACACGCUUCUCAUGGCUCACCAAACUUCUCGACCAAACCCAUGCCGGCUCGAGUCGCAAGGUCGGCCGAUGAGAUUUGGGCGUCCCCCACUAGUAUCACUAGGAGUCGAGAAGAUUCACUCCAAUCGACUUAUGCAACCAUAGCAUAAUUAAUCACUGAACACUUCACUUAAUUCACUUAACAAGUCAUUUCAAGCAAUUCACUUCAAGUAAUUCAAGUACACUUCAUGCAAAUAUUCACUUCAAGUAAUUCAUGUACACUUCACGUAAAUAUUCACUUCAAGUAUUUCAUGUCAAGUAAUUCAAGUACACUUCAUUUAAAUGAGAACGAGUGCGGUAAAGUACACACUCGACUCAGCAUUUUUAAAAUUUUUAAUCACUAAUAACGAUUAAACACGUAACAAGUUCACAUACACUUGACACUCACCAAAUAAUAUGAGUAAAGCACAAUCGGAUGUCUAGGCAUCUCCUGUGAGAUCCUCUUGAAGGUCUCCUUGAGCGCCUGAGCAAACAAUAAUUAACUAUCACUCACUAUCACUUAUAAAUCCUUUCUUAACAAGAGAGGGAUUGUGAUGAGAACAUGGAGAUUGUCCAAGCAAAUCGAUUUAGUUAAUUAGUCCAAGUUGUGUCAUUUAUUUGGUGGUAUUAAGCAAGGGUUUGUUUGUCAUUUACCUUGUCAAAUUGAGUUAUUUAUUAGAUAUUAAAAUUCGGCCAGACUUGUCUUAGUUAGCCGAAUUAAUUAGUUAUUAGUUUAGUAAAUAAGUGAAUCCAAUUCACUUUAGGGUUUCUAGUUUAAGUGAAUCCAAUUCACUCUAGGGUUACUAGUUUAAGUGAAUCCAAUUCACUUUAGGAUUUCUAGUUUAAGUGAAUCCAAUUCACUUUAGAUCUUCAAGUUGUAUGGCUAUAUAUAGCCCAAGGUGGAGACCUUCAAAAUCAGUUUUUGAAUCAAUAAAAUUGUGAGUUUUCACUUUUCUCUUUCCAAGAGAGAUUCUUUGAAUAUUUGAGAAUCUUUUUCAAAUUAUUCAAGUGAACUUAUCAAUCAAGUAACUCCUUGGUUGUGGCGUUCCUCUACUUACAGUUUGGUUCACUAAUUCGUUAAGUAGCGGGUUGAAAUAGUAUCAAUAGUGUUCGCUACUUCGAGGAUUAGAUUUGGGUCAAAUUUUCGCUGCCAAACCGUUGGUGUAAGUUGUCUAGAUCGUGUCAAGUGAGUAUCACAUCAAAUUGUACACUUGUACAAUCUAAAAAAAUACCAUGAAAUGGAGCUUUACUUGCUCAAAAUUCAAGGUUCAAAAGUGGUAUUUAAUAACACAAGAAAAACUGAUUUCCUUCAUGAAAAUAAGUCCAAAAUGGUCAAUUAGUAUUGAAGGAUAGGGAAGAGUCUCCAAAACUCAAUUCACGUCAAGUUUGAAAAUUUCAGUUUUAAGGAGUAAUAUUUGAAAAAUCAUAUCUUACAAUCUGUAGGUCCAAAAUUGGAAAACUUGGUACCGUUGGAAACUAGUUCUGAAGUACUAAAAUUUCCUAUAAGACACUUUUCCAUGAUUCUAAAUGGAAUAUACUCAAAUUUCAGCUUAAAUUUGCUGAUUUGCACUUCCAAGACAGAUUCGGGGUUAGUUUUUGGCGAAAUUUGGAAAUUCGGAAAAAUUCAUAAAAUAUGAACUAGCCUCUCAAAUUUGAAACUCAAUUAUAGUUACAAUCAAGGUUUAAAACACAACAAACGGAACAAGAAUCGGAGUUUUGAGCGCCAAGAUAUAGCAGCUCAAAGUUGAUUCAAAAUGGGGACUGUUAGGCAAUUUUUCAGAUUUGAAACAUAAACUUUGGGACUUCAGUUGGGUAUCGAAAUGGACUUGGAAUGACACCAAAUUUUGGUAUGAUUAUACUACCAUAUGAGGGCUACUCCUCUAUCAAAUUUCAUGCAAAAAUUCAUACGGAAAGUCAGUUAACAAGACCACUAAAAUUUCAGGAAUUUCCAAGGCAAAUCUGCCUUAUGCUUCCAUUUUCUUUUUUCGAACAUUCGGCCAAUGAAAUAAUCUCAAAUAUAGUUCAUGUAUGAAAAAAAAGGUCUAAGAAACAUCUAAUACACAUUUAGUAGGUGAUUGACACCAAAAGUUUCAAAAUAACAAGUCCCAAUUCGAGCUAAGCCAUUCGGCUAGCCAAAACUAGGGUUUUCGAUCACUGGCGCAGUUCUGUAAUUCAACCACAACUUACUCAAUUCAACUUGGAAUUGAGCAUGGUUGGUGGCGUUGGAAACUACAUUCACAGGGUUACAAUUCAUUAGAAGAAAGCAUUUUUGAAAUUCAUUCAUAGCUAGCUCAAAUUUCAAGCAACAAGUCCUAGCACUUCAUUGACUCUCUAGCAUAGCAGUAAAACAAGACAGGUAACUUUGAAGAACUGGUACGGCUCACUCAGUUUGAAUCAGGAAUAAAUUUUAUACCAUUAGAAAAUUGGAAGUAUCUAGUUUCAAAUGCCACAAACGUCACUCGAUUUUAAUGUCGGAGCCAAAAAGUUGUGUUCAUUUAAAGGUCGCUGCCAGAGUACCUCUGUACACGUUUUCCAGGUUUGAACAUGUUUCGAAAAUGCAAAUUUACCCAACCAAAUCAAGUGAUUUUUGGUGGAAACUUUUCACACAACAUAUUUAAAUCAAAAUCAAGGUCAUUUGAUCACAAAAAAAUCAAACCAAGGGCUUCAGCAAGAAUAGGGCAGAUUCAGCCCUUUCUCAUGCAAGCUUUCCUUUGAUUUUCUUUCCACUUUUCAACUUAUACCACUAGUUUAGCACUUAAUCAACAUAAAUAACAUCCAAAAUCAUCAUAUCAGUCUAACAUGUCCAUUGUGGGAUUUCAUAGAGCCCACUCAAGUGAUUUUUGACCAACCAAAAUUACCUACAUGAAGCUACAAGCUUCCAAAUCCAAUCUAACUCACAAAAAUCAAGUUUAGAAGGUUAGAUGGUUACCGCCUCUUGUUGAUGAUAAAGUAGAAAUUUUCGGUCACUAGGUGCUCCAAAAACUGGCUGGAUGAAGCUCCUCACCUAGCUAGAGUUGUUCUUCUAGCAUUAUGGAAGUUGUGUGCAAAAUUUGAGGUGAAAUGGUGCAAGAUUUGAGUGAGAUGAUGAAGGGUUUUGGUCUCCUUCUUGGCUUGAGGAUUUCAGCAGUUGAGAGGGUGAGAGAGAGUGAAAAUCUGAUAGUGAAGCUUCUUGGAGAAGCUUGUGGUUGGUGGCCUUUUUGGCACAAAAGUCAACUCUCACUAGCUCGCGUAUGCGCGCGUUUCGUGCCCGUUUCCUCUCGGAUUUGUUUCACUUGUGCACUAAACCUCUAAUGUACUUCCUUUAUCACUAUUAUUAUUCAUCUUAAUAGUCUAAAAAUAAAUUCCAAAACCCCUCAAUUAGACAUGCGCACAAAAACAAGAACUUCCGACUUGUGCGCGUGAAGUACAAUUUCUAAGAAAUUCUUAUAACGAUAGUAUAACUAACUAAUACUAAGGUAAUUAAUCAUAAAAAUAACUAUUUUAGAAAUAAAAACACGAGCCUCACACAAGUCUAGUAUUAAUUGUGACGACCUCACUUCCCCCUAAGGCGAACCAAAGGUUAGCGGGCCGUCUGCCUAGCUCUCGCCAGGACUCACGCAGGCACACUAUCCAAAUCCUUCCGGAGAUCAACCUAAGCUAUUAAUAGAGAUUCUUCCAACAUAAAUCGGUUUCUAACACCACAUUAACUUCAAAGAUACCAGUAGAUUUAAAUAGCCAAUCGACGGCUCUUAAACGUCUCACGGUUACAUCCAAGGAAUAAGGUCGUACAAUUCUAAAUACAUAUAAAAUUCAUACAAACCAGAUAUCGAAGUAGGGUUUACACAUUUCCAGCUUCAUGUGGCAAUCCAAGACCAAAAGUACGUAGUUCAAAUUUUAGCACAAAACAACCCACAAAAUAAGCCAUACUAUCCAAUUACAUUCCAAAAAGAAACAUAGGUAAGUUUCGAGGCUUUCAGUUUCCAGAACCUGCCAAGGAAAACAAAUAAACGUGGGGGUGAGCUAAAGCUCAGUAGUGCCCCAAAACAUGCAGUCACGUAAAUCAACAGCGAGUAAUAGCUUAAUCAAAUUGACAGUUAGAACAUUAGAAAGCGUAUAACAGCACAAGGUAGGAUACAGGGGCUCUCAGGAGCCAUUUCUCCACGAGCUUGAUCAAAAUUUUCCGUAGUCGACCCUCCGUCAACUUUCACUACCUAAGGUCCAUGUAGAUUUUUUUUUUAUUUUCCUUAACUCCGGCCACCAAUCAUACCCCAGCUUCGGGCCGCACGACAAAAUAAAUGAGAGCGGUAGUACUCGAGUAUACCUGGAACUGGUCGAGGGAUUUCCCCAACGACGUUGCGUCUAGCAAGAGAUUAGUAUAGACUGGUCGAGGGAUUCACCAACGACGUUGCGUCUAGCAAGAGAUUAGUAUAAGCAGGAUAUUCACGAAAACAUUUCAAGCAAGUCACCACUCGAACGGCUAAUGUGGUAAAGUACACAUAGCUCACUUCGAUGGAUCAAAACCAUAUUUCCAAAUAUCACAUAUCAAGCCGAGAAAGCGCAUUAAUCAGGUAAGCAUAGAACAAGCAGGGACACUCACCAAGAGUAAAGUUCAAAGGUCAAGCCGGGAAUCGUAGUCCAAGUCCUCGCUAAAUCCUAGAAAUCCAAGUUUUAAGAACUAUAAGUUUUACUAAGCAAACUCUUGACUUCAAACAUAUAAAAGAUUAUCUUGUAUUAAACUAGUUUAUUUCCCUGAAACAAAUCAAUAAAUUUCUUAAACAUCAAGACUAGUAAGGAAUAAAGUGUUUCAUGUGGUUUCUUUAAAGAUAUUUCCUUUCAAGGGUGCAAACUAGAACCAAAGUGGUUCAGAUGGGUUUCCCUUGCCGAAUAAGUUUUCUAUGCCUUUUAUUUGAAAUUACUUAAAUCUAGUAUUUUUUUUCCAAAUUCCUUUAAAACAACUAGUCAAGAAUAGUUUUAAGAAAACUUAAAGUUUAAGAGUUGGAUACAAAUACUCUCUAAAGGUAAUAAGGCUAGUUUAAGCAAAAUAAAAGAAUUAACUAGUCGGCAAGGUUUUGAAAGUCCCAAUAUCUAACUUCUAAUAAUACUACACUAAACUCGAAUUCUAUCCCUUAUAUUAAAGCGGAAUAUUUCCACAAAUUUGAUUUAAAGAUACUUGAAUUCAAAAGACUAGAACGGACUUCACGAUUCCAAUUCAUUUGCACAUUAUAUUCCAAGUCACCAAUAUAGCAAAAACACAAUUCGAACAUCAAUUUCACUAGGGCUUCAUCAAUCAUUAGCCCUAGGUCUCAACAGAUUCAAUUCUAAUCAAAAUCAACCAGAGGAAGUCCAAAGUAUUAAAACAAUUCCAACUCACAAAUCGUGGACCUUCAAAUUGCAUUUCAACCAAUCACUUGAACAAAUUCACCAAAAAUUAAAUUAUUGCAAAACUACUCAAAUGGUCAAGAGCUUCAUCAAUCAUUAGCUCUUGACAACCAAUUCUCAUUCAAACACCAAUCCAUUCAAAACAAGAAUAAAACUACAGCCAACUUGGCUCCCGAGUAGUUCUGAAAUUCAGAUUUUAUUUUCUUGAUCCGGUAGUCAAGAAAAUCCCAGCAAAAUUUCAAUCCAAGAUGUCCAUUAAACCCUCAACUUUUACUUGCUAGAUUCACUAAACAUAUAGCUUAUAAUCUGACCAACCCAAACUAAAGCAAAUAAUACACAAAGCCAGAGAAUGAUCUCAUUCAACAACCUCAAUUAAUUCGGCCAGCUUGCAAGUCAAAUUUCCAACAAUAGGGUAGAUUAUUUAUAGAGCUUUUGUUCCUAGUUUCCUUCAAUUUUUACUACAACUCAGCAAGCAAAGGGUGAUUAGCAAGCUACAAGCAAAUCUUAAGCAUCCAAUAUGAGAGUCUUAAUUAAAAUUCAAAGAAAAACUAACCAAAUGCUCAACUUCCUUCUCUCGACCAAACUGGAAAUUUUCCAGCAUCUAUGCUACAACAUUUUUGAUCCAAUCUUCUAACAUAUCAAAUGUGUCAUAGCUAAACCACUUACACGGCUCAAGUACACAUCUUUUCAUUCAUUUUUGACCCAUUUUCUUCCAAGGAAAAAAAAAUUCCAGAAACAAGUUAAGGUCUCCAACCCAAGUUUCUCGGCCACUAGCAAAAUUUUCCCAGCAGCUUAAUUGAUCAUCAACCCACUUUUACUUGGCUAAAUCAGUGUUUUACGUACUCAAAUUCAACAUGCAAUCACUUAGUUAGCUAAUUAAUAUCUCUAGUUCAAAAAAUCAGAUUCGAAUAACGACUUCAAACAUCCCAAAAAUCCAAAAAUCUGUCCGGCUAGCCACGGAUGAACAUGCAUGUAAGCUGGUUUCAUUUUAUUUUAUUUCUCUUGCUUAGCCGGACUAAUAAAAUUCAUGCAAAGCUUAAUCAUCUAAUAUUUAGCUAGCUAAACACACAACCAACAGAGUCAAAUACUUUUCUAGUAAAUUUCAUGCUACAAUAUCCAUACAAUUCCCAAAACAACUCCAUCGGCUAAGCUGGAAAAUUGAUUAAGCAGUCCAGCAACUUCUAAUAAAAAUUUCCAGCCAUGCAACCGAAAUUCAAGCCAUAUAGUUCACAUGCAAUAUCAAAUAAAGAACUAUCUAUCAAAUUGGAUCCAAACUUAAGCUCAGAUCAUCACAAUUUAGCAAGUUAAAACCGAAACUUCCAGCUCAAGCUCUCGGCAGCUUCACUUCCUUCUCAAACAGAUUUUCCUAUGAUUUAAGCUAUCAUCUAACCACACAAUCCCACAUGCAUGCUUAUAGUCAGCUUCAUCAACCAUAAACAACUCAUCUAAGUUCAGAAAUUACCUUAGCUUGAAGCCUAAAACACACGACUAGCAGCUGCAACAAUCCUCCACUCUCGGCUGUCCAGAAAUUUAGCCCGCUAGCUCUUCCUCUCCCUUGCUCAAGCUCGUCACUAGGAUGAAGAAGGUUUGGUUCAAACUCUUCACCAACUCACGGAUGAAAGGAAGAAGGAGUAGCAGGUCGCACCUUUUCUUAGCUCACGGCAGAAUGGAAAGGAAAUGAGAGGCUCGGCUCACUCUCUCCCGGUCGAUAAUUCCAAGGUUGCUCCCUCACAGCUCACGGUCGAUACUCACGAGGUAAGGUGGAGUGUGUUUGGCCGAAUGGAAAUGUUAUAUUGUAGAAGAUUGGAAAAAUGAUAUAAGUAAGUGGAAUUGGGAUAGUGGAGAAAGGAACCGACAUAGCAGCUGGUGGAAUGGUGGAGCGGAUAUGACGGAAAGGGAACCGGCUGGAAACUAGAAGUGUUUGGAAUGUUCCCUGGCUGCAUGGAUAAUUUUGAAUUGGAGGAGGGCUAUUUUGGUCUUUUCACAUUUCAUCCGUAGUUCCACUUACGUCCUCAAUCCUAAUCAAAUUCCAAAGUUUACCCCAAGUGUAAAUCGAAUGCCUACUAGUAAGCUAUCCUUGCAAAGUUCAAUUGUUGAAAUACGUCAUCCUAAACGUAAUUGUAAAAGUUUUGACUUAAAACGAUUUCAUCUUAAUUCUAGUUUUCCCUUAACACCUGUCGUUAUUAAUACUUAAAAUUAACUUAUCGAAACUCAAGGAAUUAAAUAAAAACAAUGGCACACUCAACGUCAAGAAUUAUUAAUUUAGCUUGGCAGGAAUUCAAAUAAUCUAAUGUUUUGCACAAUUGAAUUAUUUGUAAUCUAUAAUAAAUUAUUUUGCACACUUAUUUAAGAUCAAAUAAUAAUAAAGUUUAUUAAAAAUCUAAAAUGCACAUAAAAUUUAUUUCUACGCACUUAUUUAAAAACAAUUAGAUUUACUGCUAAAAUUUAUUAAAGAAUUAAAAAUGCAAAUGAAAUACGCACUAAUAUUUAUAUAUAUAUAUAUAUAUUUUUUCAGGGUUCUCACAUUAAUUUCUCAAAUCACCAAUUAAUUUGUACCAGCGCGUCAUUCGAAAAAUUUUCGACGUGCGGGCGGUAUAAACUUAAUUUGGACUCAUUCACCUCUACUUCCUCAAUUAACUUUUCUAAAUCUACUAUUAAUCAUUCUUAAUUCUCCAAAAUUAUUACACUCUCGAUUCAAUUAUUGCCUCGAAGAACGUAAACUCGUUAUUUCUCACUUAAACGAACCUUCAAAAAAUUAAAUUUGCUAACGAAAUAUUUUAAAACAUAGGGGAGACAUCGUUCCAUACAAAUGGAUUUAAAAUGGUUGAAAUAAAUUAUUCAGAGAAAACAGGUGAAUAAAUAUUUAAAUAAACUAGUAAUAUUCGAUAAAAUAAGAAAAUUUUCGGGUCCUCACAAUUUUCACUUUUACACGUUGUUGGUCCUCCUCAAUUUCUUAAAAACACUUAUUUGCUCCCUUCAUAUUGAUAAUUUUGUAAAGUUCUAUUACAUUAGACCCCUAACAUUUACAAAAUUCACAUAUAUAUAUAUAUAUAUAUAUAUCUCUUCCUUCAAAUUUCUAAAAUGCUAUCCCAAUGUGAAAUACUACGUACUUCACUUUAUAAAAUAAAAAAAAUCAUCUUUAUUAGUUUAAGCAUAAGUACGAUGUUAAUUAUAACUCUAAAAUAACAAUUUUUAUAUAAGGGAUAUGCAAUUGGUAUAUAUGUUUUUCUCGUUAUGUUCUUUACUUUACUUGGUUUGUUACUCAUCAUUGAACCGUGAUUUAUUCCUCGUCUAUUAGAAAUAUAACUAAAAGUUUAAGAACACAGCUCAUUGCAUAACCAAUUCCAAAACUGCAAAUGCAUCAUUCUUCGGUGGGCCAAUACGUACAGCCAGUCCAUGCUAGUUUACCAAGACACAAAGAGAUUCCAGCUCUUCCCGUCAUUAGCUAGAAAACUGCUUAACGGCCAUUAAUUAAGGAAAACACUACUUAUUUGUUGUCUUCUCGUAUUCAAUCCCAUUUAAUCGAAAAAAAAGUCUCUUUCAUGAGAAGGCUUGCAAACCACAAGGAAAUAGAUAGGUGAAGGUGAAGUGGAUGAUUGGUCAACAAGAUCAUUUAAUAUUGGCACGAAAAAUAUGCGCAUACACAAAAUGGAAGCAAUUUUAGCACACAUAAAAACACGUAGGAAGAGGAGAAGAAAUAAACUAACAAUCAAACCUCAAUAAUUAUAUUAAACCAAAUCUCAAAAGCAACAAAAGACAAGCCGGAGACCCUUUCACUCAUGUGCUCAUGGCUCUCACAAUUCUCAUUAGGCUCUUACCAAUUUCUUGGAGCCGUCCCUCCUCCAGUGUUAAGAUGCUAGCAGUAGUGCUAUAUAUAUAGACCAACCAAGGGAGUAAUCAACUAAAAUCGACUAGGAGUUGGACUAAUACUUGACUCAUUACUAUUCGGACUUGGACUCAAUUACGGAAACUAUACCUUAUCAAAACUAGGCACUGAAAACAGAAACUAAAAGUGUGACAGCCCACCUUCCCCUAGAGCGUACCCUAAGAGAUAGCGAACUGCCUGCCCAUCUCUCGUCAAGACAACUAAGUCAAUCACACACAAGCUAAAACAUUCUGAAUGAUAGUAUGGCACUUAAACGUUUCGACGACCACAAAUAAUGAAGAACGAAAACGAAAAUGAAAUGGAACAGUGACUAACACGUCACAAUCCGGCUGAUAUCUGGCCGGAUACCCGGCCGGAUUGGAGGCAAUAGCUCAACUCAAUUUUUUUCAAAAUCCCCAGCAAAUCCGGCCAGAUAUCCAGCCAAGAACUGGCUAGAUACUCUGCCGGAUUCAGUAAACAGUUACCCGCCAAAUUUUUCUGCUUUCUCGUUCAACUCCCGCACUCGUCUGAAAUCCAACCAAGUGCAAGUAAACUGUAUCUAAUACUAGAGAAUGUACAUUUCCAAGAAAAUACAGCAUAUGUCAUGAGUAAACACUUUUAUAUACACAUGUUGGUAAGAUUACAAAUCAAAAGGAAUCAUUGAAUUGAGAUACAUUUAGGAUUUUCAACUGUCGAGGAGCUAUACAAAAGAACAAAAGAAUAUCUAACUAGCUCAACUCGUGUCUCAAAAUCAUGAUUUCCAAAAGUAGUUUCUAUAAGGAAAAUAAAGAUAACGAGGGUGAACUUACGCCUAAUGAGGUACCAAUAAUUCACACAACCAAGAUUCACAGGUACAUACAUACUCAGUUAUACAUGGCCAUCAAACACAAAAAAGUACACCAUAAUGAAACCAGAAGUAAAAGGAUACAGUCGACUCUCAAGAGUCAAUUCCCUAUUUGCAGUACUUGAUCUCAACUCGUUGACACUCCAUUAACGUUCGAAGAAAUGAACAAGACCGUAGAUCCCACUUUACACCAAAUACCUUCUACCAAACAUUUCCCUUACAGGGCCCGAACACCUCACAGAAACAGAGAGGGCAAUACUCGAGUAUACCACAAGGUCGAGGAGAUAACACUCUACUCGACUAAUAGUAAAUCCAUGGUUCGUUAUCUAAUCGAUCAGAUCCUUGUCGGCUCGACCCGAUUAACGACCAAUGAGGUUUGAGCUCAGAUAUCACAGUAAAGUCGUUAGACACAGUCCCAAACGAUAUCAAACCAUGCACAGGUAAUGAAUUCACAGGUAUACAGUAUAUAGUCACACAGAUAAGAGAAUGAGAGUGAUAAAGUAUACUCUUGUCUCAUGCACAGAGUUCACAGUCAUUCAGUCCAAAGAUUCAAGGUCAAAUAACCAUUUAAAUAUUAAAUCAUGCAAUGGUACAGUCACCAGUUUAAGUAAACAAGUUCACAAGUUUCCUUCCGACGUAUGCCUCGGAUAACUGGCACGUCCUAUAAACAAGCAAGAAACAACAAUUGAGACUCAAACACGAGUCGUAUACCUAUUCAAUGAACUACUAAUGCAAGACCAAAUAUAGCUUGGAAGGGAAAAUAAAUAACAUUUAGUGAUAGAAACAUAAACAAGCCCAAAACCUUUCAUUUCUACCCAAUCUCAAUCUAAACUCAAAGGAACCCAAUAUCCUCAAACUUUGGACAGCAUUUCCCCUUAAAUUUCACAUUUUCCAUCGUACAAACAACCAUUUACAUUCAUCCAAAACAACCACAAGUACACAUACAAAUCAUAGGCUAUUCAACACACCUCAUUAGGGUUACAAUACCCUUCAAUCUUAGCCAAUCAAAAGUUCAACAACCAACCAUAGUAAAGCCCUAAAUAGAAACCCUAAAACUGAAAUUUUGCUCUACAAACUGAAAUUUUCCGCAAACAAGCACAACUAACAUAUAAAAGCUCCAUUUUACACCAUAUCAAGCUAUCAUUCCAUGGCUAACCAACAAUUAUCAUAUAAGGAUAGAAAAAUCGCCAAUAAAAUCUGAAAUUUAUUAUUUAGCUCUACCUCAAACCAUGAAAUCUUCCACAAAAUAGCAUAUUUAGCCACUAAAAACCACUAAUUUACCAUUAUUAAGAAUAAAGAGGGAAUUUCUUGACAAAAUACCUUAGAACCACAAGAGAUAAGGUAGCUUAGUGCUUUUUCUUCACUAAUCACUCCACCAAUACCUUUAAUCUUCCUUAGCAAUUCACUUUUAUGGAUAAAUUUGAGAUUUUAGUGGUUGGAUUUCAAGAUGUAAGCAAGAAAUGGAAAACAAAAGUUGAAGGUUUCUCUCUUCUCUCCUCUUAAGAAGCUUGGCCAAGAAGGAAGAAAAUGGAGAUGAUUUUGGGUCAAAAUUAGUUUUGGAAAAGUAAGAAAGAUUUGGUCAAAGUCCACCUUCGAAUAGUAACGUGACACGUGGCACCUCUAAUGUUUAUCUUAUCCUCUUAUCUCCCAAUACUAAUUAAUCUAACUAACCUCUAAUUAUUUCCUAACACCUAGUAAAAUAAUGUCCCUUAAUACAAAACUUACCCUAAUUGUCCAAAUUUAUUGCACAAAAUGCACUAGCGAAUCCCACGUCUAAUAUACACUACUAUUGUCUUAGGAACUAACUUAUACUAGAAAAAUGAUUUAAAAACUAAAUUCACUCAUAAAAAUAUCUAGAAAAUUAAUAUAAUAAAGAAAAUACCGAAAAUGUGUGCAAAGAAAUAAAAAUAAUGCCUAAAAUUAAGAAAAAUUUUCGGGUUCUCACAAAAAGGAUUAGGAAACUAAAUAAUAAAAUUGCUUGAUUUAAUUUCCUUCAUGUAAGCAUAAAUCAUGAAGAAGCGAGAGAUGAUGAUGAUGACAGAAGCCACACGGAAGAAGGAAAGAAUGAAAGAUCAAGGCUCUGGUGGAUUUGCUUUUCUCUUUGUCGAGUAGCUGAUGUAAUGAACAAAGACCUUUAAAAGUUAAAAGGGUUAAUAUCAGAAACCUCCCCUGAGGUUUCUUCUAAUCACAUCUAGUAACCCCCAUGUUUUUGAAAUCACACUUAGCACCCCUGGCAGUAGGAUGUGACAGGUUGUCCUAAUCAAAAGGUGAGAAAUUACCCAAAAACCACCAACACCAGGCAAAUUUUUAAGUGGGAAAAUGCUGGAAAAAAAAUAAUGAAUAAGAAAAAUUAUUGGAAACCAGAAAAUAACAAAAAUGCCAUUGUUUUGGCGCACAAUUUGAGCGCCAUUUUCUGCAUAUAUAACCAUGAUAACCAUAAAAACGGGCUUUCACAAAAACUAUUGCCACCACUACGUAGGAAGGCACCAGGAAGACCAAAGAAAAACAGAAAAAGAGGACCUGAUGAAGAACAUGCAUCAGUUCAUACACAAAGGUCAACCACAUUAAAAUGCUCUAAGUGUGGUUUAUUUGGCCACAACAAAAGAACAUGCAAAAGAGAACCAGGAACCUCUACAAGGACCAAUACUAGUUCUACUCACAGGGUAAUGCUUUUAGAAAUUGAAGUUUCUACUUUUAAUCAUCGCAACAAUAUGCAUAGUGCAAUGAUAUGCAUACAUUUGGAAUGGUUAUUGGUACUUUGACCCACUUGUGCAUCUCCUUGCAAGCUGCAAUGGAUAUGUAAUUUUAUCUAUAUGACUAAUACUAAUUUGCCUAUAAACACCUUACACGCGGGUGAUUUAUGAGGUACAAUCAAUUUACAAAUAUGUACACUAUGUUAGAUCUUAGUUACUUGAUUAUUUAUAUCUAUAAAAGGUAGUGUAAUGGUACGCAUAAUUUGGAAUGGUUAUUUAGCCCUUUGAUCAAUUUAUGUUAGAUCUUGUCAUAUGCACUACCUUUUAUAGUAGAUGUGUAAUUUUGCUUGUAUGAGUAAUCCCUUGCUUGUUUAUGAGUACUUUACAAGGGGUGAUGUAUGAGGUACAAUCAGUUUACAAAAAUUACAUUAUGUUAGAUGUUAGUUACUUGACUGUGUAUAUCUAUAAAAGGUAGUGCAUGUAUACGCAUAAAUUUCGAAUGGUUAUUUAGCCCUUUGAUCAAUUUGUGCAUCUCCCUAUAGUAGAUGUGUAAUUUUACUUGUAUGAGUAGUUCUUGCUUAUUUGUGAGUACUUUACACAGGGUGAUUUAUGAGGUACAAUCAAUUUACAAAAAUAUACAUCACGUUAGGUGUUAGUUACUUGACUAUGUAUACAUGUAAAAGGGACCAAAUUUGUCCUGAUAAUCACAAAAUAUUAGCUAACUUGUGGGAGCUAGAUAAUUAUAUGCUCAAUUUUGAAGUUAUUACAUUGCAGGGUGCUCUAAGGAGAGGAAAGCCUGGUAAAGGCAUAGCUAACACGGGAUUUGGAGAAGGGGCAGGGACGGUUACUGCUAUUAAAGGUAGUACAAUUACUCGCUGUUGUUCUAGUAUUACAAUGUGUACAAAUGAUGUUACACCGUGUGCCAAAUGCACACAAGCUUCCGGAGUGCAACCGUUCCGGCCCCAGAUCCAUAAUUAGUUAUGCAUCUCUAUAUCGCCAAAAUAUCUGAUAAUUAGUUAUAACAUUCUUUUUAUUACACUUUUACACCCUCAGCUUCUAAAUUAAUAUCAUAUGCCUAUUUAUUUUUAUUUUUAUCUUCUAAAAUUCACUAAUCAUUUUGGGCUUUGGGUAAAAGUGGAACAAAAAUAAAGUCUCUCUCCUACAAUUCAUUUUUUACUACCAUUUUCAAAUAGAGGGGCUGACAAGAUACCAAAGUUGUCAUUCCAGGGGUGCUAAGUGUGAUUUCAAAAACAUGGGGGUGCUAGAUGUGAUUAGAAGAAACCUCAAGGGAGGUUUCUGAUAUUAACCCAAGUUAAAAUGCCAAAAUAUUGCCUUCGGUUGCUUUUCUAUAAGCUUUUGAGGAACAGAUUCCUCAAACAUAUUCAUGUCUAUAGAUUUUACACAAUUACAUCCACACACUUCUUUAAAGAAACGCAUACUAUUCUUUUCCAAGCUUUGACAUUAUUGUCUGACUUGUCUCGAUACCUAUCUAUGAAAUGAAACAUCUGAUGUAAAAAUGUCCAAACAUCAUGUGCCCUCAAAAGAUUUCUCAUUAUUAUUAUACUUUAUUGAAAAAAUGGGAGAGAAUGAAAAUAACGACGGAGUUUAUGAACAUGAACCUGGAGAUAAUUGCAUUUACAUAUGCAAGACCAAACUGUAUUGACGAUUUCCUAAAAGAACACAAAAAAAAAAUUUUCCUUUUAUUCAAGGGCUGAAGGAUGAAACACUUGUCCUCCUCUAUCAUGAAAACAAAGUUUAAGCCGUACCAAAAGAAGGAGAGUGCGUGUGCGUGUGCGUGUAGGCGGGAGUUCAGUUUAAAAAAGAAGAAAAUGGCAAGGGUGCAAAAAGGGCGGACUUGUUGAAGUUUGUCUUACAAACUUAGAAACAAAUUUGACCAAAAAUGGAAAGCAGAACCAAACGUGAAGAGAAUGAAGAAGAGCGUGCGGCAAAUUGACCCAACUUCAUCACUUAAUUAGUUCUAGCAGUUUAGUAUUUCCCUUUUUCUGUAUUUGUUUUCCUUUCCUUUCCUUUUCCGUAUUUGUGAAGCUUAUUAAUUUUUUUUGAAAAGAAAAAGAAUAAAUUAAGCUGUAAAAUUAACUAGUUGUCUAACUUAAAGGUGCAUAACUAAUUCUAAUGGGCUUGAAUGAAAAAACCAAAGUUUUGAUCUAGUGUUUAGUGUAUUGGAUUGGAGACUAGUAGCUGCUCUAUUUGUUUCUAUGGAAGAAGAACUGAAGGAGCUCCGGGAUAAUACCCCAACAAAAAUGCUACAAUUGCCUACGUCGUAAGUCCCCGACAACUGCCGUUCUUAUUGUUAUGCUUCUGUUCACAUAAAGGUAAUGCACCAAAAAGAAACAAAACAGAGAGAUAUCAAUUAAUUCCAUGGCGAAGGAGAAGCUGUGCUCCUGGGCGCGCGGGGUUUUGGUAAAACCAUAAUGCAGGUGUGUAAAUUCAAGCUCUGAAAGAAGUAUUUAGUAAAGCAAGAGUAAUUCAUGGCUAAUGAAUUGUGGAAUCAGUUGUUCGCCUGUUUAUGGCUUGCUUGCUGUGAUGAUGAUCAUUACUCAAUGACAUGGACGAGGCGACUUUGAUGGUUCUGCUGCUGGACAGGGGUCUCCAAGGUUUAUAACACACUCGGCAUGAACAGGUUGAGCUGCGAGCGUCGUUGCUGCGCACGACAUAUUAACAAUCAAAUUACGGGCAAAUUUCAUUAUUUGGAUAAUUAAAGAAAGAAUAUGUCAAGAAAUUAGAUUCGGAUCUUCUCUACUUUCACAAACUACAACCUGCAUCUAUCUAGCUAGAACUAAAAACUUGGAAUAGCAAUAUCAACAAACUUCAUGACUACUAGUACUACUCUAUACUUGGUUCCUUCCGCCAAAAUUCUCCAACUUGAAUAACUAGUAGGACAUUGCAAAUGCCAUUGUACAUGAAUUCCGUUACAUACAGAGAGUUGUGAUGCUGAAUAAUAAAUAAAAGGCACUCAAAACUUCUGGAGUAGACUAAACUAAAACAUGUCAAAAAUAAGGAAGAACAAGCAAAGUGGUAUACCUAUUUUAAAGAAAAGUUCCUUGAUGUUGGUCUCAACCUUGGCAGAAGUCUCCAUGAAAAUCAGACCAUUUUGAUCAGCAAAAAGCUUUGCAUCCUGCAAAAGCAUUAAUAACGAACACCUGAAGAAUUGCCUUCUGGGAUGUUGCACAUGGUCUGUGAUUUUCACAUUUUCCAACAAUUUCAACAGAGCGAGCUGAGUUUGUUGACAUAAUUCAAUGAAGGUUUUUGUCGUUGUUUUGAUCUCAGAAAGCACAGAAAGAAACAUCCAGGUAAUACAUGCAAUUGAGUUUUAAAUAUCUUUUUGCAAAAUAGAUGUGGUCCUGCCUAUGGAAACUAAACAAGUAAACAUCAAACAGAAACUGAAGACCUUCAUGUGGAAAUGCAUCAAUAAUGCUCUCCCAGUCAAGGAAGUAAUCUUUAGUAGGUCUAAGAAAGGAGAUCCCAUCUGUAAAACAUGUGGUGAAGGGGUAGAGACGGUGGAACAUGUGCUGCUGAACUGCAGACAGGCUAAGCAGGUAUGGCAUAUAGCACCAAUACAAUGGGGGGUGCUAAGGACAAACAAGGCUGUUUUAAGGCCUGGUGGACUGCAAUUACAGGAGCCAGAUCUAGGCAGGAUGGUGAAUAACACCUUGCUCUAACAGUUAACAUCUUGUGGCAAGUAUGGAAAAGCAGAAAUGAGUGGGAAUUCAACAACAAACAAAGGCAUGCAAUGACAACAAUAUAGAAAGCUCAAGAGGAAUGGAUGGAGUUCAGCGAAGCCUUCAAACAGAAGGAGCAAGUGAGCACAGCAGAAACAGCUGCUUACCAAAUGCAAAGGAUAGAAGCAGAGAAUGCAGAGGUGAUCCAAGUUAAGAUUGCUGCACUAAGCAAACUGAACAGUAAAAAGGUUGGCAUAGGUGUGGCUGGUAUGACUGAAGGAAAUGUUAUUGUUGCAGCUUGGGCUAUACAUGAAAAAAGCUACAAUUGUCCACAAUUGGAUGAGGCUGAGGCUAUCAAGAUAGCUAUGAGUAAAUUAGUUGUCAAAGGCUGGAGAAAAGUCAACAUACAGAGCUGCCACAAACACCUACAUCAGCAAAUCAGUGCGGGUAGUGCAUCAAAUAUCAAGCCGCAAACUCUAGUUGAGGAUAUUCUUAGCUUGAAAGUGUUGUUUCAAAUGUGCUCUUUUGGUGUUAUAUCUAAAAAUGAUAAUCAUGUUAGUAUUACAGUUGGGGAGUAUGCCUUAGGCAUCAUACAUGAUGAGAAAUAGAUCAAUUCUCUGUGCUAUUGAACACUUUUUGUAUAGAAAGAGGGCCUUUGCUCCAAGUGUAGAGUUUAGUUGAUAAUCAAUAUAUUACUAAUAUCAUUUCGAAUAAAUAUAUAUAUCUUUUUGACUUUAGGAAUCUUAGUAAUUACUUCUACCUGAAUGAUUUAAACUUAAAACGAAGAAUUGUAUCAUUCACAAAGAAAGAAAUCCUCCAAGCAACAUUUUGCAUAAGCCAACAUCAGCUUUAGUAUCUUCCGUACGCAUUCAGGCCUUCUUACCAUGUGAUUAUCAAAUUGAAGAUUACAGAGUUCAUACAAACAUGCAACUACAAUAUUUUACUUACCUCUGUAGUAACUUGUCUCUUAUCCUCCAAAUCCACUUUAUUACCAGCGAGUGCCAUGACAGGGAGAGCAAAAUCCCAUCUGGAUGCUAUUAAAAUUUACAAGCGUAGAAUGUAGUAGCAUUAAAAUGGGUUAAAAAGCAAAAGGAGUCAAACAGAUGAAAUUUGAAUCGAAGGAUAUUUGCUAAAGUUACACCUGCACGCUUCAUGUACUCUACCCACAUCUUGGCCCUUUCGUAUGAAACCUAAAAAACCAAUUCAAGGAAAGUUUUCUUAACUACUAGCUACUCACUAUACAUACAUACAUACAUACAUACAUACACACAUACAUACGCACACACACACACACAUAUAUAUAUAUAUAUAUAGCCAUAUACAAACCUACCUUGCUAGUUAUAUCAUAGACAAUGAUAUAUAUAUAUCUCUAUAUAUGUGUGUAUAUAUAGCCAAAUGCAAACCUACCUUGCUAGUUAUAUCAUAGACAAUGAUACAUGCAGCAGCCCCUCUACAAUAGGAGUCGGGCAAGGCCCCAUAACGUGUUGAAAACUUUUCAAAAUUUGUAUGAUGUACAUACAUGUAAUUAAUGUAUAUUCAUUAAUUUUUGGUACAUGUAUGGUAUUGUGAAUGUUUCUAAAAUGUACAUUCAUUUAUGAAUAUAUUUAUGUAUAUGAAAAUUAUUGAAUGAAAGGAUAGAUUCAUGUUUUGAUCUAAUGAUCAUGAGAUGCAUGAAUUAAAGUGCAUGAAUGUGUACACAAUACUUUGAAUCUAUUCAUACAAGUGUUUAAUGAGGUUUUUUAUUUCCCAAACAAUCUUCCUAUAUAAAGAGGUCAAGUAGAGAGUGGUUUGCUGCAGAAAAUCACUUUCCUACUAUCCUUACUCUCUCAAAAAGCACUCCUUAGUUCACAAAGGGUUUGUCUUGCUUUGUGCAAGAGUUUAAGACAAACAAAACUUCAUCUUAUCCUAAAGGAUCUUUGUCCAAGAUUAUUGCACGUUAUACCGGACAAAUAAAGCCUAAAGAAAAGUGAUUUCUAUCACGAUUUGAAGCCAAUUCUUGUUACAAUAUUUGCUAGUCCUUUACAAUUUACCCAACAAUCUUUAGGCUUUAUUCAUACUCUACAAUGGCUGGUACCUUGAAAGAUUUGGCAUCCAACAUUGUCAAGCUCGAGAGGUUUGAUGGAGGAAAUUUCAUUCGUUGGCAAAAACGUGUUCGUUUCCUUCUCACUGCACUCAAAGUGGUCUAUGUUUUGACCACACCAAAAUCAUUGAUCAAUCCCGAGGAAGAAACUCUUGAAGACAUCCGAAAACGUCAGAAAUGGGAGAACGACGAUGAAAUAUGCUGUGGUCACAUCCUUAAUACCAUGAGUGAUAGCCUGUUUGAUGUCUACCAUUCAAUUACUACCGCCAAGGAACUUUGGGAUCGUUUGGAGUCCAAAUACAUGCAAGAAGAUGCCACAAGUAAGAAGUUUCUUGUCUCAUCUUUUAAUAAUUAUAAAAUGGUAGAUAGUAAGUCUGUUAUGGAGCAAUUUAGUGAGAUUGAAAGGCUUCUUAAUCACUUCACACAACACAAUCUACACAUGGAUGAAACCAUUAUUGUUUGCUCUAUAAUAGAUAAGUUACCACCUUCUUGGAAAGAUUUCAAAAGAGACCUCAAACAUAAGAAAGAGGAUAUCUCUCUUGAGAUUCUUGCUAAAUCUCUUCGAGUAGAAGAGGAAAUUCGCAUGCAAGAAAAUAAGGAUACUCAAAUCCUUGAAGAGAACAAAGAUUCUACUUCAAAAGUGCAUGUGAUUGAAGAGAGACAAAUUGAAAAGUUUCAAGGAAGCAAGAAGGGCCAACAACCCAAGAAUCAGUUCAAGAAAAGGAAGAAGGGACAAUACUUCUAUUGCAAGAAAGAGGGACAUUACAAGUCCGAGUGCAAGAUUCUUCAAAAUAAGAAGAAGAAGCAAGAGUCUUCCAAAACACAAGCAAAAAUCUUGUGGCAAUGAUAUCUGAAAUCAAUAUGAUUGAAGAUGAUUUUACUUGGUGGGUUGAUUCUGGAGCUACGCGACACGUGUGCAACAAUAGAACGUUCUUCAAGUCCAUGAAACCGGUGGAUGCAAGCACCGUUGUUUACAUGGGAAAUUCUGCUACAAUUCCGGUUCAAGACAUUGGAGAAGUAGAAUUAAAUUUAUUUCCGACAAUGUUGUAACCUGGACAAAUGUGUUUUAUGUACCGAAAGUUAGGAAGAACUUGGUGUCGGCUGGUUUGUUAAAUAAAUUUAGCUUUAGACUUGUGUUUGAGUCUGACAAAUUUAUUUUGUCUAAAGGUGGUAUGUUUGUAGGCAAGGGUUAUCUUUACAAUGGGAUGUUUAAGUUGAAUGUACUUGCUAUUAGAAAUAAUAAGAUUGAUAUUAUUUCUACGUAUUUGGUUGAGUCUUCUUUUGAAUUGUGGCAUAAUAGAAUUGGUCAUGUUAAUUACAAAAUGCAUGAAAUGAUGAGACUUGAUUUGCUACCAUAUUGUGAUAAGAUUGAAGGAAAAUGCAAAACAUGCAUGCUAACGAAAAUCACAAGAAAUUCGUUUCCUAAAAUUGAAAGAUCAUCUAAAAUAUUGGAUCUUAUUCAUAGUGAUAUAUGUGAUUUGCAUGGUACUCCUACUUUGGGUGGUAAAAAGUACUUGUGACUUUUAUUGAUGAUUAUAGUAGAUACUGUCAUGUUUUCUUGUUACACUCAAAAGGCGAAACUUUGCAAAAAUUUAAGGCAUACAAAUCAGAAGUUGAAUUUUAUUGUGAAUCCUUUAUCAAAUGUCUAAGGACAGAUAGAGGUGGGGAAUAUUAUGAUAUUACCUAUUUUGAGUCUGUUGAGAUAAAACAUGAGGUGACUGCUCCUUACAAAUCACAACAAAAUAGUGUAGUCGAAAGAAAAAAUCGUAUAUUGACAGAAAUGGUUAAUGCACUUUUGUCAAAAUCUGGUUUAAGUCAAGGAUUUUGGGGUGAAGCCUUGUUAACGGCUUGUCAUAUCUUAAAUAGAGUUCCUAAUAAAAGGAGUUCUAUAACCCCUUAUGAAUUUUGGAAUAAAAGGAAAACCAACCUAAACUAUUUGAAAGUUUGGGGUUGUAGAGCUGUUGUAAAACUCCCAGAACCUAUAAAAAGGAAAUUGGGAGAAAAAGGUGUGGAGUGUAUAUUCUUAGGAUAUGCACAAAAUAGCAAAUCAUAUAGGUUCAUGGUAAUUGAACCUAAUGAUUCAAUUUCGGUUAAUACCAUAAUUGAGUCUAGAGAUGCUAUUUUUGAAGAGAAUUGACAAAAGAUGUUAAUACUAUAAAAGAUGUUUAACCAGGUGGUAAGUCUAUUGGUUAACCAGGUGGUAAGUCUAUUGGUUAAUAAUAUUUUUGAACCAGGUGGUAAGUCUAUUGGUUAACCAGGUGGUUUUGAACCAGGUGGUAAGUCUAUUGGUUAAUACCAUAAUUUCGGUAACUCUAUAAAAGAUGUUAUUCCAAAACCAAGUGAAUUGACAAAAGAUGGUGAAAAUGAAACCAUUGAAUUGAGAAGGAUCAAAAGAGCUAGAAAGUCAAAAGAUUUCGGUUCGGACUUUUAUAUGUAUCUAGUUGAAGGAACUAGAGAUACAGUGAGCAACCAAAUCUCAUAUUGCUUCAAUAUUGAGACUGAUCCCAAUACCUAUGAAGAAGCAAUGAACUCACAAGAUGCUCCUUUUGGAAGGAAGUUAUUAAUGAUGAGAUGGACUCAAUCAUGGGUAAUAAAACCUGGAAAUUAGUAGACUUACCACCUGGUUCAAAACCAAUAUGUUGUAAGUGAAUUUUCAAGAAGAAAAUAAAGAUCGAUGGAACUAUUGAUAAGUUCAAGGCCAGGUUGGUUGCCAAAGGGUUCACACAAAAGUAUGGUGUGGACUAUUUGACACAUAUUCACCAGUAGGUAGAAUUGCUACAAUUAGAGUGUUACUUGCUAUAGCUUCUAUCCAAAAUCUAGUCAUUCACCAAAUGGAUGUUAAAACAGUAUUCUUGAAUGGUGAUUUGGAUGAAGAAAUAUAUAUGGAGCAACCGAAGGGUUUGUGAUACCUGGUCAAGAGCAUAAGGUGUGUAAACUUGUAAAGUCUUUAUAUGGACUAAAACAAGCACCGAAGCAAUGGCAUCAGAAAUUUGACCAAGUUAUUCUUGCUAGUGGAUUCAAAAUAAAUGAAUCUGAUAAAUGUAUUUAUAGCAAGUUUGAUGAUGGCAAAGGUGUCAUAAUUUGUUUAUAUGUUGAUGACAUGUUGAUUUUGGGACUGACUUGGAACAAGUUGAAGUCACAAAAAUUUUGCUUUCAAGCAAAUUUGAUAUGAAAGACAUGGGUGAGGCAGAUCUCAUUCUUGGUAUGAGAAUCUUCAAAUAUGAUAACAAUAUAAUGUUGUCUCAAACACAUUAUAUUGAAAAGAUUCUUAAUAAAUUCAAUCAAAGUGAUUGUAUUCCAGCCUCAACACCAUUGGAUCCCAAAAUAAAUUUUGUGAAAAAUGAGGGGGAUCCAAAAUCUCAAAUCGAAUAUGCCAAGAUUAUAGGGUGCUUAAUAUAUGCAAUGACUUGUACUAGACCUGAUAUUGCAUAUGCAGUUGGUAUAUUGAGCAGAUAUACAAGCAACCCUAGUAGGUUACAUUGGCAAGGUGUAACCAGAAUUUUAAAAUAUUUAAAGGCCACUAAGGACUAUGGUAUAUAUUAUACCGGUUAUCCUUCAGUUUUAGAAGGAUUUUCAGAUGCUAGUUGGAUCACCAAUAAAGAUGAUCACUCGUCGACAAGUGGUUGGAUUUUUAUGCUUGGUGGAGGUGCAAUUUCUUGGGGUUCUAAAAAACAGACUUGUAUCACCGAUUCAACAAUGGCAGCAGAGUUUGUAGCACUUGUUUCGGCCUGUAAAGAAGCUGAAUGGUUACGUAAUUUACUUUAUGAUAUACCAUUGUGGCCAACACCUUUGUCACCUAUCUCAAUCCAUUGUGAUAGUGCAGCUACACUUGCUAAAGCAUAUAGUCAAGUGUAUAAUGGUAAAUCAAGACAUAUCGAUUUGAGACAUAGUUAUGUCAAAGAUUUGAUUACAAAUGGAGUCAUAUCAAUUGACUUUGUGAGAUCAAAUGAAAAUUUAAGUGAUCCUUUGACAAAAGGAUUAUCAAGAAGUUUGGUGUCAAAGACAUCAAGGGGGAUGGGUUUAAAGUCCAAAAUUCUUGAUCACUAAUGGUGGAACCUCAAUUCAACGCUAGAUACAACGUCUAGUCUUGAAUUCAAUGAGUGAAAGUACACCAUUCUAGUGGUUGGUGCACUAUGUAAAGUUUAGACAUUCCAAUGUUGAAUAGUGCAUGUUAUUCUCGCCAGUGCAAAUGUAAGGAUGAGUCAUUGGACUCUUAACGAAUCUUAAAAGUGCUAUUGACAGGUGCCAGACCUGUGCAAUAAUAAAUACCUACUCGAGAAAAAUACAGAUUUUGUAUAUAGCGGUGAGUAGGGUCGAAUCCACAGGGAUUGGGGAUAAUUCGUUUCUUCUAGAGUCCAAGGUAUGGGGGGUUUUGGAUUAAAUGCUAACUAAAUAAAUUAACUGCAGAAAAUAAUUGAUUAAGAGAAAUAAUUAAGGGAAAACUCUAGCCAAGGGUACACUUCAGAAAUGGUUCAGGCACUGAUCAUUGAUUCACAGAUAAUUCCACAUUUAUUAAUAGAUUAGUUAUAGUUGUCAUGCACGCGAUAAACAACCAACCUUUCCUUACUUUCUCGAUAGUUAAGGUACGAUCGUUAACUAUUUUUCUAACCCAAAAACAACCCUAAGUACGACCGUAGGGUUUAAUUUCUAGAUUGCAUUAAUAAUUAGAAAGACCCAAUCCUAACUAACAAACACGCUACGAGGGUUUGUUUAAACUAGAUCGUAUGUUCCCCUGACAUAAACCCAAUUACGCCAGUUGCUACUGAGAUAGAGAUAACAAACAAUUACGGAUUCAAUUACCUCUAUUUAGCAAAAUAGCCUAUAUGAAUAAUUAAAUAUUGCGCAUCUAUUCAAUCACUCACACGAGCUAUAGCAAUUAAAAGCAGGAAACAUAUAAAUACCAAUAAAUUAAGGAAACAAUUAAAAUAAAUUAGAUCUCACAGUAAUUGUUGAACCAAGUCUUCAGUUGUCCCCUUGACUAGAAUUAAGAGGUUAGUCCUCCAUUAAUGGAGAACAACCAUGCGAAAGAGCUAAGAAAAGAAAACUAAAACUAGGCUAAAAGCCUAAACUAAAACUAUUGAUUGAUAAACCUCUCGUACGUUUCUCCCUUUUUGAAGCCAAAAGGAAGUCUAAUGCUAUCUCUCGUGGUCCCCACACCAAAUUCAAAGUCUUGUACGUUUCUUUUCCUAGAGUCCAAAUGACUCAUGCUUCUUAUCCGUGGUCCCCGCACAUGUGGACAAAACCUCCAAGUACUUGUUGUUCCAAGUCUCUCUACGUUGCUUUCUUUGAAAAGCCCAAAUGACUAAAUGCCUUGCACUAGCUUGUGGUCCCCACCAAUUCAAGGACCCAAAGGUUGAAUCCUUAGAAGUCUGCAUUUUUCCAUACAAGUCCCUCCUUUUUGGUAAUUUUCUGCUUCACUCCUGAAAUUGAUUCCAAAUACCAAAUAUGAGUAAAUAUCAGCAAUUAACACAAUAUUUGUCAGGGAUAGAAGGGGAAAUCAAUAAUAAAUUUACUAACAAAUUAUACCCUAUCAGCUAUCUAUGGCGGGGGCACUAAGAUGUCGCCUAUAUGAAUGUUGGUUUUCGGUAAACCACAAAGUUAAGGACUUUACUUUGUAAACAUUCAAGAAAGGAUAGUGAUACAAGGCCGUAAAAUGUAUCGUUGAAGAACUUAUGGUUGUGCAUUGCUCAGUGUGUGAUGUGUUUAUGAGGUUGGUCCAAUGUCCAAGUGGUUCAAAACUUGUCUACCAUCUUGAAGGAUUGAUUUCAAAGAACCUUCACUAAGAUAGUGGUUCAAUCGAAAGACACCAUUAUUUAUGCAUAUGAGUGUCAGAUUACUCGGUGACCUUUUAGAAAUACAUUUUUCUAAAUUUUGAAAAUGGCGGGGGAUUGUUGGAAACUUUUCAAAAUUUGUAUGAUGUACAUACAUGUAAUUAAUAUAUAUUCAUUAAUUUUUGGUACAUGUAUGGUAUUGUGAAUGUUUCUAAAAUGUACAUUCAUUUAUGAAUGUAUUCAUGUAUAUGAAAAUUAUUGAAUGAAAGGAUAGAUUCAUGUUUUGAUCUAAUGAUCAUGAGAUGCAUGAAUUAAAGUGCAUAAAUGUGUACACAAUACUUUGAAUCUAUUCAUACAAGUGUUUAAUGAGGUUUUUUAUUUCCCAAACAAUCUUCCUAUAUAAAGAGGUCAAGUAGAGAGUGGUUUGCUGCAGAAAAUCACUUUCCUACUAUCCUUACUCUCUCAAAAGCACUCCUUAGUUCACAAAGAGUUUGUCUUGCUUUGUGCAAGAGUUUAAGGCAAACAAAAUUUCAUCUUAUCUUAAAGGAUAUUUGUCCAAGGUUAUUGCACGUUAUACCGGACAAAUAAAACCUAAAGGAAAGUGAUUUCUAUCACGAUUUGAAGCCAAUUCUUGUUACAAUAUUUGCUAGUCCUUUACAAUUUACCCAACAUAACGCUCUUGGGCAUUAGUGUCAAAUAUUCUCACUUUGACUGCUGAAUAGUUGCCCUGACCGCCCACCUCCAGGGUUCGCAGGAUGGAGUCAUAUCCCAGCAUAACCUCUGAUAUUACAAUGAACAACAUGAUCAACCAAUUUCAAAUGAUUUUUUAUUUUUUUAAAUACGGGAAAAAACUACUAACUGCCUAAAAUUGCUCACAUCAACAUCAGGGAAUUCUUCGUCCACAAAUUGGUUCACAAAACGUGAUAUAAUGCUGGAUUUACCAACUCCAAAAUCCCCUAGAGUAACCUGCCGGAUCCAAAAAAGAAAUUAAAAAUUAAAAGUGACCAAAAUAAAAUGAUAUCAUGGAUAUUUUUUCAUUAAUAGACUUACGAAUUUUAACUCGGUAUUCUUGGCACCAAUAGUGUCCAUGGAGAGCUAUACUGGUCGAGAGCUUGAUUUUGAAAAGAAAAACAGAAUUAAUAGAGUUAUAGCUUGAAAAAUAAUAUAAACUAGAACAAGGUGAUAACAGCAUUCGUACAGAAUUAAUAUGGGUAUACUAUUCUUCCUUGACAUUCUAACAGCAAGAUUUUAAUGAGAUAAACUUGUGCAGUUCGAAAACAUCAGAAACCAUCAAUUAUUCACGUCCAGCAGUCAUCUCUAUAAGUGUGAAGCUCCGAUGCGUUUCCAUACCAUGAACAGAGCAACUUCAAAGAAAUUGGGCACAAAGCAAAUCACAAUUCCAAUUUCCAGAGAGAAGCAGCCAUCUCAGGCCAAGAAUGGAGGUGUCGGCCUACUGCUACUAGGACGUAGAAUUUCUUUAAAUUUUCGUCUUCAACAAGCCCUAGUUUGUCAUCAAAUGCUCAUUCGAUUUUACUUCCUAUAUACACCAAAAAAGGAAACAAGAAUAGUACAAUAGUUUAGUGAGGUAUAUAAAUUAUCUGCAGUUCUAAAACAUCCAAAAUUGUUCACUAUUCAAUUCCAACAAAUGUUCACACUUCUGCGAACCAAAACCACUAAAAUGUAAAGGAGCACUCUCCAUAGUUUACACUUUAGAACCAACCACAUAUUCCAUUCAAGACCAUCUAAGAAACAACUUCGCUAAAGCAGUGACCCAGCAAUGAACUCUUGAGAGCCAAAAAAAGGCAUCCAUAUGUUUGCUUGCAAAUGCAAACCAAAGGAGAAAAAAAAAUCAGAGGAAGUACUGGAGCUUAAUAAGAACAAACUUCUUGUCUCUGAAAUCAAAUAGAAUCAUUUUACUGGUGCGCUUCAUAUUUCAACCGGAAGGGGAAAAAAACCUAAAUGGCUGGAGAACAAGAGGUUUCCAGAAUUCCAAGCAUCAUUAACAUAAAAUCGUUCCAAAAAAAAAAAGAUGAAAAGAUGAAUGUAGGAUAUCAUUAGUAUCAAAGUUUGAGCGAAGAGAGAGGAGGAUAUCAUUUAGGAUAAAAAAAAUGAUAUCAUUUAGUACCUGAAAUUUUUCAGGCAAUAGUAAGAAGAAACGAGAUUAGGGCUGCAAACGAGUCGAGUCGAGUCAAGUUUUGGGUUAAUCGAGCCGAGUCUCGACUAAAUUUUACUAAACUCGAACUCGAGCUCGAGCUUGACGAGCCGGCAAUUUAAAACUCGAGCUUGACUCGAAUCGAUUCGAGUCGAGCUCGAGCUUGAAAAAAAAUAAAAAAUAAUUAUUUUAUUUUUUAAAAAAUAAAUAAAAUAAUAUUUUUUCUUAAUAAAUAAUAAAAUAUUAAGGAUAUAUAUGUGAUUUUACUAUUAAAAUAAGAAAAUAAAAAAUAUAUAUAUACUUAAAAUAAAAAAAAUAAAAAAUAUUAUAUAUAUAUACUCGAGCUCGCGAGCUUAAUAUUUUGAGCUCAAGUUCGAGCUUGAUUUCGAUUCGAGUUUUACUCGACUUGCGAGCGGCUCAAUUCGUUUGCAGCUCUAAAUGAGAUAGCAGAGAACUGAGAAGGCCUGAGGGAGUUGGGACUGGGAAGUGAGAGGUAAAACCGUAGAAAAUGGGUGAGGCCGAGGGAGUAUGUGACUGUGUGUUGGGUUGUUGAAAUAUUGUGUGUGUGCGCGCGUGUCAGAAAACAGAUAUGCUUGAAGGCCAAGCUAACUGAGACAAAUCUGUUAGUCCCAUUAAGAUGUUUAUAAAACACGUUUUUUGGAAGGAAAGAAUUCUUUUUUUUUCCCUUAAGAUGUUUAUAAAUAGAGUCUAUAAAUAAUUAAAAAAAAUAAGAGUCUACAAAUAUAAGUUUACAGUCAUUUCUCCAGCAAAAAGCCACCUAUUAGGAGAAAGGGAGGGGGGGUGCGAUUGUCAACUCUUAUGUUUAAGCGUCACCAUUCUAUAAUAAUCGUCAAAUGAUACACGUCAGGAUUUAUUUGAUUGGCUAAAAGACACAAAUAUAUAAGUAAAUUAUUAGUAUAUAUAAGGCUGUGAGGAAACAAACUACAAGAAAUCAAAUUUAUGAAAAAGUAAAUUGUAUGCCAGAAUGAAGGAAUAGAAAAGAAUUCAUUACGGCCAAUUAUGGGACCCAAAAAUAUUUUUUUUUUUAAAUAGAACGGAUUAUUUCUGGUUGAGUAAACAGCUGUUUGGAUUCAUCAGUUUUUCAAAAACUAUAAAAAAUUUUAAAAAGUACUCUAAAAAGUAGUCUAAAUUUUUUUAAUAUUUAAAAAAUAUCCCAAAAUAUAUUAUAAAAACUCUGCUACUCUUAAAUAUCCCAAAAUAUAUUCUAAAAAUAUCUCAAAAUAUACUCUAAAAAUUCUGCUACAGUACAAUUUUUCAAAAACACACUAAAAAACAGCUAAUCCAAACGGCGUAUUUGCAUGGUGACCCAUACACGCAAACAAAAAAAAAAGAACAUUAAAUAGUAACAAUUGGUAAUAUAUUUUAGAUAACAUAGGGCUUGUUAUUAAUUGAUUAUUUUAACUAAUUAUAGAUUUUGAUUUUGAAUAAUUAGUUUUUGUGAUAUUCUCGAUUGCUUCUAUAUUAUAAUUAUAGAUUAUUUAAUCACUAAAAAAGCUAAAUUUUAUAGAGCAGCUUUUGCUAAUUCUAAUUAUUGUCUAUAAUCAGUUUCUAUAAUUAGAUCUUGUAAAAUCUAAAGUAAUUGAGAACAAGGCCAUAGACUUCGGAUGGAUGCCCUUUCUCAAAGAAAAUAAAAGAAACAAUAUGCCUUAGCCAGAAUUGCAUAAAAAGAAACCCAGACCUUUUUGUUUCCAUCUUUUUUUUUUUGGCUGGAUAAACUGGCAAUACUUGAAUGAUUAGUACUCUUAAGACUUUAUUUUGUUCAUCAAGAGUGAUAACACAACCCAAAAAAUUUUCUUCAUCUUUCUCAGAUGCGAAACCUUGUUUGAAGUUUGCUGUGAAAUUGCGCGUCCCAUGCGGGAGUAAGUUUAUACGUUCUUCUUCUUUGUAGGCACGUUAUCAUCCUCUUCAAAUUAAUUGCAAUGAAAAAUUCCACACAAAUUAAUUGCAAUGAAAAUUCCACACGAGAUUGCCCAGAGGAAAGAAAAGUAAAGAAAAUCGGAGAUUAGAAAUUGCACUCAUCGAAUGGAUUAGAAGGGGUAAGGUUCCUUUACAAAACAUCCGAGCUAAAAUUGAUUAUUGUUCCCAUACAGUUCAACUAUCUAUGAUGUAUUAGGCAUAAAAAUUUAAAUAUUUAUAGAUGAGGAAUAAUAAUAAACUUUGACUUUUCUUUUCCUUUUAUCUAAUUUAGAAAGCUAAAUUUAAACCUCUUCAUUCUUUUCUCAAAACUAGUUUUAAUUCCAUAAGGUUAAAUAAAAAUUUGAUCGAUUAUUUGAUAAAAUUGCUAUGCUUAGUGUGUGACUCGUUGAUUUUUUUAGGGUUACAAUUCAAAAAAUCGGCCCUAAUAACCAACCCAGCACUUCGCAAAAUCUAUUUUUAGUUAAGAAGUCUCUAUCAGAAAGCAGAUUUAAUUCUUCAAAUUAGGCAAAAAAGACAAAUUUAUUAUUUUUAUCUUACGUAUAUAAGUCAAAUAAAAUAUAAAAAAAUAAAGAGUUUUUUUUUAAUUUUUCUCUAUUUUCAAUGAUGCAAUACAUAUUGAUAAUCUCCUAUUAUUCCAAUGUUUUGAAAAUCGGAUCGAAUUGACCGAUUCGACCAGUCAAACUACAAACGGAUCAUGCCUCCAAUCCAAUUCAAUGAAUAAUCUAAAAAAUCAAUUGAAUUCGUCAAAUUUGGCCAAAAAACGGUUGAACCAAUAAAAAUUGAGAGUUCAACCAAUUUUUAUUAUCUAAAAUAAAUAUUUUAAUUUUAUUCAAAAUUUUUAAUGCUAAAAUAAAAAAAAUUAUUAUACAUUUGAAUCAAAAUUGAACCAGGCAAACCGAAAAUUUUUUUGGUUCACUCUUAGGCCCGAGUUUAGAGACAUUGAUUAUUCCUAGCCUAACAUACUUGCUCAAAAAGGCUAUAGAAGUAGCAAAUUUGGACGAGCGGACUGAUACUCCACCCUUUUUUCCCAUUUUUUUUCCUUUUUUGUAAAGGAUGUAUUGCUGGCUGAUCUAAUCUCAGUCCGGACUGAUUAACACAUUUGAUUCCGUUUGUUUACAGACCCCAUUUGAAAAAAAAAAGCUUGUGAUGAAUAAAAGUUGAUACAGAAGGAUUUCUCCCCAAGUAUACCUGCCACUCAUAUUCAUACUAUCACAAGAUUUCUUCGCAGUUUCAGCGAUGUGUCUCAAUUGGUUUCUAGCAAAAUAUGCAUGAAGCACAAAAUUUAUCAAAACCGCCCCUUAACUUAGUAGCAGCAUACUAGCAUCUAUAUCCUAUAUGACAGAAACAGAGAAUUAUUCAAAAUCCCAGCACUUUCAGCUUAAAGAUGUCGGGUGUUUUAACCCUCAGACAAGCAUGCACCAUUCUCUACGACCUCACAUGGCAUUUUCUUCGGGAAGAAUUCAUCAUCUGGAUACAUCUUCUGAAACAGCUGCCACAAAUAGAAGAAGGGCCUUCCCUCAGUAUAAAUAUGUUACUAUGCUACAGAUCCAAAUCAAAUCUCCAAGUUCCAGGACAGAAGAAUAAAAAAAAGAUUAAACAGAUCUCGUUCUGAAACUAAUUGCAGCAUCAUUUACCUUUAACGCUGCAUCUACAACAUGGCUAUAUUGCAGAUUCCCAUCAGGCAUAGGGGUUGAACUGACACAAUCAAAUCCACCCUACAAGUACCAAGAUCUCGGAGCCAUCAGCCAAAAAAAAAACGAAUGCACAUUUCAAACCAAUACUAGCUUAUCCGAAGGGUAAAAAUGGGAGGAUGAAAUGCAGAAAAUACAUGCAAACUAAUUGUAAACAUGGCGAGAAUCUAGUUUAUAAGAAAAGGGGUAAGAUAGCAAAAGAAAAACAGAAAGCACAAAAACAAACCAUAAUUAGCUCUUGUAUGUACAAAGUGCUCCAAAGUAAAGUCGGUUUCACUUUCACAACUGUAUUCUCCCUCAGAGGAUCCCUAGAAUUAUCCUCUGAGUUACCAGAAACAGAAGUUGAAAACAAAGCUUCUAUUGCUGCAUUUAUUGAUCUCUUCCCUUGAACAACAUCGCCACAUAUAGUUGAUAGAUAGACAACGAACCUGCACAAGAAGGGAAAACAUCAGAGGAUGGCACGUUCAUCUCCACAUAAGGAAUUUCAAGUUCAAAAAGCAUGAUUACUGUGAUUUAUAAAUUGCACUAAAAUAUUGUUCAGAAUGGCUCACAUCUUUAGCAACUAAGAAAGAGUUAAUUGAAAAGUAUUUCAUCGUCUCUUAUCUUUGAAUCACAAAAAUGAGCAUGCCUGGCACAAAUUCUUUCCUAGCACAUAGAAUCUACCAAAAUGUACUGGCAUUCCACAUUAUCUUUUGACAGGUAACUUACAUGCCAGAGGGACAAGCCCGCACAUUACUGCUCAAUUGGAAGAUGCGGACUGAUGUCAUCUGGUCAGGGCAUAAAGCUAGAGAGUGAAAGUCAGCUAAUAAAGUAGUCUAAAUCAAAUACAAGAAAAGAAAUAUGUUGUAUUCGGAACUUACAUUUAGGGGUAUAGAACACCAGACAAUUUGCUACAUCCGGUUUAAAGGAAUUAUCUGUGAUGCAAAUUCCCCUGACCACCUUCUCUCUGGCAUCUUGUUGGACAAAAUCAUAAUAACCAUCUUGUGGAGAAACUGAGGGAGUAGUCAACCCUGGUGGGAUCACAAAUGUGGGGGCAAGGAUAAGAUGAUGGCUGAAUAAUUCUUGUCCCGUAACCAGCUUAACGCCCUUAUAAUUCCCAACAUCCUGCAAAAUGUGCAAAGUGAUACAUACAAACUCAUAGAUUUCUCAUCAGCAGCUAUGCUGGGUGUAGAAGAGGAACGGCAUAAAAAAGAAAGCAAAAAAAAUUCAACCAAACCUUGUCAACAAGCAGACCAACCACAGGCAUUUGAGUAAUCUGCAUGGAGAAAUUAGUAAAAUUAAGGAAUGCUUAUGACUCAACAAAAAGAACAAGAGAAUCAGUGGCAUGACUCAGACAUCAACCCAUCACUCAUCAGCAGUCAGGUCAAGGAAAAAGAGAGUAGGAAUAAAGCAGCAGUGACACCCACAGGUUAUUUUUUAAGGUAAAAAAAAAAUUGAUAAAAGAUAGGUUAUCUGUAGUAAUUCGAUAUUUAGGUCUAUUUAGGCCAAGUAUAUGAUGAAUCUUUUUUGUCAGCAAUUUUUAUUUUGAUAAGCUCGUUAGUUCAACUCUUUGAUGCCCAAUUAUGGAAGUUAAUUGGGUAAGCUGUGCCGUGAACCACUGGAAGUUUUAAAAAGAAUAAGUAAAUUUGAAUGAUCAUGAGACUGUGAUUUCUCAUCUAUAACACGUUGAAGUUCACCAUUUGGAAAGGAAGGAUCUCAUGCAAGUUGUACUUACAUUGUCAGAGAUGGUAUUCGUUGGCAGAAUUCAAAGAUUUAAGUGGCAUUACUGAGUAAACUUUGACUUCCAUGCUAUGGAGUUCAGCUGCAACAUAUGUGUUCAGUGCAUGCCAUGCUAUAUUAACGUGAAAGUUUUCAUCGUAUGUGAUAUUUAGCUAACUACUGACUAUUCUUUGUAUUUCUUUGUUGUCUCAUAUUGGACUCUGGUUAUGCCUUGUGCAGUCAAAACUUUGUUACCUGAGGAAUCUUCCUCCCAAAAAACUAGUUUCUCUCAAAGAGGAGCAGUCAGAAAUGGGUGGGUAAGUGUGCUAAUGAUUUCUCUAGUGUGCUCUUGGCUGAUGAUUGCCUCGUGUUUUUGAUAUACUUGACAUGAUUUUUCAACCAGCUUAAUUUAUUAAUAAUAUAUUGAAUAUAUAAUCUGCAUUUGAAUGUAAUGUAGUUUUAUUUCUUUUAUCAGAUACUUCAUUUUGAAUGGGCUUGAAAGAGUUGUUCGACUUCUGAUUUUGCCAAAGCGAAACUAUGUAAGUAGGGCAUUUAUGGUGUUAAUAGAGCAGGUUUUAGUAGAUUCUUUUAAGGAAACAGCUCAGAUUCAAGGUUGAUUUGCAAUUUGACAAUUAUAUAAAAGACUUUUAAUUUUUAAUGGAAAUGAAACAUUUUCUUGAUGUUACUUUUUUUUUAUUAUUCUAAUAAUUCAUCUUGGGUUCCAUGUCUAAUUUCCAGCCUACGAGUAUGGUACGAAAUUCAUUUCGUGAACGGCGAGAAGGAUACACUGAUAAAGCUGUUGUCAUAAGGUUUGUUUUGAGUUAAGGCUUUUUUUUCUUCCCUCCCCUUGAUUGACAUAAUUAUUUGAUAGUACGAUAAUUACUUGUAGUUCUACAUUACUUGUAUGCAUUUUGAGCUGGUAUGCUGAAGUCACAAUGCAUGAUAUCACUUGUACAAGAUGUAUAGUUCCUAUCAGUUAAGAAAACCAAACACUGCUUCAAAAGUAGCUCUAUACUUGUGUCUCAGCAUCUGAGCUCCUUAUUUUAUUAACAGUAUUCCCCUCUUUCUUAUUUCCAGAUGUGUUAGAGAGGACCAAUCAGCAGUGUCACUGAGACUUUAUUAUCUUAGUAACGGAAGUGCCAGACUUGCCUUCUGGUGAGGAUUGUUUCUGAAAUUUCAUGGAAGUUAUUCAGGGACAGUGGAAAAAAAAAGGUCCUGGCUAAUGUUACCAUUUGUACCAUUGUAGGAUACAAGGAAGGGAAUACAUGCUUCCUGUUGGUGUUAUGCUAAAGGUAUUUUUCACUAUCAUCUUUAUAUCUAUGCAUGCUUCUCAUACUUGAUGCAUAAUCUGAGUGACACGCUUUGUAGAAUGUCUUUCUUAUCUGCUAAGGGAAAAUGGCCACGCUCACCUUCUAUUCCACUAAUUAUGUUUAAGAGUGAAAAUAAAUGAUAGAAUGGCUGUAAGAGAAGUUAAUGAUACAUUGGUAAAUUCCAGUGCUGCUAAUACAUAGAUGAGGAUAAAGGUGUUUGUAGAAUAUUGGAUAAAAUAGAUUCUCUGGAAAUUCUACUUAUUUGUAGGACAAUUUUGAUGGUUUCAGGAUUAAUUUUAAUGUAUCACUAGUAGAUUUAUUUUAGAUUCAUAUUCUUUUAGCUUGAAAAGCAUUUUCUGUUAUUAACAGUGAGAUUGGUCACAGCUCUAUAGAAUAGCAAGUCUUUUUAGGCUUUAAGAUACUUGUGAUUUUAGGAUUUACUAGGCCUUAUUUUUCUCUAUCUACUUUGUGGGUUUCUUGCUUACUGCACAUCUGAUGUUAUUCCUUGUAGGCAUUAGCUGACACCACAGACCAUGAAAUCUUUGCGUGCUUGACGUCUUGUUAUGAUGAUAAUUACGAUUGCGUAAAAGGCUCUGUUGGCUCCCAGCUUGUUGGAGAACGAGCAAAAAUUAUUCUUGAUGAGGUUCAGGACCUGUCUCUUUUUACUCAUAAACAGUGCCUGCAACACAUCGGUGCGUAGUGGUUCUGUCCAUUGGUACUAAUAAUUGCUUAAAGUUCUCUUUUUUUGCAUCAUGCAUUAUGAAUCUCAUCAUUUUUCAGGGGAACACUUUCAACCUGUUAUGAUUGGACUGGAGAAUGAAAGUCCCUCUGUUGUAAGUCCAUCUUUUUUUUUUUUUUUAGGUCUUAGACAGUUUUAUGUCCUAAUUUUUAUUGAGAAUGAUUCUCAUGAGUUCUUAAUCAGCUUUUGUUAUCUGGAUAUGCGGAUUGUCAGAAGUAUAUUCGGUUGUUUGUUUGGUUAACUUCUAGUUGUUGGUCUCUACCUUAUUCUGUGUAAUGGUUCUUUACCUCUCCUUUUUGCAGGUUGCUGCUGCUGUUUUGAAGGACUACAUAUUUGUUCAUCUUGAUAACAAUCAUGACAAAUUCAACUUGCUCAUGUUAGUUCGUUUUCUCUGUUUGUGAGUGACUGUGUGCAUGUGUUGAUAGAGUGUGUUUGUCUCCCUUUGUCUCUGUCUUUGUAGACGCAUGCACACCUAUAUAUAUAUAUAUGUGUAUGUAUGUAUGUAUGUAUGUAUAUUUGUCAUAUGCAUAUCACGUUAAGCCUUGAUAUACGUUUUUUCAUCUUCUUCUCUCUAGAUUUAUGGUGCAGAAGCUUUUUUCUCUGGUAGAUCAUACUUCUAUGCCAGACAAUCCAGAUUCUUUGCAAAAUCAUGAAGUUUUGUUGCCUGGUCACUUGAUCACCAUUUACCUCAAGGUCCAGCUCUGAACACUUCUCAUUUUUACAUUAUAGAAGGGUUAAAUGUUGUUGUGAUUGCUUUAAUGAACACUUCUAGAAUUUAUGGCUACAAUUUGUGGUAACUCUUUAAAAAGAAGAGUGGUACAUGUGAUUUAUUUGACAUAUAGAUUUUGAUGCAGAUGAUUAAGAAAUUAUCUAAAAAAUGGACCAUAUUUCUCUGUUGAAUAAGCUAAUUGUUGAUAAUCAAAUCCUGCUUUUUAAGAUUUUCAUCCUGCUCCUGGCCUUUUGCCCUGUCACAAGUUGGUUUUCAAGUGGUGAUAGUUGAGGACUAUUAUCAUUUUAUUACUGCUGUAUCUGUUGGACCAGGGGCUUGACAAGAAAUGGAUUAGGUUUAUCAUACUCUAACUUAAUCAUCCCCCUCUUUCAUUUAGUAAAUGUCUCUCCACAUGGUUAGUUUUGGAUUACGUCCCGUUGGUUGCCAAAUUCCAGGUUGCAUGGCAAGAAAAUGCUUUUCAAAUGAAACCAUUUUGCCCAAGGGACCUCUAGAAAUCUUGGUUGAGAUGGCAGUGUCAUUUGAAGGUCCACCAUAACCAAUGUAUUGUGUAAAAGGAAACCGAUAUCAUGAAUAAGGUAUAGUUUGCAGUAAAGGCCUUUUACCUUUGCUGCCUUAUGAAGAGAGGUUGCUUUGUUUAUUCUAAAAUUUCUAAGAUGAAACUUUAUGUGGAAAUGAAGCUACCUUAUACUUACACCAAACUACCAAAGUUUUCUAUCAAAGUGCAUUCAUGUUAUUUUCUACUCUUGAGGUUGCAGAUGUAGAAACUUUAUGAUAAACUGGUUUGUUAAUUUGCAUUCUACUCUAGUCUUGUUCAGGAAAUCCUCCUUUAAAAAAUUUUUAAAAGUCGAUCUGGCAAAAAAUAAAAAAAAACAGUAUAAUGGAUCCGAGAAUGGACUUGCAAGCAAGACAAUAUUCCUGAGCCAAGCCUUCUUCAUAUCCCUAUGAACUAAAUUUCGGACUGGAGAAUUGCAAAUCUUUCUCAAGUGUUGUGCUUUCAUUAGUUUUCCUGUUGCCUACCUCCUCUGUCUGCGUGUCUCUUUUUUCCAUUUUCAGUUGGGGUUUGGGUUGGGAAUCAUAGGUGGUUGGGCAUUAAUGAAAUUCACUAUCGCUGCGGAAAUGGGAGGAGACAGAAGGCAAAUUUAUGAUACUUAUUUAAAAGUGGCAAAAUGCAUUGCAUGAAAAUUGGUAAACCUGUGGUAGGUUGCUUGUAGUAGACCAUGGUGUUUGGUUAUUAUGUUGAUUUAUCGUGGUGCAGGUUCUUACUUUAAGAAUAGUAGUAGCAGACUAAUACUUGCACAGUCAGGACUUCUAGUGAGAGGCACAAUCUAUCUAGUGCAACAAGAUCAAAGUUUUUAAAAGGCAGUUUUUAGUUUUGUGCAUUAAUAUACAAGCAAGAGAUAACACCCUAACAAAACCUACUAAAAUUUCCAUAGAUGUUUGAUAGUGCUUCUUCAAGCGGUAGGAUAUAUUAGUUCCUGGGCAUCUAAGCCAGCAAUUUUACAGUAAAGGAAAACAAGCAAGGGCUCAGUUAGUGCUCAAAACUGUCUUGCAGUUGUUCCUUUUGGCUUUAAGAAAGCAAUGAGGGCAGAGUGAGAGCUCAAAUCUGUUUUGCUGUUGUUCCUUUUGGAUUUUGUUUGGGAUAUGAACCAAGAAAGUCUGGGUGUUACAUCUCGAAAGUACGGUAUAUUAUCUCACUUUUGGAGAGGCGCAGAUGGAAAUGUUUUAUUCUUGGGUUUUACACCUGUUAAGCCCCUUGAAGCAUGGUUUAUUAUGUCUUGCUCGAGUUUGUCUUGGAGAGAUUUUAGGGCAUGACUGGAAAACAAAGUGAUAGAGGGUUUAAAUCUGCUCUUGGCUUUACACCACUUGAAGUCCUGGAAAGUAUGCUGUAUUAUGUCUUGCUAGGGCAUGACUAGGAUCGCAAGAGUGAGGUGGGUUGCAAGCUUAAACUCAAUCAACCCUACUUAUGGAUUAGUAUAGCUGUAAGUAGUUUUGUUUUGUAAUUCAAAUUUUGACUACCUAAUCUUCUAGGUUUUCUAAACCUUUAUUUCAUUGAUAGUCAUUAAUGAGAUAGACAACACAUAGGGGAUCAAAGACCUAAAGAUGUAAUUCACCAAGCAGCUUGGCUGGCUAGCAAUUGAGAGUUCAUAGAUUGCAUAUUUGUAACAUGCAUGUGUACUUAGUUAACAAACCAUGCAAUCACAACUAGACAUGCAUUUCUCUCAACAUUGAAACAUCUUAAUUUGUUUUGGGGUCUCUCAAGAACAUACGCAGCACCAUCUGAUGCAGGAUGAAUUUUUUUAAAAUUAGCAGGAUAAGGUCUACUUCCAUUAUAAUCAAGGCAAGGAUAAUGAAGCAAUUAGAUUAGGAUUCUUAGGAAUAGUUAGAGAUGUGAAUUAGAUUAAAUCCUAUCUCACAUAUGCAUUUCUAGAAGUAUGCAGACUUAUCAUGUGUAAUUUUGUUUGACAUCUAAUGAAAGCUUUGUUGUUGUUAGUUCUUCAAUUAGAACUACUAAGGGUGUGUGCUGAACCAGCCCCUUUAUCAAGAGAUUUUUAUUGGUUUAUUCUAAAAACCAAACCUUUGAUCAUGGGUUAAAGGGAUUUUCCAUUUCUUGUGCUUCCACCUGUGACACCAUUUAUAUAGUGCGAUUGCCACGAUAAGAAGAAACACCAAAUCUCACGUAAUCCAGUUGCUGAGUUUUGGUAGCUACAGACAACUAUUUUGAAAAAUUCUUUUAUGACCAACUCUUGAAUCUAGCUCAUACUCUUUGUUCUCUUUUACAUGUAGCAGACCAGGUUGAGCUACCAAAGUCAACAUAUAUCUGGAUAAUAAUUAUCUAUAAAUGUAUUAGUAGAUUGAGAAAAACUGCAUUGUCUUGUGCAAAAGAGUAGUAAAACAAUAAUUCCUCAACAGCCAAAACUUGUCAAUUAUGGAGAAAUUUAUGUACUUGACAAUUAGGUUAGAGAGGGGUAUGAUUUUCUGUAAAGGCACCGUUUAGUUUGAAGGAAAUGAAGGGAAAGGAGAGGAAAGGAUACCAAUGGUAAAGAAAGGAGAGGAGAGUGAUUUUCAUCUACCUUGUUUGGAUUAAGUAUGGAAGGAAAAGAAAGGAAAUACUGAAUUUUUGUUUGGAUUGAAGAAGAAAAAGAAAGGAAAGAAAAAGAUUCAAGUGUUAAUUUAUUGGACAAGACAGGGAAAAAUGAUCUUUAAAAAAAAAUUUAAUUAUUUCAACUAAUUUAGUUUCAUUUCGCCAUAACUCAACAAAACUAGACCCUUCCCUCCCUAUCGUUUCCUUUCCCUCCUCAAAAAUGAAUCCAAACAACAAAAAUCAAAUCUCUCCAAUUCCUUGCCUUUUGUUUCCCUCCCAUUCCCUCAAUCCAAACAAUGCCUUGGGGUCUCCUUUCUCCCAAAACACAGGUCAUAUAUAUAAUCAGUUCAUUUAUUGGUGGGAGAAAUCUCGUGCUAUUUUGUGGUAAAUUAUGACCUUGUGUGUGUCAUGUAGCCUCAAAUUCAUCUUCUUUAACACUUGUAGGAAUAUGCUUAACAAAAAAAAUUGUAGAAAUAUAAUAAAAUUUAAAAUGUCAAUGCUAUUAAGAUGUUGGCUAUUGAUGUUUUAAAGACAUAAUUAAGGUCUUGUAUUGGAUGUUGUUUAUAGUCCUAGCAAUCAAAAUGGGAGGAUGAGUGGGUUUAACAAGUACAAAAAUAAUUCCACAUCUGAUUGAGAUUUUAUAAGUGCAGAAUUAGCUUCACUAAAACAAACAUUUUUUCUAUAUCUUGUCCGUACUUUAUGUGAUUGUUCAUCAAGUCAUAAUGGUAGAUGUUUCAUAUGCUAGUCUUAUCCACCUUCCCCCACAAGAAAAAGAGAACAACAAAACCAUAGUGUAUGAAUUUGUUAAAAAUUUCCUUCUAUCGCGUCACCCUCCUCAUUCCCCAUUGUCCAGAGUGUAGAAACCUCACCCUGUGGAAGUAAAAUUUCUCCAGAUAAAAAAGAAAUGAGAAAUAAACCAAAACUGGACUUGUUAAAGUGAAGGAAUCAACAAAUGAUCAAGAAAAAGUUGUGUAAAAAUUAUAUCUGUGACUAUAAUCAUGAUCCAGAAAAGGAGAAACUAGUCAACUGAAAUUGGACUCAAUGAAAGUAGAGGAAUGAUCAAGAGACUGACACUUAAAAAAGUUCCAAAAAAGAAACAAGGUAAAAAAGGAAAGCACUCACAUCUGAUUUGAGUGGCCAGCUUUGUAUUCUACCUAGUGGAUAAUCCAGGUCUACAAAUUUACCCAAGAGUCUGCCGCCUUUUGGCUAUAAUACCAUGAUCAGUAGCCCGUCAAACUAUACGUUUAUUACUAUUGCAAAAUGGCUUUCUCAAAUUUUAAAAUUUAGGCUCCCACAUUUUAACUGGCGCUCCAAAUUUGAAGUUGUCUUUUCUACUAUUUCAAUGUUUAUGAUGUCAAUGGUCUAACUUCUAAUUUAAUUUAGACAUCCUUAUGUUGUUUGAUCUUUUCUUUUUUUUCCCUCGUUGCAUAGCAUGUAUUUUUCUGCAUAAAUGACGUUGUAAGGGUUCAAGCAAAUUCCCCCCAAUAAGGGUAUUGUUAAUUUUUAGUGGAUUACCACAAUAUUCAGCAAAAUGGAUUAUCAAACUCUAUUUUUGUUAUUUGUGUUACCUUUUUUCAGGAAAAGCUACAAGAGUGGUUGCUCAAGACGAAAAAUCUCCUUCAAGAUGAAGCUAAUAACAGCAAUAAAUUUGACAUCAACAGCUGUAUGUUACUAUUAUGAUUCUCAAAUUCCGGCUGGAUGCUUUUUUCCAUGGUCAUCUAAAAAUCAAUAAGAUUGAAACUUCCUCUGUUAUCCUGAAGUAACAAUAUUUAACAUGCUUUUUUUUGGAGAUUGGGUUGAUAUGCUUUUCUUCUUUUUCAGUUUGAAGUUCAUAGUGAAUGAACAUAUGUUGUUAUUUGUAGGUUAUGAUUAUUGAUUAAUAAACUAUACCAGAAACAGUGAUCUGGAGAAUAUGUACUUGGAACUUAUGAUAAAGGACAGGAAAGGCAGAAGGAGAAACAAGAUGAAAAGCAAGUCGUAAUGUUUUGCAGAGGAGACAGGAAAGAGAGCAACUUCAUGUAAAAGAAAUUAGACGACGUCAACAUUGCAUCAAUCUUAGAAACAAAUAUUCACAAUUCUUAAAGACCUUUAGUUUUCUAGAUCCUGAUUGUGUUCCUUCUAGGGGAAAAAAGGUUAAGAAACUUGCAAAGUUAAUUGACUAGCUAAAUAAUUAGCUAAUUGAAUGAGAAAAUAGUGAUUUUAUAGUCAAUACAUUAUUGAAUAUUUCCUAACAGUUAAGAAAGUAGUUGCAAAACAUCUUAUCAAAUUGAAAUACUAGUUGUAUUAGAUUGUUAUUCGUGUUAAAGAAUUCUACACCUGAUUUCACAUAUAGAUUGAACUAGGCAAAAGUUAGACAUUUGGAAAGGCAAAUAAAGAUCAAGCCUGUUGGGUUACAGGAGGUUUGCUAUAACAUAGGGCAGAACUAUAAUAGAGCUGAUGGAAACAUCAAAUCUUGAAGAUUUGACUUGAUAUGCUGUACAAACUUGCCCAACAAUUGGGUAUCACAUUAAGGAACUAAUUUGGUGUUUCAAUUGAUGAAAGAGUAGAAAGUGUUACUGUUGUAUCUUCUUUUUGGGUGGCUAUCACUUCCUUAGGUCUUUUUGUAUAUUGUAGUGCUGAGAGCUGGGGUGCCGUCUCAUUUUUUAAAUAGUAAUUGUUUGGUGAUGAAUAAAUCUGCAUAUCAGAGAUAGAGGAAGGAUCUGAUAAGUUUCAUUAGGUACGCUUCCACCUUGCAUUACAAGUGGGAAAAUAAGUCGGUAGUACAGAAAAUACUCUAAGCUGAAUUUUCUCCUUCCUUUUCAGUAAAGACUUUCCUUGUGUUUGUUAGAUCCUGUAUUCUGGGCCUGCUAAAUUUGGCCAUGUAGGUGUGUAAAAUAGGUGUGUUUUUUGUCCCUCUAAAUUUUCCGAUUGCUUCUCCAGCCUUUUUUUAGUUCAUUUAUCUCUCUGUGUGAAACCAAAAUGCACCAAAGCAUGUAAAAGAAGUAGCCUCAAUUAUUAGCAAAUGGUUUUUGGAGGACAUUAAGAUAGUAGCAUUAACAAAGUUAAAGUUCAGGGAGAGAGAAAUGAAGACAAUGGAGUGUUUGGUGAUUAUGAGAGUAGGGAUUAGGAUAUAGCGAAGAUCCAGGAUGAUAAAGCAGCAGAUAGACUGCAUUUAAUGUCUAUCAUGUUUACCAUAUAGUGCUUGGGUAAAUUUUUUGUUUUGUUAAUUCAAACUUGUUAGCAUUCCAAAAACUACUGUACUGAUAUAAACUGUAUUUUCCUUGAAUUACUUACCUAAGAAUAUUUCUGCAUAAUUACCUUUUUAUUAUAUACAUUUUAUUGGUUUUAGGUCCAUAGAUUACUAAAUGAAUAGGAUGGUUGAAGACAUUAUUUGGCACUUAUAUUGAUGACGCUUGCAAAAUUGAGUUUUUGCGUAUUUAAUCGUUAAUUUGGGGGUGCAUUGGAAGCACAAAGGAGGAUAUCUUCAUAAUCUAGACAUCUAACCAGCAGAAUUGAUCUCUUUUCUGCUUUGGCUAUUGCAGUAGCUGACAUCAAGAAGCUUAUCGAAAAAAAUUCUCCUAAACAGAUCAGCUCAGCUAUUGAUAACAUGCUGAAGACCGGAACACUGCUUACCCAAUCUGGGCUGGAUUUGCAGCAGGUAUUUACAUACUACUGGUCUUCUCAUCAUUUUUUCGGAGUAGUCCUGGGGGCAAAGUUGAUUGUCGGGGUGCUAUCUUCUGUAUGUUGCUUAGAGUUUUGCUUGAUUUUACAAAGUAUAGAAGUAAUUCUGGCAAUUCAAUUUGCUGUUUAAAUUAUCUCUAUUGUGUUGUUGAAUUCCCACUUUGUUUGAUAGAUAAAUAUAUAUGAGGAGCAACUACUGUUGUUUGGCACAGGAUACUGUUUUCCUGUCUUUCUUUCAUUAGAUGAAAUUUAACAGUAUCUAGUGGAUUGGGCUUCCUUUUUUUUUUUUUUCUAGUUAAAGAUUAAUGCCAAUACAUUUUAACCUCCAAUAUGAUCCAACAUUAUCCUGAACUUAAAUAACAUUCUCUUUCUAAAAUUUGGAAAUUAUAUAAAAGGUAAUCAGUGAUGUGGCCAUGAAAGCCUUGUUAGUUCUGGGUUGCUAACUUGUUAAGAACAAUGCUUGUCUACUUCCCGUCUUGGUGAUUCUUUUUACAUAUUGAAAAUCUAAGUGGAUCCAAGUAGUGUAAGGGCAAGAGAAAAUAUGUAUGGGAGAAACCCUUCUCUGCCUUUUUCCGUUGAAGGUUUGUUCCACUACAGUAUGACAGGAAGCCUGACGCUAGAUGACACUAGAACUUUGAUCUGGAUAGGAAACUAGGAAAGCUAGCCCUAGCAAUAAAAAACUUAAAGCCCUAUAGCGAAUAUGGGUUAUCAACAGGCACGGUAGUAGCAAAAGAAUCUAUUCCACUCAAUUCAAAUCAAACACGCUAGUUACCUGAAAAUUUGUCAAUAAAGUCUUCUGGUGGGUACCCUUUUUUGUUCAUUUAUUUGUGGACCUCAUUCAUGGUUGAUUCUCCAAGUAGACCUACUUUGUUAGAAAUCCUUAGUUUUUUCUUUGUUUUUGGGGAAUCUAGAUGGAUGCUUUUUGACCAAUUACUGUGCAACAUCUAUUUUCCCAUUGCAUUGGAGAAAGUUGGAGGCUACUAGAAUUGUUUUCAUAUUAGCUGAGCUGUACCUAGGAUAGUUGUUAAGAACAUGAUAAAGUACCUUUUUCCUUUCUUUUUGGUGUAAUCAGAAAUAGAAAUUUUGUUUGUUUUGAUUGCACAUGGUCUGAUGAUCCAUAUCAGCAGGAUUCAUGUAUUAUGGUCUUUAAAUGGUUACUAUUGUGAGAGAUCACCAUUACAAGGAGUAUAACACAGAUUAUCAAAAAUGAUAAAAGGCAAUGUAUUACAUGGUGCUUUUCUUUUUGUUGUUGUGAGGACAGGCCUAGGCCUCUCCUGCACGUGGAAAAUUUUGUGUAUCCAUCUGUUCUUGGCCAUAGUAGAGUCAGCUCACUAUCUAGCCAUCUAGCAGUGAGUCAAUGUUGGAGAAACGGAAUUUUUGUUUCUCCUCUCUCUCUCUCUCUCUCUCUCUCUCUCUCUCUUAUGGUUGCUGUGGAACUUCUUCAAGAACUUGAGACUUAAAGUUAACAGUUGCUGAGUGACUAGGGCUAAUAACCUCUUAGAGCAAGAAGAAAAGAUAGAGGAGCAUCGGUAUAUGUGAUAGUGAUAUGCUGUGAAAAGAUAGAUCUUACGUAUGAUUUGUAGAACAACAUUAGUACUGACUAUUGUACCAAUUCUCCGAAGAAAAUAUGAUAUUUACUGUGUAGUCACCAAAAUAUGCCAUAAAUACCAAAAAAAGAACAAUUAAGCUUGUUCAUGACUGUAACAACAUAUAUGACGAAAGAUACAUUUGAGAUUGUAUGUUAACAAAAAAAGGCGUAUCUUCUUUAAUAAUUCAAAUACCUUGGAAACUAAUGCCUUCUCAUAUAUAUUGGCUCAACACAAUGAAAACUAGAAUAUUCUGUAGAUGGAUAAGCUACAACUAUAAUACUAGUCCAACAAAUUAGACUUUCAAACAGGCAUGUUAAUGAAAAUAUGCUGGAGACUUAUAUCUCUUGGUUUCUUCAUCAAACUAUAUUUUACUUCUCAUUGCAUGAAAAUAUGCAUCUAUAUCGCACCAAAGAUUGGUUUCUUUAUCCUAGAUUAUGUGGAGGAGCAUGGUUGUGACACAUUUUAUGGCUUCUUGGAUAUUUGAUAUUUGCUUUUAAAAUUGUUUUAUUGAUCUGAGAUGUCAUGAAUGCUUUUGUCAAGCUUCAGCUUUUCUGAAGCUGAAGUUAUUAUCUUCACAUUUUGUGUUUUUAUAGAAAGACCGCUGCUGGUCUCAAUUUUGGAUUCUGAUCCAAGAGCAGCAACAAAUCACCAUAUGCAUUUUGUUCUUGUUGUUCUACCUUGAAAUUUUUGGAUCUAAUCUAUCAAUAAUGUUUUGAUUGUUAGAGAGCUGGUAUGACAGUUCAGGCUGAGAGGCUAAAUUUUCUCCGAUUCCUUUCACACUUUCGAGCUGUACAUCGAGGCUCUUCAUUUGCUGGUCUUCGCACUACAACUGUGCGGAAACUGCUUCCUGAGUGGGUUUUCUUUCUGUUGAUUCAUAUUUUGCUUGAAAUUGUUAUUCACUUUGAGGUUUUCGCUUUGCACAUAUGUUUCCCUGUCUUUCUGCUUUUCACUCAUUGUUCGGACCCUUUGAUAAUUUACAGAUCCUGGGGUUUUCUCUGCCCUGUUCACACACCUGAUGGGGAGCCCUGUGGUUUACUGAACCAUAUGUCUUCUUCUUGCCGUAAGUUGGUCUCCUCUGCUUAUUGAUCUCCAAAGCAGAUUUUUAUGCUCGUUUAUUAUAUUUGUUUAAUUGAGAAAAUCAAGCUGGCACUGAUGCUUAAAAAGAUGGGAAAUUUUUAACUUUCCCUAUUUCCUAAAUGGUCAUGGCUGAUCUCUAGCAAGUGCUGGGUUUGCACAUGUUAUGGAUAAUUCACAAUGUGUCAUAAACACGAUAGAUUAUGAAGAAAUUGUUCGAGAAAUCAAAAAAAUGGUUGACAUUUGUUAAAUAGAUAUGAUACUGAUGGAUCAGCUGGGCUUCUGAUGAAGAGAGAAUAUCACUCUGUUGGUUUGGUCAACGUAUUCAAGGUUUUGGUGAUUCAAGAUUACCAAGGAUAUACUCUCCAGUGAUGUCACAUGUGGAUUGUUUUGAGUUAACUCAUGCAUGUCUUGUCAAAAAAAGAAAAGAAGAGAAAAGGGGGGAAAAAAACUCGUACAUGUGGCUUAAAUUUUGAAUUUGGCCUGAAACCACUUGAAGAUGUAUGAUAUUUCAGUUUGCUUUGGUUGCAGAAAUCUGAUUGCAUGUUACAAAAAUAGUGAAAUCUGUUCUGCGGAAAGAACAAUGGAGAUCAUAUGUGUUUUGCAGGAGCGUUCUGGCUAGAGAAUGCUGAGAAAAUGGAGACACGCACCUUCUUUUCCAUGGCUCCUUCAUUAGUGUACAAGAAUUUUAGUUUUAACUAGAAGGCCAUGCGUACCUUAGAAAUCUAUCAAAGUUGAUAACUCUUAACUCAUGGCUCAUACGCUCCUAACUCAAAUAUAAUAUAUUUUUUGUUUUGUGAAUCGAGUUAUUGAUAAGGUUGUGUAAAAGAGUCAAGCCUAUAUGGUACAAUCCAUUUUGUUGUGCUUAUUGGAUAUAAAGCAGACAAAUACCAAACAUGUUUUCUGGCCUUGCAAAUGACAGCCUGUAAAUAUAUGAUGCAGCUGGUGCUUUUGACUUCAGUAGUUUACUAUGUCACUUGGAACCUGAAUUGAUACAGAGUACGCUGAAACAGGGAAAAGGGAAAGCGAGUAUCACACCAAGUAAACAAGGGAAACCUGAAUUGGGAAACAGAGAAAAUAGAUGCUAAGUAUAACACCAAGUAAAUAAGAAAAUAGAUGCUAAGUAUAACACCAAGUAAAUAAGAAAAUAGAUGCUAAGUAUAACACCAAGAAAAUAGAUGGUAAGUAUAGUCCUAGGGAAAUUGAUUUUCACCAAAUUGAGAACUCAAUUGUCUGUGAAAAAUCCUCUUAUAGUGAGCUCCAUGUCCUUUUUAUAUUCUAGGGGCACAUGUGUUGGCCAUUAGUUGUUAUUACUUUGGGUGAAGUUAUUUUGUAGAGUAUAUCAUUAUUGUGUAGUUAGUUUAAAGAGCUUCUGUCUUUAGUAUUUGACUUGAAGAAUUUUAGUAAGACAAGUGACUAUGUAGUCUGACAAUCUUCAAGUGGCCAAAUUGAACAACUGCAUAUGCUAUCUUGACAUAGCAAUACUGAAAGGUCAACUUGUUAAGGCUUGGAGCUCUGAAAGCAAACACAGGUUGAAAAUAAAGAGCUUAGAUUUAGUGGGAAUUCAAGUAAGGUCUUAAAUUUCUGCAUUACUGCAUAAAAAAUUAUUUGUGGCCCGUCUCAUUUAAUUACUUCUCUUAAAAAGACAAGCAAGGAAAUCCAUUUGGGCCUUAAAUUUCUUUUGGUAUUAUUUGUACUUCUUUGGUGCAAUGAAAAUUUCUUUGAGAUUCAUAUAUGUGGGAAAUAUGUUUCUAAAAUAUAUUUUAAUAGAAUAAGAUUGAAGGAGGUUUAUGUCUUCUAAAUUGCUUGCUUUAGAAUAUGAUAGGAGGCUAGGAAAGUGAGAAUCAUAUGAUACUUGGUUGACAUUUGAAGAAUUGGCCUGUUAUAAUAGUUAAGACUAUGCCUCAUUAAAAUCUUAAAUGAUAAAAAGAUGUUCAGGGAAAGGUCAUAGGAAGGUAAGUAUAGAGCAUAUGAUGAUUUGUGCUCUAAGUAAGUUUUGGCAAGAAAACCAUGUAAGGAUAAUGUCUUUCAACUCAAUUACAAGUAGCACCUGAAGUUUGGCCAACCAAUAGCUAGCAUUUUUAGCUGAUAUAUUUUGUAAUUGCUGUGCUUUAACUCUCUAAGAUUUUAUAUACUAUUUGUUGUCAAGCUCUGUAAAAUUUAACUGUCAAUCCCACAAAACUAAUCUGCAACAUAUUAGAAUAUCACUAUGCAUUAGUCCUAAAAGAUUUUGAGAGUUCCAUGUUCAUUUAAUUUACUAAUCUUGUCCAACUCUUUGUCCACUUGUCCACCAUUGCAGAUAUGUAGCUUCCUACCUCCAUCUCAACUUCCAUCCUUCCUUCUUAUGUUGAAAGGUAUAAAAUAACAAACACAAUAAAAUCCGUAUAGUCCAUCAAAUGAAUGAGACCUGUCACUGGACUGAUUUCCAAUUGCCUCCUAAUGGGCACUCAAAAACUUAGAAGAUAUGCCUCUUAAUAGGCUGUUUAUUAUGCAUUAUGUUUAGAUACAGUCAGGCACGUCACAUCUGAUUAGCCUGGUGAAAGUUAAAGAAUCGUACCAUUACUACUUAGACUUAAAAAAUGCUUUUCUUUCUGUAUAUAAUUUGAAAAAAAGUAAAGUGAUAAAUGUAAAAGCAUUUAGCAAAAUGUCUCCUAACUGGUGCUAGGUAAUUAAAAGGGAUUUCUUCAGUUGUCUGCAAACAUUUCAGUAAGCAGUUAAUGAUGUUAUUCUGGACCCCUUACUCAUCUCAGUAUGGGGUCCUUGCUCGCAAUCUCUUAGCACCCCUCUUCUGUCAACUGGCAUUCCGAACCCAUUGAUUAAAAGCUCUAAUGAAGCCUUGGUACUUAAACAGAUUGGGUGCCAGAAGCUAAAGUGGAGAGUCAUGCCUUAAAUAAGGAUGUAAAGCAUAUGAGCCCCACUGAAAAAUGUAAGAUGUACAAAAUGCAUGGAUCUAUUCCAUUCUAGUUAAUAUCAAGAACCAGGCUAUCUCCAAGAAUGUAGGAGGUGAAUAAAUUGCCAUUUGGUGCACGGGUAAAGAUGCAUAAAAUUUCUUCUACUCUUUAGUCUUUAUUGAAGGAUCUAGUAAUACUUAAGUAGAAUUUGCUGAAACAGUCAUAUGACAUCACAGGUCAAAGCAAAGAAUGAAACUUAAGAGCAGUCAUAAUUGAUAUAGGAUCCUAGUAACUAGACAUUUUCAACAACAAGAUAUUCUCAACAAAGAUUAGGUUGGUAUACAUAUGAUACUGGCUGUGUUGUGUGUGUGUGUGUGUGUAUUCUGGCCUGUGAUUUUGCUUCUCAGAAGAUGUCAUUUGAAUUUGUGUGAAUUGCCAAGAUGUAGGUUUUGUGCCUAACAAGAAACGUGGAAUGCUUGCAAACUCGAUAGCUGUAUUUUUCAUGGUUAAAUUAUAAUGGAAUGUAACAUUUUGCCAGGUAUCACUUCAUACUACGAUAACGAGGGAAAUGUCAGAGACUUCCUGAAAACUAGGAUGUCAAUUCUGAGUGUUCUUGUUGGUGUUGGAAUGACACCCUCGCUGCCAAAGCUUGUGCAGGCUGGUCCUCCUAAAGUUCUUUCUGUUCUUUUAGAUGGUCGUGUUGUUGGUUCAAUACCAUCUGACCUAGUUGAAAAGGCGGUCACACACAUGCGAAGAUUAAAAUUGUCAGCAACAGCACAGGUAUGUUCUGUUGCGUUAUGUUUCAAAAUUAGUUUUUAAAUCAGUACUUAUAAUGUACGGAAAUAAUAGAUUCCUGAGGAUCUCGAGGUGGGAUAUGUUCCUUUGAGCAUGUGUGGGGCAUACCCUGGCUUAUUCCUGUUCACAUCUCCUUCAAGAUUUGUUCGUCCAGUCAGAAAUAUCUCGAUCCCUCCUGAAGAGGGCAACAAGUUUGAACUUAUCGGACCCUUUGAACAGGUAGUUAUAAUUGCCAAUAGGUACUUCAGCCUACUUGUGCUUCUGUAACUACAUAAAGAUUUUCUGCUAUGUACUUAACUCUUGCACUGGAUCCAUUGUAGUGCGGAAUUUUGCCUUCUUAUAAGGAUACUGCUUUGUGCAGGUCUAUAUGGAAAUAAGCUGUCCUGAUGGUGGAGGUGGUGGGAGGAAGAGUAUGUUUCCUGCAACUCAUGAAGAAAUUCACCCAACUGGGAUAUUGAGUGUUGUUGCUAAUCUUACACCUUGGUCAGAUCACAAUCAAAGCCCUCGUAAUAUGUACCAGUGUCAGGUUUGCCACAUGUGGUUCAAACAGUUAAUUUGUUUGUAUAAGUGCUGCUAUUCUUACUAUUUAUGCUCUAUGUCAUCUAGAUGGGAAAACAAACCAUGGGAUUCCCUUCUCAAGCAUUACACAGUCGUGCUGAUCAAAAGCUUUAUCAUCUUCAGGUUUGUUCUGAAAGUUUUGUCCUUUUGCUUUUUAUAGAAAAUGGCAUUUCCAAUAAAAUGAUUCCUUGGUAGCGGCGGUGCAGAGCAACAUUAUUAUUAUUAUUAUUAUUAUUUGGUUGUAUUGCUUCCUCCUCAUUAUCAAAUUCUUUUCCUUUCAGUUAGUUUUUAAUGGUAAUAGAUAUUCUCACUGUUUCAUGCUUAAUAAAUGUAAAAAAAUGUGUAAGACGAUUGCUUUAAAUUUUUAUCUCUGGGUGGUGGAGCAGCUAAAGCAGAAAAUGCUGCUAUAUAGAAGAGCCAAAUAUGAGCUGUAGGAGUCCUUUUUUUAAUUCACUUUGGUCAAUAAGAAAAAAGAGAGAAAAAGGAAAAGAGAAACGAAAGGAGAAUAUGGAAUAAUUCAAAGAGUUGAUUUCUCAGUCCCUUCUGGUUCAUCCAAUUUUACUUCGCUAAUUUUUUCCUUUUUCAAUGACAUUUUUGUUUUAGUGAACAAUGAGAAGUGUCACAAGAAUUCAGGUUAAGUUGAUAGGAAUAAAUAGUAUCGUCCUGGUCAAAUGAUGAGAUGAUUUCAUACUGAAUCGUUUCAUGAUUGUACCAAACAGAACUUAUGCUGGGAGGAUAUAAAUGUGGUUGUGGUGGGGUGCCUAUCAUGGUUAAGAACCUUGAUGAAUAAUGGUAUUGUUCAUAAUACCUGAGUUCUUUUAGAUGAUACUUUAGUUUAUGUUAACUUCAUUAUUAGGAUGGCAAUGACUUGGUCUCCCGAAGAUCUACUCAAGAAGUGGUCACUUCUAGGUGUGCAUCUUCAUGAAGCAGUUUUUUCACCCAUUAAAGGUGAUAUUGUUCCAUGUAUUGCCUUGUUCAUCUGUGUGUUUGGAGUCAAUCACUUUUUGGAAUAUGUAAUAGGUUGAUUGUCUUUCUGCCCCUUGCUUAUUAGGUUUUUCCUUGCAAGAUUAGGCAAUAAUUUGAUUCAGGAUUGCCUUUACUGUUAUGAUCAAUUAAGAAUGGGAAAUUUUCAUAUUUAGUUUUCAGUAGGUCUUUGAUUAUCAUUGGCAUUGAUUGUUGUACACUUGCAUUUAGGUUCAGGCACACUGUUUACAUUCUAAUUUUUUUAAAACAAUAAGAAUCUCCUAUGUGUUGUAUUUCAUAGUUAACCUGACCUUACUUUUGAUGUGGUAAGAAGUCUUGUGAUAAAUUAACCUGUUUGCGAACAACUAUGGAGGUAUCCUAAACACAAACAUUUAACCAACUCAAUGAAACUGCGAGAUGGAUCAAUUUACACUUGCAUAUCUAGAUUGCUGAUGUGCCAGCAGUAGCAAUAAGUAAUAUACGUAAAAUGGAGGUAUAGUGCUAUUUGCUUUUUAAACAAUUUUCUUAAUGGAAACAUCUAAAACAAUCAAAGAAGGUUCAUUCUUUGAUAAUUUAGCAUGUUACUGUGACUUUGGACAAAUAUUUAUUUGCAAAUUACUUUGGAAGUGCUGAUACAAGUGAGAGAGACAUUUAUACUUGAUAUCUGGUGAGAUGCGAGUAUCAUGCAAGAUUCUGGGAGACAAGGUGGACAAUUUGUCAUGUAGAGUAGCAAGUUUCGUACUCUUAACAGAUUGCUGAUCUCCCUUCUGAUGACUUGUAUAGUUCUCAUUUUUGGGGGGUAUUUUGAUUUCACUUUCCAGUCUUUGAAUAUAUUUUGAAUGUGGCUGAUUAACCCUUCUUUUGACUCUGCUUGAUAUUGUGCCUUACAGACUCCCCAAACACCUAUUGUACGCACAAAGGCAUAUGAAAAGUACCACAUUGAUGAGUUUCCAUUAGGAACAAAUGCUAUUGUGGCAGUUUUGGCUUAUUCAGGGUAUGAAUUAUAAACAUGUUGAAAAUCUGAAUUAUAUAUUAUAGGUACUUAUACUUUUCUUGGUAUCCUGUAGAUAUGAUAUGGAGGAUGCCAUGGUCUUGAAUAAAUCAUCUGUGGAACGUGGGAUGUUUCAUGGUCACAUAUAUCAGGUAGCAUGUGGUGCUUGGAGUUUUAGUUUCUUGACUACAAUCAGAAAGAUGCAGUAUGCAAUGAUCUUUUUAUAUUGUACUUGUAGUCACUUUAAUUUUUGAACAUUAUCAAUCUUAAUCUCAACACUUUUGCUUUACAUCUAAGAUCUUGUCUUAAUUUACUGGGGUACUAGGUUUUUAUCAUCCUGCAUCUUUUGCUAAGAGUAUUGAGGAACUAACAAACAUUUGUUAGUAGUGUUCAGGCUAAAAUCAAAGUACUUUUUUUUUUUUGAGUCAUGUAGUCUAAUUAGGAUUUAAUAGAAGUUGGCAUAAUUGACCCCCAAGAAUGUAAUUGAUGCUGGCUCUGGUCUGGGACUAUGGACUGUAUCUCCUUUCAUUCUGGAAUAAGGGAAUGUCUUUACAUGGUCUGUAGUGCUUCCAAUCAUGUGAACUAUAUAUGCCAGUAUUAGAAGUUUUCAGGUAGGUAAGGCAUCAUAUGCUAUGCUCAGUAACUUAUGCUUGUUUUUUAGAUAUCUAUGUUAAAGAAAUGUGUUUUGGGUCAUCUACUAUGUUUUUUGGGGUAAAUGUGGGCCAUUUCUACUUGUGUGAUUACCAAGUCUCUUAAGUUAGCAAUUAGAAAGAAGUGGUUGUUACUACCGUAUAGCACUUCCCCGAGUGUUUGAUAACCGAAAAACGUAAUUCAAAAUAAUUUUAGGCAAUGUGUUUGAUAACCUAAAAACCGUUCAGAGACUCACCUAAACUUUCUUCUUGCACUACAAUGGACCAGUGUGCAAGCAUUCUAGGGAUUAAUAAACCAUCUUCAGAGGUUUCUGGUUUAGAAACGAAAAGUUGUGUUCUUAAGAGAAUGUUUGUUGAUACACUUGUAUGAAACAUUUCAAGUACUUGCUUGAAAUGUUGAAUAUGAACUGUCUUCUAGUUGGUGAAGUAUACAGUCAUACAUGAGUAAUGGAAUUGAAUCUUGAAAUGGGGUUUGAUUAAAUUAAGUGAAGUUAUAUCUUCACUAGAAAUAAAAUUGGAAUUAGAAUUAUUAUCUCUAGCUCCAAUUAGUAUUCCUACUCAAGGUAAGAUCACUAAAUAAAGGAAUCAAGAAUGCAUCUUACUAUCCAAAAACUGCUCAGCAACGGUCGGACAAGUAGGGAAUGUUGAGGUGAACUGGAAAGAUUGGCUAUCCACAACAAGUGAUCAAUUAACUUCUUGAGUUUUAAUUAAAAAAGUUUCUUUGCCAAUUACACCAACUUUCUCCUCCCAAGAACACUUGUGUGUCCACUCUACAUGUUUGCACAGGCUGAAAACACACUGAAAACCAUUAGACAAACUCAAUAUCCAACUGCUAAUAUUGGAAGACAUUAUUCACUACAAUGGAAUCUUCCCUUUGUACCAAAACCUUCUCCAAGUGUGUUUUUUGUCUUCUUCCAAAAGGCGUUAUACAUCUUCUAAUUCAUGAUACUUGGUAGUGGAUGUUUAAGGUGCCUUAUGGGAGCACUGGUUUGAAUGCACUGAAUACUUGCUAACCAUGUUGCAGGCAUUUGCUGAUUUUUUUCUUUUGCUGUUUUACUACAAAACCAUCUUUUAGGAUGGAAGACGUGGUUCCCCGAGACUGUAGUAUAAAGCAGAAAAAAGGAAAAUUUUAGAUUUGUUUCUCCUAAUUAAUUUCCUUAUAUCCAUUAAAGUAAUACGCAUCUACACUACAAUAACUGUCAAACUUCAUUUUUUGUCUUUCUUCAACUAUAGGAAUCAAAUAUCAUAGUCUAAUUAGCUAAUAUUGUUGCUUUGUACUUAUUGCUUGAUUGAUUUGUCUUGUUUUCAUCUUAAAUGACUGGUUUAGGAGGCAAGGAGUGCUACUAUUUCAACUUGUCUUCUUGUUUCAUUUCAAACCCUUAACAGUAUUUAGGACAAUUUUGAGUUGUAGUAAUUGUUUACUGCAGCUUUAGACUACGAUGAUAUUGUUACAUCGUAUAUGUUGUUAGGGUUAUUUCAUGCUUGAAAAACAUCACCUUCCCUGUCCCCUUGAAAAGAGAGAACUUAAAAUAGAGUAAACAGAAAGAGAUGAUCGAUGUCUUUCACAAAUACUUAUUAUGCAUUUUCAUUUCUUAUUUGGUUAUGCUAGGUCAUUGUUUUUGCUUGAUUCACAGCUAUCAUUUUCUGCUUGUUCACUUCUUUGAGUUCUAAUAUGCAGACAGAAACAAUAGACCUUACUGAACAGAGAAGCAAUUCUGGUCGUGGACAGAGAAUAUUUAGAAGAAGCAACCUAGACAAGUCAUCUCAGCAUCUGGUUGAUUCUGACGGUCUUCCAUAUGUUGGGCAGGUAAAAAAUCUUUCUUGCAUCAAAACAACUUUCCCAUCACCAAUUACUGAUUCUUUAGCAUAAAUGCCAGAGGAUAAAGCCAAAUGAACCAUACUGCAGCAUCUAUAAUGAGAUAACAAGUUCAACAUCAAGUACCAAGUUAAAAGGAUCUGAGUCCGUUGUUGUAGACUAUGUUGCUGUUGAUGUGAAAAACAAGAAUAACUUACAGAAGGUGAGUUUUCCUGCUUGUUCUAAAUAUUAACAUGAAAUUAAUAUUAUUGUUGGUUCUGAAAGAAUGUAUGCUAAUUUGUUUAUGUUUCUAAAUAUUCACGUGAAAAUAUUUUUUUGGUUGAACUUAUAUGUUGCAUUUGAAGGUUUUCUACUCCUUUUGUCUUUGACUUUUUGCCCUUGGUUGACUACUCUUCGUCACUCAGGUGUAUAUAUGUGCCAAAGAAAGCAGCUAUGUUGAUAAGUGAAUUCAGAUUAUCUAAUAUCUGAUAGGAAGUACUUGAGGACUUAUAGUUUGAUGAUGUGAUUAAAUUUUAUUAUGAGUGUUGACGAUGUGAAUUGUCCUUCUGAUUGCUAGAUAACCGUUACCUUGGCGGUCACUUUUAUUCUUUUUUGCGAGAAUGUUUGCUCGUGUAUUGCUGUAUCUAUGCUUGAGAAACAUAACAUGCAAGAACAUGCUUGCAUCUUUUAUAUAUAUAUAUAUAGAGAGAGAGAGAGACAGAGAGAGUUCAAUGCGGAUUAUUUAGCUUUGGUCCUGUUGUUUUGGUUCCUCACCUUUUUACAAAAUCAUAUCAUGCUGAUCUACUUAGCACAAUGCUUUAGCAUGCUUUAAAUGUUUCUGGCUGCUUUUCUCACAGAUUUCUUGGAAGUGGCACUGGCUCAAUUGGAUGUUUUACCCCUUUCUUUUUCAGGUUAAUAUACGUUUCCGACGUCCCAGAAAUCCUAUAAUUGGUGAUAAAUUUAGCAGUAGACAUGGCCAGAAAGGUGUAUGCUCUCAACUCUGGCCAGAUAUUGAUAUGCCAUUCGCAGGACUCACUGGAAUGCGGCCAGAUCUUAUUAUCAACCCUCAUGCUUUUCCGUCAAGAAUGACAAUUGGGAUGCUUUUAGAAUCUAUUGCUGCUAAGGUAAUGCUAGCAAGCUUGCAUUAUGUUCUCUUCUAGAAUAGUGCAAAGUACAUAAUUUAGCAGAAAUACAUGUAAGUUGGAUAUCAUCUGUUGAUAAAGUUGAUGAAUCCAAAUUAUUUGCAAUAUUGCACAGUGUCUUUUGGACUGCUGACAUUGUCGUUCAGCCAUGACGUGUCAAAGCUUUUCCUAACAUCUGUGUUACACAGCGGAGCUUCUUUCUGGUCUUAGCCUAGCACGACCAUCUUUUAGAGCCUGUCAGUGGAAUGACAAAUGCAUUAGUAAAUUCAGAGUUCUUUUAUUUUCUCCCAGCUCUUGAAGCCUGCAGCUCUUUUCCAGGGAAUAAACCUAUAAUCUGCAAAAAAAAUAUAUUAUUUGAUGUUUGCCAAAUAGUAUUAAUUUUGAAUCUUACAUAUUUUUUGUACUGCUAUUUUUACAAUUCUAAACUGCUUGUUUCUAAUAAAUAUCGUCCAUGAGAUAUUCAGGCAUGUAAUACAGAAUAUUUUUAGCUUUGAAGCUUUUGCAUUCCAACUUGGGCAAUUAUAAAUGUCAGAACGUAGAGAUUUUGAAUGUCUGUCCUGCCAUAGCUCUUCAAGAGGCCAUCAUGUGCAGGACUUAUCCUCAAAGUAAAUCUGGUCUACUAAGAUGGGAUUCAAUUUUUCAAAGUUGAGCCUAAGUUGUAUGAGUUACUUCUUCUUUGUCUACAAGAUAAAGAGCGAACUUGUACUCUGUUAAUAAACUGUCAAACUGCUGGUGGACUUUGGCAGUCUUCUUGGCCUUGGUUGGAGUGCAAUGAGCAGUGACUCGUAACAUAGAAGCCUUCUGUUGAGCUGUGAUUUACUAUUGCUGGAAGAAGAUAAGGACAACGUCUAGGGUACUUCACCUUCAUGCAAUUAUGGGUCACUUUGGACAGAAAGGAUCGACCAGGCUUAGGAAGAACCUCACAGUGCAACUAAAAAUUGUUUUCAGGAGCAGCCUUUACUUGGGUGUUAUAGAUGGUCUUGAAGUGUAUGCUUAUCUUUUGUAUGGUUUUUUGGAUCAAGUUCAUAGGUAUAGAUAGGUGUUAAUUGCUAUGAGUAGGUUAAAAAUUUAAAAGAAGGCCCUCCUUCGGCAGAAUCAUAAUGAAGAGUUGAUUUUCAACUAAAAUUUAUUCCUUCCUUUUCUUCUCCUAAUCCAAUUCAUGAUGAACUUGUAUAUUUUGGUCAAGUGCCUGUGGUCGAUUAAUGCAUUUAAACGUUAUAAUAGUUUUAGCAUUCCCAUUCUUGUCAAUAUGGAGCCUUUUAUCUUUUAUUACACAUGAAAUUUAAUUUAAGCCACUUCCUGUAGUUUGUCUUUCCUUUGAUUGUCUGUAACGAUUAAUCAUUGAUUUAAUAGCUAGCUCAUCCCUAUCUUGUUAUAGGGUGGUGCCUUGCAUGGGAAAUUUAUGGAUGCAACUCCUUUUACGAGCUUGCUGAAGAAGGGAAAUGAAGGACAGGAGUCUGAAUCAAGUUCACUGGUUGAUGAACUUGGCUCAAUGUUGACUGCUUAUGGGUUCAACUACCAUGGUUCAGAAGUACUGUACAGUGGGGUUUAUGGAACUGAACUAACAUGUGAAAUAUUCAUUGGGCCUGUUUAUUAUCAACGACUCCGACAUAUGGUAUCUGAUAAAUUUCAGGUAUCAUCUUCUGUUAAAAACAAUAAGUUAGUAAUAUAUUGGUUCUCUUUGAAAGUUCUGGUGUAUUAAUGAAUUAAUUGUUAAUGUUUUGUGUUUAGUGUACAAAAUCUAGACUUUGGAUUUGCCUAGAAAAUGCAUCUAAGACAAAUAUUGCUUUCUGUUUUUUGAGUGUUGUCCAAAUUCUGCAUUUGAUGCAGAAUGUAACUAGUACCAUUUUCCUAAGCUGGCUUGCUUGGUCAUGUCCACUACUUGGAAAAAUCAGCUUCUUGUCCUUUCUAUUGCAUGGUAGAAUUUGUAGACGAGUUCUUGGCAUGUUUUUGACAAAAAUCUUAAGAGCUAGCAGUUGCAGUGGCAUCUUUGAUUUUCUUAGUGACUAACCGUACAAAAUCUGAUUGUUGAAUUUGUCCUACGUCGUCAGUUUAUGUGGGUGUAAUAGGGGAUUGAUUUGAAUGAUAUGCACAGAAUAAAGUAACUAAUGUUGUGGAAAAUUGAUCUGCUUCUCGGUGAGUUUCCAACAGUGUUUGGCUUUUGCAUAGUGACUUCCUCACAUUCUCGUGGCUUUAUCUAUAUGCUCUUUGUGUAUAAUUCCUUUGCAUCUGGACGGUUAUAGACAUAGUUGUUGCGUUGAACUUGCUCCUUUCUUUUCUCAGGUACGGUCUACUGGAACGGUAGAUCAAAUAACCAGACAACCUAUUAAAGGAAGGAAGCGUGGUGGGGGUAUCCGGUUUGGGGAAAUGGAAAGAGAUUCCCUUCUUGCCCAUGGUGCAGCAUAUCUGUUGCAUGACAGGCUUCAUAUUAGUUCUGAUCAUCACGUUGCUGAUGUGUGCUCUAUUUGCGGAAGCCUCUUGACAACAUCACUCAUCCCAACAAAGCAACGAGCAAUCCGCGAGAUCAUUGGUCUGCCACCCGGUAGGAUCCCCAAAAAAGUCAUGUGUGUUGCUUGCCAGACAAGUAAGGGAAUGGAGACAGUUGCAAUGCCUUAUGUCUUUCGAUACUUAGCAGCAGAGUUGGCAGCCAUGAAUAUCAAAAUGACCCUACAGUUGAGUAGUGGAGCAGAAGCUUAAUAACCAUUUGAUUGGAAAUUUGGCAACAAAACCUGCCUGAGUAAGACAGGUGGAAGUGUGCCAUCCAUAAUGCAGAAAGACUAAUCUCGAAAGUUUCCAAUCGGGCAAUAAGCUGGUGCGCACCAGGGGGUUUGUUGGUAGCGGCCUUUUGACAGCACACUACUGGGUUAUAGGCUGUCAGAGUUGAGAUGGCUUAUCUGUAAGAGCGGAUUUCUUCUUGUUUGUACUGCAACAUCUCAUUGUAUUGUAUUUAAUAAAAAUUAUCGCAUUGUAUUAUUUGCCUCAUUUGAGUAGGUUUAGCUAUUCAACCUUUGUUCCUUGGAUACUGAUUCCAAGUUUGUAAUAUGUUUGACAUGAUAGCUUUUCCAAUGAAAGAGCAAAAGGAGAUUUGAGAUAUUGUAUAGUAUUUGAGAAAUAAAAUUACAUUAGUAAUUACCAAAUAUGAUUACAAUAAGUACGCAAUUACAGAUUUGUUUUCACUAAAUGGUCUAUAAUGCGCAAGCACCGAAUUUUGAUUUAAAAACAUGAGCCUAUAAAUGCAGAAUCCAAAGUAGGAGAAAAGGUUGAAUUCAAUUUCUAAUUGAGUGAGAAAUGUAAGCAAACAAAAGCAAACGAUACCUCUUGAUAGUUUCCAAGGGGCAUCACAAUAGAAAACAUUCUUAUCAGGAUAGGGUGAGGUGAAAAUUGCAGGCUUAACAAAAGGAUAACAACAGGGACAUAAGUUUAGGAGCUAAUGCAGUCUAUAUACCAUAUUCACCAAGUAUAAUAACUAUAUCCAGUGGCAAGUCUUUUAGCUGGAAAAUAAGGAAUUUCACCUUAGAAUUCAGUAAACCUGCAAAACAAGAGAAGAUAAAGCAGAGUAAUUUUCUUGUUGCGGAACUUCAAGAAUUCUAUCAAACCAUCCAGGAGAAAGCACACAACAUAUUUCCAACAAUUCCAGGCUUCCAUCCAUGUCACUAGAUUGUACCUGUAGGCUGUAGCCAAAGAAGAAAAAGAAAUAUGACCAUCCCCCUUUACAAAGAUAAUCCCAUUUUAAAUAAACAAUGCAAUCCAUAUUCAAUAUUAUCCAAUAAGAGUAAGAUCUAACCUAAACAAUAUUCAUAUUUUCUCUAAAAAAGUAAGAUUUAACCCAACUCAUAUUCAUUUUUGCCACUAAAAAAUUGAGAUUUAACCUUUUUGUACAUAAAAAAUGAGUGAGUAUGAGUUACAUGGUGAUUUCAUGCUAAAAAGUGGUCAGAAAAUUAGGUUGAGACCAAAUUUUGCUAAUUUGAAUUUGUAAAGGGUAUAAAGUUAAUAUUUUAAAAGUAAAGGAUAAAAAAAUUUAUUUGACGAAAUAUGAGGGACAUUUUGAAUAAUUUUUUCAAAUUACAAAUAUACUGAUAGAAAGACUGAAAAUUCAAAAGUAGGAUAAAGAUUUUUAAUGAAAGUGAAAAGUUUCGAAUGCAAGAUCUGCCCGUGGGUACUAUCCAACCUAUCUCGCUUCCCCUUAUGCAUUUGUAUUUGGGGAACUAGUAAUGUUCAUUAAUUUUAUUUAAAAAAAUGGUAAGAUGUGGUGAAUUUACCACAGCAUCCCGAAUAGUUCGGCAGGAGAAAAGUUAAUUAUAAUUUAGUCCUUAGGUUGUCUAAUUUUUCAAAAGAAAUACCUCAACUUCCUGGGUAGCAGUAGUCACCAGCUCCAUCAUGGACUGCAGCUGGCCACCGGAAGAAGGGCAGGAAUGGUUGCAGGACAGUUCACGUCCAAGAUUUGACCCAAAAAAAUUGUACGGUCCAUAUCUUAUAUUGUACCUCGUUUUUAACAACAUAUGUGGGACUCACAAAAUUUUGUUCUAGAAUUACACGUUAUUGAAAAUAAGUUACAACAUAUACAAACAGAGUUACACCGUGUGCAAAAUACACAUAACCUUCAGGAAUGGUUGCAAGAGCAACCGUUCCUGCCCUUGGUCCCUGGCCACCACCUCUGAUGAGGUUUUUCUUAUAGACAAAAUAUAUCAUUCGACUUAUUUUAUUUUUCAAGGAAUAAGAAUGGGACAUUCAACUUGAAAAUGGGUGUGGCACUGCCAAUUAAGGCCAAACUCAUUGUGCUCUGUCAUAUCUAAGCAUGCCAAUGAAUCGAAUCUUAGUCUGAUCCAAUCCAGACCUAACAUACUUUUUAUGGGUUUGAAUUUAAUUUUUCUAAGUUAGAUGUAAACCAUAUGAGCGGAUCACGAAUUUGGAUAGGAUUUGAUUUUUUAUGACAAUGCCCAAAUCUAGAACCAACCUAAACUCUACCCAAACCUAUGUGUGUGUAUAGAAUUAGUUGAUAAUAGUUCUUUCUUUGGAUUUAUAAUACUCCUCAACUUCUUGAAUAUUAAUUUUAUUAUUUGAAAAUAAAAAUUAGAUGAUAUUUAUAUUGUCUUUGAGUUUUAUAUAUUUUUAAUACCUUUAUCUUAGUUAUCCACUGUAUAUUGAGAAAGAUACUUACGUACGGAUACCUAGUGGACAUCCAAACUCAUGAGAUUCUAAUCCCGAGUUUUCCCUCUAAAUUCGUAAAGGUCUAGGUCUAAAAUUGGGUAGUGAAUCUAGAUCAAGAAUCCCAUACCCACUGACAUGCUUAAUUAUAAUCACCUAAAAAUCACGUUCGACUCGCCGAGUCCUAUAAGAUCUAUAUAAAAAAUCUUUGGCUUAGACAGUAGAAUUUUACUUGCAGAGCAAGUCCUUUUUUUUUUUUUUUCCCCAAACGGCAACGUUUCAUUCACUUGUAGAGCAAGUCCAAAUGCAACAAAAUUUAUACCAAAAUCCUCUUAUCACCAUAAUUUUACUUGCAAAGCAAGUCCAAAUGCAACAAAUUUUAUACCAAAACCCUCUUGUCAAAGAGCAAAAUAAUGGAUUUACUAUUUUGCACGAGAAUGGGUCGGGCAGGCCGAGGCGGCUCUCUCUUCUUCUCCAUUUUCCUUUCCUUUUUAGUUUUUUGGUUUCUCCAGAAAAAGCAGUGAUUAUGGAAACCAAGAUUGAUGCUCGUGUCGUGGCAGGCUAUUCCGAGAAUAGCAGCCUUAUUAAUCGUUAGCCUUGCUCUACCACUACUUCACUAGCUGCUCACAGCCAAGGUCAUUUAUGUAAAUUAGCAUUUCGGAUGCUAAUUGAUAUAACAUGAAUAGUGACAAAUUCCUCAAUUUCAAAUUUAUCAAAAGUUAUAUAUACUCCACUUACAAAUAUCUAAUAUUCCAACCUUCCUAUUACUAUUUUCCUAAUUUUCCCUCAAACUUUCCCUAAUAAUUACUCAAUACCAAGUGGCCCAGACCCACUCUACCAAGUGUAAUUACUCAAUAAUUUUUUUUUAAUAAAUAGUAUAUCCUCUUAAUUACUGCUUAAAAAAAAAACAAAAUGACUGAACAAUACAAAUAACAUAUGAAGUUUAAUAGAUGAACACACAUUUAGAUUUAGUACCCCAGAUGAAGUAUAUGUUAUCUAUUUACAAUUAUUUUCAUGAAAAUUCCAAAAGAAAAGAGGAUCGUUUUUUUUUUAUUGAGGGUUAGCUUCUUGUUUAUAUCACAAUCAUUGUCGUUCUUGCUGCUUCAGCUAGCUCAAGUACUUUCUUAAUGAAAAGGCAAACCAAUCCUUAAUUUGUUCCUUGCGUGUUUAGAUAAUAAAUUGUAUAAACCUAUUGACAAGUUUGUUUUAAAUAUACAUAACUCUUCUUUUUCAAUAAUCAAUUUUAGGAAAAAAAAAAAGUUAUCAAUUCUUGAUAUAUAGCUAUAAAAGUAAAUGCAGAAUUGAAAUAUGGAAGUAUAUUAUACGUUGCACCAAUUUAGGUGCGCCAGUAAAUAUUAAACUUUUCCAAAAUUUCAUUUUUCCCGGUACAUAUACCUUUUUUCUUGUCACCCGCGACACUUGUUAAAGUGCUCAAUUGAACCAUUCUACCUGUUUGGUGGGUUAAAAGAGACGGCAAUCGAUGAAUGAUUGAAAUGCUAGCCUAGUUUUUAUAAAGGCAAAAUUGUUCAAAACAUUUCGUCAAAUGAAGUUUUUCGUCCUUCGCUUUUAGAAUGGUAAUUUUAUGUCUCUUACAAAAUUGAAUCAGUAAAAUUUAGUCCCAAUCUAAGUUUUAAAUACUUUUUACCCUAAAUUCAUCACGUGGCCUAUGCGUUGUCAUUGUUUUAGGGAAAGAAAAUGUUAAAUUUCAUUUGUAAUUAAACAAAUGACCUAAUUCAUAUUUAAAUUUGUCCCUAAAAAGUAGGCUCUAACCUGAAUUAUAUUCCUUUUUUUCUAAAAAAAAAUGAAAUUUGACUCGAUCCGUAUUCAUUUUUGCCAUUGAAAAUGUGAAAUAUGACCUUUAAUUUUGUGUAUUAAAAAAAAUGACUGCCUAUGAGUCACAUGGUGAAAGUGAUUGAAAACAUAGGUUGAGACCAAAUUUUAAUAACUUAAAUUUAUUAGGGAUGUAAAGUUACCAUUUUAAAAAUGAAGAACGAAAAAAUUCAUUUAGUAAAAUAUAAGGAAAUUUUUGAACAAUUUUCCAUUUUAUGAAUGAAAUGUUAAAAUGUGGUGGUGGAACUUAAUGGGCGUAAAUGACAUCAUUGGAGCUGAAUAUUAUUUUGGAUCAAGGUCUAAGUAUUUUGCAGGUAUCAAGCCCAAUGAAUUUAUUUUACGGCUAGAGCCUUGUUAUCCUUUUUUUUUCAUAAGAAAAGAAAUUAUUUUAUUGAUGAACUUGUUGGAAUUCAUCGCACACCAAUUGCUUAACAAAAUUUGGAAAUGAGUUCUGUAGAGAAUCAUCUAGAUCGUUGACUUUAACAUAAUGCGCCAAGCAAGGUUUUGAAACCCAACCCGGACCACCCGAUUGAACCCGUUGAAUCAUCGAUCGGGCUGCUAGGAGGGUCAGAUUAUGUGUCAAACCCAAAGGGAUUAAAAAACCACCCAGUCAACUUUUGUUAUGAUCAUUGACUUUUGUGAAAGCAAUUAGCCCAGAUGGUUUGACAGUUGGAUUGUUGAAUCAAAACGGUUUUCAUUAAACCGGCCGAUUCCUUGCCCAACUUUAAUUAACACAAAAAAAUUUAAAUUUAGUCAACUAAUCUCAUUCAAUGACAUUCCAAAAAUAAACCUUACCAAUUACCCAUGCAUAAUUGUCUCCAAUUAGUUAGGUAUUAACAAUUAUUACCUUAUUUCUACUCCUCAUUCUCUUUCUCUCUCAUAAUGAUAUUUUAACUUUUGUCUAACAUUUAUUGCAUAUAGUAUAUUAAUUAAGUUAACUCUUUAGUGCAUUUCAAUUGUUUGUCAUUGCCUUCUAUUUAUUUUUAUUCCUGUCUUAUAAACUACUAUUAUAUAAUUUAGGAAAAUUAAAGAUGUAAAUAAUAAUGCUAUUCUAUAUUUCGUUUACCUUUUACUUAUAAAAGUUAUUCUUGAAUUUCAAACAAGUAAUACAUAAAAGAUUAGAAUAAGGAUUGAAGUGAUUUUUUAAACGUUAUUAUUGAAGUUUCUACAAGUAUUUGCAUAUUUUUAGAUGUAUAAUAUUUAUUAAUAAUAUUUAUGAUAUAUUUAUAACGUCACGAGUUAAUAAUGGUUUGCCCAAUGAUUGAACUAGUGACCCUUGACCGAAUCAUUUUUUCGGAUCAAUGAAUGGUUUGGGUUUCAAAACCUCAGUGCCAAGCAUCCCGGUGAUGGGAAUUGGGCAAUUGGGUAGGGUAGGUUGUAUGUGUGCAUAUAUAAUCUAAUUGGUUAUAAACAUACAUAUAUAAUUUAAUUAGUUAUUAUUAACAUACAUAUAUAUGUAUAAACAUAUACAUACAUACAUAUAUAUAAUUUAAUUAGUUAUAAAUGGAUUAUUAGUUAUAUGUAAUAUAUAUUGUAUGUUAGCAUAUAUAACAUCAAUAAUUAUACAUGUAUGCUAAUAAAAAUUAUUAACUAGUUAUACUAAAUUUACUAAUACAUUUACAUUAAAUUCCUAAUGGCAAUUGAAGAAGGAAAAUGAAGACUUGAUGACUAAUGGCAUGUUUUGGUAGAAUGAUUGUUUAAAUUCAAAAGUGAUAACGGGACUACUUUAGUUGUAUUUAUUUCAUCAUAUUAGAAUGUAUUCAAAUAACUUUUGUUUGAUGUUUUUGUGAAUUUUAAUUGUAAAAUUACAAUGGAUAAUAAUUUGAUUAUGUGUUGGUAUUUUAAAUACUUGAUUUUUUACAAAAUUUUGAUUACAAUAUAAUAAUAUGACAAAUUUUUAAUAGCACCACGGGUGGGCAGGUGCGAGGGUGGGGCAUGGGAGACUAGUGGGCAGCGGGGCGGGAGGUGGGCGAGAGUCCCCCCCCCCCCUUCCUAAUCCCAUGCACAUAUUGUGCACAAUCAUUUCUUGAAAAAGCAUUUAGUUUAAAAGUUAGCUUUCUCGGAGAUUUUGCAGCAUAUUUUGAAGUUUGAACACAACAGACCACUCAAAUAUCAUUUUAUUUCUUUUAAUUUUUUUUAUAGAUACGAAAUUUAAAUGCCAUUCAAGUUAACUUGAUUAGUUGACAAAUCAAGUUCGAACGAAUUUUUAUUUAAUUAAAUUCGAUUUAAAUAUCAAAUAAUUUGGUUCAUCUUUCAACCCUAAUCACUGAUUUGGUUAGUUUUUUACGGUUUUGAUUGUUUUUUGAUCAAAACGAUUUCUUACUUCUAAGUAGUUCGGGAAGAAAGCCAAUUCAUGAUCAAACCGGUCGGACUGUCCGAUUAUUCCUAGUCUAAUAACACUGGUUUUUGUUUUAGUUGACCCAUUGAACUUCUAGAAGUAAUUGAUAAGAUAAUUGCAUCUAUUUACUUGGGUAAAAGAGACAACCUCAGCGCACAUGAGCUACACACUACGUUCGUGGGGAUAUGUUCGUCAUUUUGUAUGUAUAUAAAAAAUAGUAUAGUGGGCAAAAUGAGACUACAAAAAGUUAGUGAUUGGAAACGCACUUUUUCUUUUUGAAAUUUCCUAGAAACUAAAAUAAAUCAGAAACGGAAAUUCAUUAGAAAAAGGCUACAAAAUAAAAGAUUCUUGUGAUUCUAAUUUUUUGCAAAAAUAAUACAAAUAUUCAACAAGAAAUAACUAGAUUUAUAUUUUUAAAAAAUAGUCACUACAAAAAGAUUUCAAAAAUUCUGUAUUAGUAAACAAGUAAAGAAGAAUAAACUAUGGUAUUUCCAUUUAUUUUCAAAAGUUACUUAUUUAUUAUUCUUUUUUUAUCCACCAAUGUAAUUUUUUUAAAGGUAAAUUAGGUUUGCUAAUCUGCCCUACCUUGCAGUCACAAAUUAGAAAAUUUCAAACUAAAAAAGGAUUUACAAGCAAUAAUCGCCAAAACACAAUAAUAAUAGGAUGAGGGAAAGAAAAGGAGCACAAACCAAGAUUCACAGCGUCUAACAGCAAGGGAAAGGUUGAGUUCGGUGGUAAGAUGGGAAGGAUUAUAAGUAAAAACUUUUGAAUUCAAAAUCUCCCACUUUCCAAAAAAAAAAAGUCUAACAACAAUAGAAAAGGGAGAAAAAACAAAACUUGCACCAAAUAAAAUUAAAAAAAAAAGGAUUAACAAAGAGAGGCAAUAACACCACCAUGCUAUAAUACAAAUCCUAGUUGGAAAAUAGCUGCCUGCUAUAUAUAGAAUUGAAGUAAUAAAAUUCCUUGCCAUCAGAAAGGGUGCAAAGAAAGAAAAGUGGAACAUCAAGAAGAAGUGGUAGAUCUUUAUCAAAACAAGAAAAGUAUCAGGUCUAUUGAGGUAUAAUUUCUAGUAAACUAUAGGAUAGUUUGGAUAGUGAGUUAUUUGCUUGAUUUUAUUUGCUUGCAUCAUCAACACAUUUUUCAAUUAUUUUUUUUAUUUCACAUAUAUCACAUCAAAAAAGUACUAUAGUAUAUCUUCUUCAUUAUUUAAUCAACUAUUUCUAGAGCAGUUGGCCAUCAAGAGAGAUUUAAAAGUCUAUUUGGAUAUAUUCCUUGGCCUACAUUCUAAUAUCCAAGCAUUUUCUGGAAAUACGCACCCGUCUAGAUCGAUAGUGAUUUAUCGGAUUCCUCUUGACCUUUUUAGAUCCCCCUCCCCCUAGUGUAGAGUAGGAGUAGUUGUAACAUAAAAUCUAUUUUACCGACCAAAAGAAAAAUAUCCUCUUCAUUAUUUAAUUUGUGUUGUUUUAACUAGCCACAGUUCUUUAACUCUACGAAGACAAACAAAAAAAAAAAGUUGUUAGAAGAUUACCUUGAAUUCUUGACCAGAUUUAUCAAUUGAUUGGAAUUUUUGCCGAUUUCUAUUGGAAGGAAUACUUAAAAGAAGCUUAAAAGGGCCUUGGCCCAAUGCCUAAGACUCAAAAUCAAGUUGCUUAAUGCAGUUGAUGUCGCAAAAACACAAGUGUACAGCUCCACACUAACAAGAGUGGCUGGAAUGGGCUUCUUCACUGAUCAUAUGAUCUCUUCAGCAUAUCACUCGUCACCAAAUUGCUCGGUCGCAUACACUACCAUGUCGAAGGCUCAGGUAUGCCUGGCAGCUUGCCUUCUAACAUAGCCGCCACUGUAAACAGAGUUGCGUUUUGUGGAACUUUAGCUUGCCAGCUCUUCUUGGCUGGCUUGGGGAUAAAAGGGGUCGCAAAAACGUCUAUGUCGUGACACUGUUGACCAUGGUUUAAGCUCCCUUUUUUCAGGACUUUCCUUUGGACGUGAUCCAAAAGCUGUCCUGGAAACCCUUUGCUUUUGGCGAUUUUGGCUUGGUUUUGCUAUUGGAUGCAAUUAUCCACCUUCUGCAACAAUUAUGUCAGUAUAUGCGAACAAGAAGACUCGUGGCUAUUUUAUAGCGGCAGUGUGUGCUAUGCAGGGAUUUGGAAUAUUAUGUGCCGGUAUUUUUGCAAUGAUGAUCUAGCGAUUUUCAAUGCAAGGUUUAAGGCUCCAUCUUAUGCAAUUGAUCCCCAUGGCUCUACUGUUGCUCAAGCAGAUUAUGUUCGGAGGAUAGUUCUGAUGGCCGGGGCAAUUCCUGCUUUGCUGACUUACUAUUGGAGGAUAAAGAUGCGAGAAAACUACACGAUACACGGCUCUGGUUGCCAAGAAUCAAAAACAAGAUGCAGCAGACAUGUCUAAGGUUCUACAGGUUGAUUUAGAGUGAGAAGAAGUAAUUGUGGAAGAAAAAAGCUCAAAAUUCAGAAACUGAAACUAGAAUUGGGACUGGAACUGGAACUGGAUUUGAUUUAUUCACCAAGGGGUUUCUUCGUCAUGGGCUUCACUUGCUUGGUACAAAAACCACACGGUUCUUUCUUGACACUGCAUUUUACAGUAAAAAUCUAUUCCAGAACAUGGUUCAAAGUCGCUGUUAUGGUCGUAGUCGCAGUUUGGACCGUUCUAUAUUAGUCUCGACCUAUCGAUCACGAUCUCGAUGAGAUGCAAAUUUUGAAGCAUUUAAUAUUCUAAAAAUUGUUAAUAAUAUUUAAAAAUAUACUAAACAAAAAUAAUUAACAAAAUUAACAAAAGAAAAUUUGUAAAAUGUAAAUUUGUGAAUUGAUUUGGGAUGACUUGGAUAGACUCGGCUAAGACUAUCCGUAUCGAAAAGUUCUCUCAACCGAGUUCUUGGUAACUCGGCCGAUUCGUCUCGGUCUCGGCCAAGACUUUGAACCAUGUUCCAGAAGGAUAUCUUCAGCUUAAUUGGAUGGCUUCCUCCAGCCAAGACUAUGAAUGCAGUUCAUGAAGUCUACAAGAUUGCCAGGCUCAAACUCUGAUUGCCCUUUUUGGCUGCGAACAACCGCUGAACUCAAACAGGAAAUCAUAUAGGCUUUGUGGUGGUGCUAUGCGCGUUAACUUUCUUCUUUGCGAAUUUUAGACCUAAUGCAACCGCAUUUGCUGUUCCAGCUGAGAUCUUCCCGGCAAGGCUACGAACAACGUGCCAUGGGAUAUCGGCUGCAUCUGGAAAGUUAGGAGCAAUUGUGGGUGGAAUUGGAUUCUUGUAUUUGUCUCAAAACAAAGCCAAGGCCGGGACGGCUGCAGGAUAUCGUCCGGGCAUUGGAAUGAGGAACUCACUCAAUGUUUUGGCAGUUAUCAACCUUUCUGGCGCACUUUUCACUCAACCUAUUGGAAUGUUUUGUAAACAGAAACCCAUUGAUUGUACGUAAAAACUCGAUCGUGCAAGUACCAGACUUCAAUCAUUUGUCUAGUAGUGCUUAUAAAAACUCGUUGAGAGCUAUUGGUCCAACAUCAAUAGAUUAUUUAGGUAUGUCUAGUCAGCAAUUGUUAAAGGGGGCAUCAAGUGUGAUUUUUUUUUUUUUUUUUUUUGAUAAAAGUAUAAUUAGUUUGAGAAAAUACCUAAUGCUAGAGUAUGGUUUAUACAAGGGCAUGCAUUAACAUUAGAGACUACUAUUAGAGAUGGAAUUUGUCGAGGUGGCCUUGGUUUGGUAACUGAAAUUGAAAGUUCAUUGAAGACUUCUAAAUCCAACGAUUAUAUUUGAGAAAAAACCGUGGAUGGGUUUAGCAAUUACCACCCUGAAAUACAAGUCCAUGUUCACCAAUAAAUUCCCAUGACUCACGUAUUCAAUCAUAAUGGAACUAAAUCAACCUCAAAACUUGCUAAUAAAAGUCAAUUGCCUGGAGAUAAUCUACUCCACAGUCAUGCAAAUUACAGUCCAGCUACAUCAAAUACCUUUUUCUCCUUGCGUUGUUCUAAUGCAAAUUAACUAAGGAUUAGAUAAAGAGAAAGCUAAGAGUUUUUUUUUUUUUUUUCUUUUGGUGUCUUUAUGUGUGUGUGUGUGUGUUUUUUUUUUCUUUUCCCCUCAACGGUUACCAACUCUUUUCUAGCUAAUAGCCAUUCCUACUUCCAUUAAUUGACAAAGACAAAAGGUUUUGUGACUAACUACUGAAUUCAUACUUAUCUCCUUCUUAGGAAUUGCAAACUUAUGACUUUAGUUAAUUCAAUUAAAAAAAAAAAAGACUUUAGUUAAUUCAUGCUUAUCAUUUCUUGUUUUUAUCUCUUCCUAGUAAAGUCAUCAGGUUAUACCUCUGCUAUAAUUUAUCAUAAAUUUGGAAGUCUGGUAACUAGUUACCGUUUGAUACAAAGAUUAGUGGUCUAACAACUUCUAGUUUUAAUUUUUUUUUUUUUUAUCAGGAGAGGGAUGGAAUUUAAGAAAUGGGGAAGGAGAAAGGAGAUUUAAACUCGAGACGAUCUAAAUCCUACUUCCAAUUUUAAUAAUGCAUAAUAACUUGUACAAUUAACAAAUUUCAUUUUCCCAACACAAGCAAUAGCAAAUUUUAAACAUAUAUAUUUGAAUUUUGAAGAUGGGGUGUCACAUGAUAUAUUUACUUGUUAUUUUGUUGUUAAUUUUUUAUCACUCCUGUCCACCAAUUUAUUUACAUGUAUUUAAAUUAUAUAAUUGUCACGUUGAAUAUGCUUUGCACGUACGUAACACGUAGUCUGUUAUACUAUAAAUUUUGUGAUUAUUACAAAUAUGGAAAAUACGUAAACAAACAAUGCCAAUAUUAAAUAAUGAAUUAAACCAUAUUAAAAGUUUGUUCCAAAUAUACAAUAAAUAAUCGUGGCAAAGGUAAACAAGUAGCUAUUCCAAUGUUAGAAGGGAAGGAGGAUUUUUUGAAAAUGGCUAAGUAGGGAAAACACAAAAAAUAAGAAAAAGAGAAUGCAAAUAAAUUACAACAAGGGUCAUUUUUUUAACAUAUUAAAAUGAGUGUCAAGUACCGAUAAAAGACAGUUCAUUGGAGUAAAGUACAAUUAAAGCUAAAGUUAAAGGAGGUUUUACUGCAUCUAAACUCUUAUAUUAAUAUAAGAUUUUAAUCGUAUAUUGCUUAUAACAAAACAAAAAUAUCCUUUAACAUGUUAAUCACUAGAGUCAGCUUAAUGGUCAGUUGAGGGCUCUUACAGUCUUUCCCACUGUCAAAUUUAGAGUUCAAAUUCUGUGCUUGACAAUUGAGGAUUAUACACACACACAUACAUACAUACAUACAUAUAUAUAUGGGUGGGUAUAUAUAUAAAUAUUUCCUUAAAAAUUCCGUCUAAUGGGGUACAGUUUAUAGAGGCUAAGUGCUAAUUUUUUUUAUAAAAAUUAAGCUAAAUUAGAAAAGAGCCUACACACAAAGGAACAAUAAAGUAAAUUUGACGUAUUUUAAUCAUCUUGGGUUAUCCCAUAUUUGGUUGCAUUUUAUAUAUGAGAUGAUACAUUCUAACUAAUCGAAUUAAUCUCCUAUUCAUGGAAUAAAAUAAUCCCAUGGAGGAGGUGGUAUUAGUCAUCCCUGGAUGACUAAGAGAUAGGAUGAUGCAAUUUUAGACUAAUAUAUCCUUACAAAUAAGAUAAAUUUAUACUCUCAUAAUUAUAUAACCUUACCUUUACAUGAUAAUAUAACAUGAAUGGACUAAUUUGCCACUACUAAUUAAUCUAAAAUUUUUUGACUAAUUUGCCCCUACUACUAACAGAACAAUAUUUGGACUAAUUUGCCAUUACGAAUUAUACAAAUUCAUACUGAAAAUUAUAUAAUGAAACCCUCACACAAUAAUAUGAUAAUAAAUGGACUAAUUUGCACCUACUAAUUAUACUAAAUUUCUCAACUAAUUUGCCCCUAUUCAUUAUUUUAAAUUUUUGACAAAUUUACCCCAAUUAAUUAAUUUAAAUUUUUUGACUAGUUUGUCCCUACUUACAUCAUAAUAAAAGGACUAUGUUGCCCUUACUAAUCUGAUUUUCUCAAUCAAAUUCUAUAUAAGUUCAAGCUCAACCCAAAGAAAAAUAUUUAAUUGGCUUGAGCGUGGCUCAUUUAGAACUCUUAAAGGGUUGGAUUUUAUUCAAUUUAACCGUAAUUUAGUCAGAACUCGGGCCAUUAUUUAAUUAAAUUUAAAAUUUAGAUACAAAAACUAGGUUAGAACCUAUUUUUAAAGGUCAAAAUGGGCUGAGUUUGAGUGAAUGCAAAUUUUUAUAUAUCAAAGCCCUUGAUUUACUUUAUAAUUCUAAAGUUUAAAAUUAUUUUAUUUUAAUAAAUUUUUUAAAUUAUUAAAUUAUUUUAUUAAAAUGAUCCUACAAAUUAAGGGGUAUUUUGGUCAUUUAAAUAGUAAUCCUAUCUCAUUCAAUCUCCAACCAAACACAGGAUAGCAUUAUUUUCCAAUAUAUCCUAUUCAACCUAGAAUCAACCGAAUACUAGAUGAUUUGGAUUAUUAAUCCGAGGAUGACUCAAUACAGGAUUAAUAAUCUAACUCAUUUCAUCCAAUUCGUGUACCAAACGAGCCAUUAAUUUCCUUUGUUUCCUAUUAUUCUUAAUAUCCCUCCAAUUUCUAAAUCUUUCCACGGCCAAAACAACAACCUUUUAACCUCCCUUUUCUAAAUUCCCAACCCAUCACACCAUAUAACACUGGUUUUUUCAUCUUUUUCUAUUCUUUUUAUGAUGAACUCGAGUCUAGUUUUUUGAUCCAUUGAAGAAAGAAGAGAAGAUGGAGAGCCUAGUAACAAGGAGGAAGAGGAUGAGAUGAGUUUUGUGCUUUUUUUUUUUUUUGUUGGAUCUUUUGCAAUUUUAUUGGGUGUUCUCAAAGGCACUGCCAGUUUUAUUUUUUUUUUUUUUUAUCUAUUUCCCAUCCACUUUUGUUGUUUCUUUGAGUUUUGUUCUAUGUUUUCUUUUUAAGCUUUAACUGGAAUUACUAAAAAUGAAUGAUUGCCAAGGGAUAUUUUUUGGAAGAUUGAGUUGGAUUUUGGCAGCUCUUAGAUUGGGAAUAUUAGUCUACUGCCGGACCGGGGCAUUUUGUUACUUGACUUUAUGGUUCAAGGGGUUGAUUGUUAUUUUCCAGAUCUCAGGGGGAAUGUUGGUAGUUUGCCCAAAGUACAUAGGUGGUCGGAUGUAAUUAACCCCAAGUUCUUGACCUCUACUUUGGCCAUCCGUUGACCGUCGCUCCUAACUCCCGCGUAAUCUGCGAUUUAGGAAAGCAAAACUUUAAGUAUUCGCAAUCACAAGUCGCAUACCUUAAAAACACCGACUUGACUUGACUUGACUUAAUUUAGGAAACAAGCGGUACAAAAAUAGGAAAUUCCGAUCCCAACGGAACUAUUCCUUCCUUUUCUGAAAAGAUACACGAAAAAUCUAUCCACAUUGCUGAUGAUUCAAGCUUCUCCCUUUUCCAUUCUAUAUAAGUUCUACUGGCUAGAUUCUUGGACGGGAUUUUCAGUUAUCAGUCCUGGCCUCUAGGACUUUUUGAUUUUUCUUCUUCUGUUCUUUCUCUGCCUGCAAAAUUCUUCAUGGAUGUCAUGACAAGAUCUUCAGUUUUUGGUAGAUUGGGCGGAAAGCAGCAGUGCCAGCAUUACUAUGUCAAGAAUGAUUAUCCAGUAGUUGUUUGUAAGUAUUGGCUUGCUGGAAAGUGCAACAGAAAUCCCUGUAGAUUUCUUCACUCAAAUUCACCAAUUUCACAACCAAAGCGAUCAACUUGGACCAAUCCCAAUCUCUCCUCCUCCAGCAGCUCUAAGAAUAAUCCAAAAGUUUCGUCCUCCAGUAGUAGUGGUGGUGAUGGUGCUAAGGAGGAAAGUAAGUUUUCAAGAACUGCAGAGCUAGCCUCCGAUUGUGGAGCAAGUGGUGAAAAGGGUGAUCAGAAAAAGCUGUGCAAGUAUUGGAUUACUGGAAACUGUGUUCAUGGUGAUAAAUGCAAUGAUUUGCAUACAUGGUUUCUUGGUUCUCGAUUCUCCCUGUUGACGAAGUUGGAAAGGCGGCACAAUAAGGCUGUUGCGGGAAUUGCACUUCCAUCUGGAUCAGAUAAACUCUUUCCAGGCAGCAGGGAUGGGCAUGUCUGUAUUUGGGAUUGCCACACUGGCGGCUGUGUUAAUGUUGUUAAUCCCAACGAAGGCAGGGAGAUUGGAUGCCUAAUUACUGAAGGUUCGUGGGUUUUUGUUGGUUUGCACAAUGCUAUCAAGGCAUGGAAUAUUCAGACUCAAACUGAAGUUACACUUCCUGCAGUUGGUCUAGUUAAGGCCAUGGUUGUGGGCGGUGAUUCUGAUGAGAUACUCUUUGGUGGUGUCCAAGAUGGUACAAUUUUGGCAUGGAAAUAUUCGAGUUGCUGCACUGAAUCGAUGGCAACGCGUAAGGGUCAUAGGCUUGCUGUUCUCUCCCUUAUUGUGGGAGCCAAUAAUAGGCUAUACUCAGGCUCCAAGGAUGAAACCAUAAGAGUGUGGGACAUUAGAACCUUCCAAUGUCUGCAGACACUAAAGGGUCAAACUGAUUUUGUGACCUCUCUUAGUUGCUGGAACCAGUACUUGUUAUCUGGAUCUUUGGAUAACACAAUAAAGGUGUGGGCGUCAAUCGAUGAUGAAGGAAAUAUAGGAGUAAUCCAUGAGGUUAAAGAAGAAAGUGGUAUAAUUGCUCUAGGUGGAAUAGAAGAUGCAAUUGCAGCUAAGCAUAUAUUGCUCUUUUCUUAUAAAGACAAUUCAGUACGACUGUACGAGUUGCCUUUUUUGGCUGAGAGAGGCAGAAUAUUUUCAAAGGCAGAAGUUGAGACAGUUCAAAGAGGUUAUGGUGAUCUCUUUUUCACUGGUGAUGCUACUGGAGAGGUGUCUGUUUGGAAACUGCUUGACGAGCAGACAACUGCAGCAGACUGUGCCUCAAUAUGAAAGCUUUCCUUGGAUUUUCCUAGUCAAAUUGUAGAAGCAAAAAACUUCCAUACAUGCAUUCUUCAAGGAACUGUACAGUCGAGGAUGAAUAAGCAGAACAUGUUUUUGCCUUUGUUAAUCCAUUCUCUUGUUUUAUGUUUUAAUCUUAUAUGUAUAAAAUUUGACUGUUUUAAUGAGACCAAGCGACCAGUUGAUGAACUUGAUUUUUAAGUGAUUUAUGCUCUCCUACAGGUGUUAGCAAAACGGCUACAGAUGAAACAAAUCAUAAUUGAAUAUUUACGUUUUUCCCUUCUUUUCUUAUGCCUGAAUAGUUUUAGCCUUUAGGGUGUCAAUCAGAGAUCAUGAGCUUGCCUGAAUACUAUUGCAAACGGUUAAAGCUACACCAAAAAUUUGACAUCUUAAUUGGAAAAGAAAAAAUAAAGCACGGAUUCAAACGCCUAGUGUUGAAAUUAAGAUAAUAAGAAGUCAGACAUGCAGCUUUAUUCUUUACCUGCAUGAUGUGUACAUAGCCUUUGUGAUAUAUUUGAAUGCAAAUGCCAAUUAGCCUAAGUUACACAAGGGCCAGCAUCAAAAGGCACUGAAUUCAUGCUACACACCAAGGAUUCAAGUCGCCCAAUGUCUCUAGGUUGUAUCGUAACUUUGCAUAUUACUUUCUCACCCAGUACAGUGCAUUUCAUUGUGGACCAACCAAAACUUCUUCAAUGACAAGGCAAUUGUCCCAUUCGUUGGUGUUACCAUUCCCCAAGGUUGUGAAGCAUCACCAGUAUCUACCCAGCUUCUUGCACCAAAGUCUUUUUCCAGAGAAUUAAAUCACUUUUGAUAUUCUUACCCCCAAUCUGCUCCAAGUUAAUGUAAUCAGCUCUACUGUAUAAACUCCUGCAAUUAUCAGUGACAAUCCAUUGCUCUCGUGAGCCAAGAGUUGCUUUCUAUUGCUUCUCAUAUUUGCAUUUACUCAUGCAUCGAUAUUUCACUCAGAAUCAUUUCAGUAGCUUCUCCCCAGUAAAAUCACAAAUCAUACCAAUCCAGCAGAAAAUUCUUCAAUGGGCAUCAUUUAUGCUUAAAUUCAGAACAGCGUUCACCUAUUGAUGGACUCGUGCAUUAAUGAUGUCAUUUGCCUCUAUGCUUAAAUUCAGACUAGGGUUCACCUACCCAUGGACUCGUGCAUUAAUGAUGUCAUUUGCCUCUUUUACACCAGCCUACCUUCUAAGAAGUACAAAAUUUAGUUCAGAGAGCCACACUGUACCAAGCCCCUUGAGAGCCACACUGUACCAAGCCCCUUUCGGAACAAUUAUCCUGUUCAAGAUCAAGAAAGCAACCUUUAGCUAGAAACAACAGUUAAACCAGGACAUGAAUCCACAUACAGCUAAGGUUUACGUCAGCAAGUAAGCAGGAAGGAAAGACACCUCAAUAAGAAGACAAACACAGACGAAAUACAUCUACCAUCUUCUAAUAUUAACUCCAAGUGACAAACCGAGGCCUUUCUUUACAUAGAUAAGCAACGGAUACCCUCAGAUAGUAAUUUGACAUGGAUAUGUACAAUUACAUGCAUUCUUGCAAGACAGUUUAAAAAGGUCAUUCAGAGCAAAUUAUAAAACUUAUAUUGGGAUGGUAAACAUGCUGAAAAAUGUCAAAUCUUCAAUUUGAUUUCUUUGUAGAAACAUGUCAAUACAAGUGUCAAGACCGGACACUAAAACCUCAAAUACUCUUGCACUUACAUUAGCAGCCAUGCUACGCUUUAGAUGACUGAAUUAAAAGACUUGGCACGGUCCUUGAUUGAGUACUAAAACAUUAUUCAAAAGAGUAGCAUUAAGUAAGGCUUACAGAAGAUUUCAUGUUCGGUUGUUCCAAUACUCAUCUCAAUUCCUCAUGAUAAAGCCAACUCCUCUAUAUGGUCCCAGAAUAAAAGGAGAAGGCCUAUGAGAAAAGUUACACCAUCAAUCAAGAAUGUAAAGUGCAAUUCCCUCAACCCCUUCUUUUGCACAUAACUGUUAAUAUAAUUAUUUAUUUUCUGAUCUUCAGGUAAUACAAUAUUUUUUUAAGUAAUGAUUAAGGAAAUUUGUCAACUUUACAAUGUGAGCAAAACAAGACUUUACGUAUUUACUAUUUCAUAUCAGAAUUUCCAAGCAUGGGUAUGGUAAAUGUUAAAAAUGCACCUUUCCUGGAUUGGGUAUCAAUCCAAGUCAUACGCAUGUAGCUUAAUAGAACUUGCUGGAUGAAGUCAAAGACCCUGAAGAGAUAUUUCCAACUGCUCCAUCCUUUUAGCCAAAUCAUGCUUCCCACAAUUUUUCAGUCCAUCACACACCAUGUCAAAGUUUCGUGACAUGGGCAACAAAUUCAAUUCUGUCAUCUCUACUAAAUAAUUGGCAGCCUCAACAAAUCUGCCGCCACGAGCACACAUCUUUAUUAACAUAGUAUACACUGGUCGAUUUGGUGGAUGUCCUUUCAGCUUCAUGUCACUGAAAAAACUCAACGCAUCAUCAAACAGUCCUUUCCGACAAAGAGCUUUCAGAAUAGGAGCAUAUAGGCUAGGAAAUGGACGGGUCCCAUCCUCUAUACAUCUAUGAAGAAACUGAAAUGCGUCAUCAAUCCUCCCUACUUUUGAGGCUGAGGUUAUCAUAAUCUUGUAUGUCUCCACAUCAGGACAAAGCCCUAAUCUACAAACAUCACGAAAAAGAUCAACGCAAAAGUCAAUUUCUCCAGAUUUACAUAUAGCUUCAGCUAGAGAAUUGAAUGUGGCUACAUCAGGAACAAAACCCUCCUUCAUCAUCUUCCUAACCAAUCCUUUUGCAGAUUCAACAUAGCCAGCAUUCAACAAUCCAUCUAUCAAAAGGUCCCGACCACGCACAGGAGGAUUAUAGCCCUUUCUACUCAUUUCCUCCAAAAAUUCCUGUGCCUCCCUCAUCUUUCCUGCUGAGCACCAGCCAUUAACAAGAAUUGCAUAAGUCUUUUUGUCAGGCACAGAACCUUUGCGUAACAUCCUUCGAAUCAAAGCAUAAGCCCCUUGGAAAUUCUUGACCUCACAAAGAGCAAAUAGCAAUGAGUUGUAUAUUUCUGUUGUUUGUGGACAGUUGAAGUUUUUAAGACGAUUGAAGAGCUCAACAGCUUGGUCGAUAAGCCCAUGCUUACCAUAGUGUUCAAUGAUGAAUGAAACAACAGAAGGUGAAAUAGGGAGGUUCUGCACUUUCAUCUGAUGGGCUACCUUCCACAUGGUCUCCCAGUGGCUAGUACGAGCAAGGGUCUUAAGAAGCUCUUCAAACUCAAGUGUUGUUGGAUCAUAGUUUGGGUGGUGGGUUCUUGCCCAAUUAAAGAAACGGAAGGACUCAAUACCACUGCGGCAGCAGCUGCGCAGCACUCGAUAAACCAGCUCUGAGUUGACAAUGUUGGAAAUGCACAUUUUAUUCAGCGUUCUUUCCAUGUAGAUAUCUCGCCGUAUAAUGUUAGAUAUAUGAUGAAUGGUUACAAAGUAGUCAUCAUUGGAAGUUCUGCCCUGAUUACCGCCAGAAACAGCAGCAGUUGAUAAGGCUUUCAGACAACCAAGGAUGCCAGUGGUGAAAGAGUGUCCAACAGCAGGACAAGCUCUUCCAUGUAGACUGAAGCUAGAAGCGAGGAACAUUUAGGUGGUGGCACAGUUGUGAUUUCUUUGGUUAGGAAGUUUGUUUAUUUGCAUAUGUUUAAACAAACUUUAACCAAUUGACUCCAGUUCUGAUAUUCAGAAUCCUUCGGUUAGGUGGAGAGAAACUGGAGAUAAACUACAGCUUAGACUAGGGAAAGAGAGCAAGCGCAUAAUACAGGAGAAGCAAUACUAAUUCACCAAAUUAAACAUGACAGAGAAAAAAUAAGCCACUUCAAGAGUAGGUCUCAUUCAGAAAUCCAGAACAGAUCACAGUGUACACAAUAGGCUCAAAAUAUGCCUAACAUCUUAAAGCCCAUAAACUAUAAAUACAAAAAAAGCAAAUGAAAAUUAAGAGCUAUUUAAUCUUAUUGGAUUCUGAAAAUUGAUGGACAAGAAACAAAAAUAAAGAAAAAGAAAAAAAUAGAGGAAAAUGGAAAGAAAACUAAGUGGACUCUCUAGUCUCCAAAACCUUGAUUACAUUCUAAUCUUCUUUUGUUAUUAAAUAAUGAACUAAUUAAGAAGGGAUUACUCAAAUAAACUAAUUGUCCCAUUUACAAGAAGUCCUCUUCGUAUGAACAAAAUUAGCACCAAAUCAGUGGUUAUCCUCUUUUCCCAAUAUUCUUUGUUUGUUUAGCCAAGAAAUCUUUGCAGUAUCUUUUGUCCACAUAAAAGGUGCAACUUAAUACCAGGUAAAGCUUACAAUGAUUCCUUUUCCAUUUAGUCCUACACCAAUUCUAUACCGAUCUAGAUAUUGAUUAGCAAUAAUCUUUCAAUUACUGAGCUAAUUCGCUUUAAUGGCCAAAAUUCAAAUCAUAAACUUUAAACACUGCUGGUAGCUUCCAUAUUGUACCAGUACACUAAACCAUUCCUCAAGCUCAAAAGAAACUCCUAGCCCGAAGGACGCAAUCAUUCACUCAAAAUCCUAAAUGCAAAUCAAAUUCCAUCAUCUGCUCGACGAAUGUUGUUGCUCAAUUCUCAUUCAUCAAGUUUAUAAGAAAUUCCAACUACGAAGUACAUGAUCAUUCAGAAAAUCCUAAAAAGAAAAUGAAAUUCAAUCUGGUGGAAGAAAAUUUUCCUUUUUCCUUUUCUUAUAUCAAGCCAGCAUCUUCGGUAAAUUUGUUUGCUUAGUAAAUUAGAUUUCUGUUGAUUAAGAAGCUUGGAGGGCAUCAAACAAAACACCAGUACACCCAAGUAGUCAUAUAACCUUUCUUUCUCAUCUCCCUCACUACAUUAACGCUUAAUUAUGGUGUCAAAGUUGAAGCUUUAGGACUGAAUGUGUGCGAUUUCACAACUAAAGUUAAGAAUUCACUUCAAUUCAGUCGACUGAAUAACCCACGAUUUCCUAACACAAGCAGACUAAGAGUUACACGGGAAAAAAAACACUUGGGUCACCAACCUGUAACAAUCCGGCGAAGCGACGGCGGUAGCGGGGCACAAUAACCGGCUAUUAUAAAAAUCCGAAAAGAAAAAGAAAAAACGAAAAAGAUCCAAACUUGAGCCACCUUGAAAUUGGAAAAAAAUGUCGUCAAACAAGAAAUGAAACCAUAACAAAGCCAAAUUAUGCCAAUGGAUGAGGCUGAAUGUGAGUAUUUAAUAGCCAAGUUAGUAGCAGUGGAAGCAAAUUCGUAGCGUUGGAGCGACGGAGGAGAUUAGACGGAGAGAAGAGAAAUGAGAAUAGACUGGACGCAUCAUGUGGGAGGGCUAAUGGAGAAGGAAAAGUCUCAGAAUGAACUGGUGGAUCUGGGGACUAAAAGAAUGGAAGGAGGGGUAUUUGCCUAAUCGGUGAGAAACUGGAGGAGGGGGCUACAGGAGAUUAACAUCGGAUUGCUAGGUUGGGCAUCACCAGACCAAUCAAGCUUAAUUUGAAUUCAAUCGAGGGUAAGUUUGGUUCUACAGAAUUAGAAUUGAAUUAGAAUUGAAAUUCUAUAGAAUUGAAAUUCUAUGAAUUGAAAUUCCAAGCCAUUUCAAUUCUUUCGUUUGGGAAAUGCAUAGAAUUGAUACAUAAUUUAUUUGAAAUUCCAAAUUCUUUGUUUGUAUGAGAGAAGAAUUCAUUAGGAAUUAGAAUUGUUUUCACGAAACAUUUGCUUACAUAAAAUUUUUCUUUUUUUUUCUUUUUUAUAUAAUAAUUUCUUUUUUUCUUACAUUUAGCUAAUUUUUACUAAAGAUUUAAAAGAAAGAACCAAUUUGUGCCUUUAAUAAUUUAUUUUUUCCCACUCACAUAUCAAUUUCUUUGGUGAACAUUUCCAGACUUAGAUUAUGCUAAGCACAGCAUUAACAAGACGUGUCAUAUUGACUGCCUUCUUUUGUUCAAGUAUGGUAUAGAUAUUGGCAUCCAACCAAAACUGGACCUCACCCCCUUAAAAGUAAAUCCCCAAUGACACUAGCAUAUUUCUUAAAACAUGGCAGAAUACUAGACAGUGAAUUAGUCACUAAUUAACUCAAAUAGUACGUUUGUAAAACAAUUUAAUUAACAUUCUCAACAAAUAAAUUCAGUUUACUAUUCGAAUUCUGAAUCUAACAGUUGAUGGUGGAAAAGGGUGUGGAGAAAGGUGGAAGGACCAAAAAGAAAAAAAAAUCCAACAUGCCUGAGUUAUACUGGACACUAUUUUUUUUUAUUGCGGUAAUUCAAAAAAAUAAGGAUCCAAUGGCUAGUAAAGGAGCCACUGACUGCAUGAAAAAGACGAAGCACUGCCAAAGCUUAUUUUAUCACCCUUUUAAUACGUGUUGAUACUCAUAUGCAUACUUGCUACUGCUGCUAUUUCUGCAGUCCAGUAGUGCACUACACCUCCUCUUCAUGUAGGGCAGUGCAGCAUUUGGAGGCACGCCACAUCAACAUAUACUCAUUCAAAGUUCAAACAUCCACCUUGUCAAUUGUUUUACAAACGUACUAUUUGAGAAAGAAUGCAAAGGUUCAUGCAGCUAAAGGACAAGUCAGGGCAUCAACACAGGCAGCUAUGUUAAUCUCAAUAUCUGAAAUGCUAUUUCAUCAGACAAAAGACCCAAUGUUCCAUUCUUAUCAUCUCAAAAACAGAUAGAAAAUAGCUGAAAUAUUCCCUCGAAUCUUUCUAUAAUCUUGUCACAGAUAUAUUGAGUUUAUCGAAUAAAGCAUUCAUUACUGCAGUGUAGGCUACUGUUUUCCAUGCACAUUUACCAUCCAAUUUGUUUCCUUGGUUCAUUUGGUCAAUAAAACAAGUGCCCAUUACACGAUCCAUUUCAGGAGUCCAAGUGAAAUACCCUUUGCCUUUCCCUUUUGACUGAGAUGUUGCUUCAGAUGCCAUAUCUGAGGCAGAUAUGCACCAGAAAAACAUCACAAUGUCAUGUUCUUAAGAACAUAUUUAAUAGCUACUGCAUUAUAGAACUAAAAAUGAAAGGCAAAUAUGCACCUGAAAAAUUCAUACAUAUGUUCAAUGAAGAAAAAUUCAUUCAGUGCCAACAGAUAUGGCAAGAUAUCAGCCACAGGUUUGGGGAGAAGAGGUCUCAGGAGUCAAGUAAUUAGAAACAGUCUUAAGUAUGAAGAGGUUUGGGGAGAAGAGGUCUAAGUAGUCUAAAGUAUGAAGAAACAGUGGUUAUUGACUGGCAUACCUAUUUGAGUUCUGCUGUGUGUUAUCUGGACAAACAAACAGGAAGUCUAACUGGGUUGAUGCCAAAUGUGAUAGUGCAACAAUUUAAAACAAGAAGUUCAAGGGACAUAAUUGAUCUUCUGUGUCACCUUGAGGAUACCGUUGUGAUUAGUUAUUUGAUUUUUAAUUGAGUUAUUCAUGCAAUUUAGUCUAACACUUCCAAGAAUUUCUUGGUGUUCAAUUCCUGUCAGAUACGUCCGCAGCAGCAAGGAAGCAAACCCAACAGCCUUUUUAAAAUCAUCUCUUAGGAAACGUCAAAAAUUUUGCAGUCUUAACUUGUGUUAAUGGCUCUUAUUGCUUUUACUCUUGACAAUGAAGUAUAUCACAAAGGCGCUAGCCCUUGGGAAAGCCCCUUUAUCUGGAUUAUAAUCUGUUUGAAUUUGGUGGAGAAUUGGGGAUCACAUCACAGGUUAUGAUGAUCAUACUUGUGACAGAAUAUGCAUUAAGGAUGCAAAUGUGAUUCUUCAAGACAGAUCCAUGGGAGGCUAAAGAAUUUUGUAGACAACAAGCUACGAAGAAGGGCAUAUGCAUUAAGUUAUUUGGGGUCAAGCAUAUGGCAAUUAUCCAAUCUCAAAAAGGCACAUUGUUUGCUAGCCAUCAGGGUAGUCAAUACUAGGCCUGUCAACGGGUCGGGUCUAGACCCGGAUCCGGACCGGAUCCGUGAAAUUAUUGCGGGUAUGGGUAGGGAUUUAAUUCCGUUUUCCGGAUCCGGAUCCGUUUUGUCAAACAAAAAAACGGGUCGGAUACGGAAUAUAGUAUUCCGACCCGUAUUAGACCCGGAUCCGGAUAUAAAUGAAUUAAUAAUUUUAAAAAUAUAUAUUUAUCAAUAUAAUUUGAUUAGAGUGAUGUAUUUUAAUAAAGUUAAUUUGAUUUCUUUUCUUAUUUGGUUUUUUCUUUGCAUUAGUUAAAAAUUAGUUUACAAAUAUAUUUUUUUUUCAUUUUUAUUAGAAAUUAUAAAUUUUGCUAAAUUUGUUCGGGUAGACCCGGAUCCGGAUCCGGGACCCGCCGGAUCCGGAUCCGGAACAUAGAAUAAAAGACCCGUCGGAUAAACGGGUCGGGUCCGGGUCCGGGUCCGGCAUAGUAAUUCGGGUCCGGGUCCGGAAUAAUGAAUUCCGGCCCGGACCCGGCCCGUUGACAGCCCUAGUCAAUACAUCAAACACAGGAUGUUCAUCAAAAUAGUCAAAGGUCGAAAACUAGAUGAUUGUUCAUUUGAUCUGCUCAAGAAAUAUACGGUACACACAACAAUUUUGCAGUUAAAGUAUACUAAAUGCCCUGUUUUUGUGGCAAGUGGAGUGAGAGUGCUUAAAUUUUCUGCAUGCUCCAGUGACUUAGAAACUUUUUCUCGUUUCCUUGCUUCCAUGUCCAUAUCAGUGGCAUGCUACAAAUAUUAUUCAUUUUCAUACUAAAAAUACAAAAAGUUUCCCUAACAAGUAAAUUCCUCAAUUUUUCCAACCCGCAAUUAGGGGUGGCAAUUCCUGACACGACCCGAAAACACGACACGAACCUAACACGAAAUUAAUGGGUUUGGGUUGAGGUUUUGGGAGUUCGGGUCAGAAUCGGGUCGAACCCGAUGAACCCGAAAAGAAAACAGGUCAAUUUCGGGUCAACCCGUGGUGACCUGAUAUGACCCGAUGUGACCCGUUUACGAAUUAAAACUAAUUUAAUAAACAUAAAAAUUAUUUUAUCUAACUAAACUAAAUCAUUCUUUUUUUCCAAAGGCAUUAAUUACUUAAUCCUAAAUGAAUUUAUUUAACUUGUGUGAAGUUAAAAUUAUUAUAUUUGGACAAAUAAUAUAUUAUGUUAUUUUUUACUUUUAUGUUGUUUUAAUUUAAAUUAUAUUUGGUUUGGAAUAAAACACUUUUAUGGUGUUUAAUUUAUUUUAGAUUUGGUUUGAAAUUAUUUAUUUAAAUUUUUAUUACUUGAUGAUGUAAUUAAUUUUGUGAAAAAAUUGAUUUUAUUAGAAAUUACAGUGAUAAAUUAAUAAAUUAAAAUUAAGUUUCGGGUCAUUUCGGGUCGACCCGCCAACCCGAAAUUUUCGGGUUCGUGUCAGGUACCCUGACCCCAUUUCGGGUUGGCGGGUCGGGUUCGGGUUAGCAGGUUCUUUGUUAUACUUAAGCCUCAACCCGACCCGCCAACCCGAACCCGACCCGUUUGCCACCCCUACCCGCAAUGAUCAACAAGCAAAGAAUAUAGAAAAAUAAAAAAAAACCCUUUUCCCAUUUUUCAUGCUAAUUUCAAAAACACAUGGAGAUGAAUACGCAUUAGCAUCUAAUAAAAUAUUUGACAACUACUUCACCAACAAUUGAUUAAUCAUACAGAGGAGGCAGGGGAAUAAACGUAUAUAUUUUGAAAAUUUUGUCAAAUAAAUUUGUUGCAUAUGACCUGCAGAGAUUGAGCCCCGGAGAUCCUGAACUGCCCUGUUGUUCAAAAUGGCAUCCCAAACAGCUUUGUCGCAGGAGAUCGAGGCCACCACGUUCUACAAUUUAAGUACGCAGGAGAUGUUCAAUGCUGGGAAAAGGCAUGUGAGGAAGAUGAGUAAGAGGAGAGACAAGGCGUCAGUGAUGGAAGUAUAGGUGGAGGCAGAGGAGGAAGUAUGGGAGGAGGCGGAGAAGGAAGAUGUGGAGGAGAGCACAAGAAAUGGUGGUUGGUCUGUGACGAGAGAGAGAGAGAGAGACCUUCAUUUCAGUUUUGUUUUUGUUUAUUAUACGGAGACCCGUAAAUUUACUGAUUUAAUCCAUCUAGGAUCCGCGUAUUAACCCGGAUAGGAGGUGAAAUUAUCGAAUUGGAAUUAAUUCUUAGGUCUUACCAAAGAAUUAAAUUUGUGGAAUUGAUGGCUCAUAGAAUUCGAAUUGAAUUCUAAUUCUCUCAACCUGGUAGCAUCCAAACCGAAGAUUUGGAAUUGAUGCUCCAAUUAAAGCCUCCAAUUUGUGGGAACCAACACACCUCUAAUCAAGUUUAAAUAACAGUAUAAAUUUUUAUUCAUAUUAUUUUAAUCAAUAGAUAUUGUAGGCAUUUCACAUUGAUAAAUAAAAAAAAAAAAUAUAUAUAUAUAUAUAUAUAUAUAUAUAUAUAUAUAUAUAUAUAUAUAUAUAUAUAUAUAUAUAUAUAAAUCUCGAUUGAACACGAUUAAUUUAAAGAACUUUCGAGUUUCACAUAUUAGAUUUGCUUUCAAACUCAUCAAAUAGGCUAAGUUAUUCGAACUCAACCAACUUGAGUUGAAAGUUCAAACUUUAAUCAAAUAAGUUUAUGAGUUAUUUAAUUGAACUUGAUCCAUCUGAUCACUUGUCACCGUUGAUAAAGGAAAGAGAGAUGGAAAUAGGAAAAGAAAAGAGGAAUGUUGGGUCCACUAGAAUUAAUGAGAGACUAGAGUAACAUUUGAUUUUCGGCUAAUUUCUUAGAUUAUAUGUAAAAAAAAAAAAACAACAAUCCGCUAAAUGUACCUCUGACAUGGGAUAUUUCUUAUUUUAUACGUGCCAUGACUUAGGACGGCCGCAUAGUAAAUUUGGUUCUUUUUUUAAAAAAAGUCAGCCGAUCAAAAGUAAUUAAUGCAUGUCCCCAGCCGUGCCCAGUCAACACGGCUAAAGACAGCUAGUCCAAAAAAAAAAAGGCGUCAGCGCCUGACAAAGGCCGACAAUUUUCUUUAAUUAACAACUAUUAUGCAUUUGACAAUGAUUUAAUAAUAAUACAAAAUUUAAGUAAAAAAUCAUGUUCUAUUUACAAUACAAAGGCAUCUGGGGACAUGAAUAAUGAGGUUAGGUUAAUGUAUUUAUUUUAAAAAUUAAUAAAUUGAAGUAUAUUUGGGAUUAUGGUUAAAAUUUAGUUUAAUCAGAUUAUUUUGAAAAUUAAAGUAAUGAAAUUUAUUUAGGAUGGUUGUGAAAUUCUAGUUUACUAAGAUUAUUAUAAAAAUUAUAUAAGCGACUAUUUUUUUAAGAUUAUACAUAAAUGAAUAAAGAUAUAAUUAAUUUACUCGUUGCUUGAUAAGGGCAACAAAGAUCCAUGGGGGCUAAAAUUAAAAUUAAAAACUUAUGGGUAAAAAUAUAAAAUUAAAAAUCUAAGGGGCCAAAUGCAAAUUCUUAAAAAAUCACUUUUUUUUACUAACCUUUUAUUCAUAAUCUACUCAAAUUUAGGCUAAUUAGACUACCAAAGUGAUUAACAAAUCUACAAACAAAAGAUUAUUUAGUCUAGUUUCUAAAGUUGUUAAAUUAAAAUCCUAAACUUAAUAAAUUUACUAAAACCCCUAAUUAUCAGAAUUAAUUCACAAAAAUACACAUUAACAUCAUAAAGAAAGGCUAGGACUCCAAACAUGAGAAAUUAUAUCCAUUUUUGGCAAAUGUUGAGACCCUAGCAUGAUUAUGCAAAAGUUAGAGGACAAAUUAUAAAUAUAAUUUAUGGACUUAGAUCAAAAUCAGUGAACAUAAGAACACAUUGUAUAAUUUUCAGAAAAUUAUACAAUGCCUAAAAGACAUAAAAUAUCUAAAGCUACAUAUUAAAAGAAAAACAAAGGAAAAACAAAAACAAAAACUUGGUCCAUAUUGUUUAACCCAACCUUUGACAUAACAAAUUUGGACAUUUGGAUGAGGCGUCUGAUCCAAACAGAAAUUACCUACAUGACUCUAAUACAAUGAAUGUAAGCUCAAAUGAAAUAUACGAGUUAGUCCAACUCAAAACUAAAAUAAUUAAAUUUAAAAUCUAAAAUUAGUGUUGGCUUUUGUUCUUAAUUUGAAAUACUAAAAUCAGUCAUUUUUUUACUAUAAACGUGCAAAAUGAACUUCGUAUGCCUUGAAAGAAACACACAAAAUCACACAAUUCAUAACUUAUAUCCAAUUAUAUUGCAUAGCAAAAACCCUAAAACCUAAAACCCUAACUCUAAAACCUUAAUGCAAAAACCCUAAUUCUAAAAACCUAAAACCCUAACUCUAAAACAUUAACGCAAAAAUCCUAAACCCUAACUCUAAAAACCAAUCUCAGUAAAAACUUUUUUUUUUUCAAAUGUUAGACGCAGAAGUGCUGACUGGGCACGUCUGCGUCUGACACAAAUAGACUGCCACUGAUUUGUAUUGGUCGCAAACGUGCCCAGUCAGCACGUCUGCGUCUAACAUUUGAAAGUCAUGGCAGUCUGUUUGUGUCAGACGUAGAUGUGCCCAGUCAACACGUCUGUGUCUGACAACUGCUGCGCCACUGAAAUUUUUGCAGACAUCUGCAAUGAGAUUGCGGGGUAUUUUUAAUUAUGCUAUCGUGCUGACUCAACACGGCAGCUAUAGAAUGAGAAAUACCCCAUGUCAGAGGUGCAUUUGGCGGUUGUUUUUUUUUAAUACAAAUAUUCUAAGAAAUUAGCCUUGAUUUUCUGCCUUUUUUAGGGGUUUCUUGUCCCUCUAACCAAAUUUGCUGCAGAUGUAUAUUAUUUGCUUUGGUGAUAACAUUCGAGGAAUCGAGGCAUUGCAUGGUUGAUAGUUAAGAAAUAAUCUAUAUCUAUAUGUAUUGCAUAAGGGAUUUUUAGCAGAAACACUCUCAAUGGCUUGCAAAUUUUUCAUUCUUUUUUCUAAAUUUUUGUAUUUAUUUUAAUACAUAAAAAAUAGUGGGUUAUAACCAACCCUAUCACCAAUCAAAUUUUAAAUUUAAAACAUUCCCAAUAUCUACUUCAUAAACCAUUUAUAGUUUGUUAUUUAUACUUUAAAUCCUUUUUAUCCUUCUUAAAUCUUAUCUACUUUCAUAAACCGUUACAAAUGCUCAUUCGUAUGCUAUUUUAAUAUAAUGUUAUAUUUUUAUAAUUAGGAAAUAUUUAUCACCAAACUAACCCUAUAACCACCCCUACAAAUGAGUUUUGCAAAUUACAAUCACGUUUCAAAAAAAUCACAAAUGUCCAACUAAAUGUAAAGUUAAGGGGUUUUACUAUAUUUAACCCUAAAAAAAUCCCAAGAACGGAAGAAGUAGCGGGUUAUAGAUUUUUAUAUUUAUUUUAACACAUAAAAAAUAGUGGGCUAUAACCAACCUUAUCACCAGUCAGAUUUAAAAUUUAAAACUUUCCCAUAAUCUACUUCAUAAAUCGUUAAAUAUAUUUAUACUUUAAAUCCUUUUUAUACUUUUGCAUCUAUUUAUACUUUAAAUCCUUUUUACUCCUUAAUUAAAGACAAAUGCUUAUUCACAUGCUAUUUUAAUACAAUUUUAAUUCAGAAGCAUACAACAUGAUCAAGAAACAGUAGAACCAAUUAGUACUAGAUUUUUAUCCCCAAAAAAAAUUAGGCCUAGAUGCCACUGGCACGUUGCCAUAACUUGCGAUGCCAAUUAGGACUAUUUAGCACUUUUUUUUGCAAGGAAUUAGGGCACUAUACAGCUUAUUUAGGCAAACUUUACCUCAUCGGUGAUUUGAGUAUCAAGUUAUUGAAUAUACUACAAAUCCUACAAUCAUGCUUACAUUUUCCCCACAUUUCCCCCACGUUUUUUGAUAAUCUAGUAAGGAAACUAUAAAAACUAACGAGAGAGUAAGAAAAACAUUUAAAAAUGAAAAUGCAUGGUUGACGCAACAGACAGUUUUUAUAACUUAAAACGGUUGAUGCAUGGUUGCAAACACAAUGAUUGGAAAUAUUAGCAUCUUAAAAUGCAUAUGAAGAAAAGAAAAAGAAUAUGUAACAAAUUCAGCAAUUUUUUAAAUGCAUUUUCGUCCAAAUUUAAUUAUGUUAUUUAUAGUUAUAGUUCAACUUUACGAGGAGUAUACAUACAUACUUCUUCCUUAUUACCUAUCACUUCAAGAAGCGAGAAGACGCUUCAACUAAGAUUAUGAAGACAUCAAUCCCUCCUUUAAAACACUACAACCAAGUAAAACUUUUUCAUUUUAGUUAAAGAUUAAAUCGUGGCCUGGUGUUUAUAUCUUCCGCACCCAAGGCUACAAUAUUUAAUUUUCAAAACUUUCAAACGUAUAUUCUUAUGUAAUAUAUAUUUUCAACGAUAGUUACGAAUAUGUCCUUGAAGUCCGAGCAUAAACAUUAAUGAAUAGUUUCUGUCCGGAUAAAAAAUUAAUGAAAUAUAUGUUUACAUCUAUAUGUAUUGUACGAGAGGCAAGGAAGGGUAACAUUUGAUGCUUGCUGUUCUUUUAGUAUUUCUUUAGAUAUUUUUUAUUUGAGUUUUGUUCAAAUUUUUUAAUAUAUGUUAAGAGUUUAGAUAAGGUACAUAAAUACAAUAUAGAUUAGAUACUAAAAUGGUACUUUUUUUAAAAAUUUUUAACCUUUUUCCAUGUAACUAAUAUAACUAAUUCAUUUCCAACACACAGAAUAAAAGAAAUUUAUUAGUUAACCUUCAAAAUUUAUUUUUUAACGUUUCAAAUUUAAUUUUUUCAAAAAUAUAUACCCCGACAAUAAUAUACGAAAACAAGCUACUAGCCACAUGCAUGUUAGUGGUUUAGCCAUGUAUUUCAAAUUACUACAUGUACCAAAAUAUAUUAAUAUAGGAAUUACUGUAUUAACUAUAAGUGUUAACAACAAUUCUAUUGGUACUUAAUUUUCAUUUGAUUAUAAUACAAUUGUAUAUCUGACCACUAAUGCUAUUUCUUCUUUAACUAUUGUAUUUAUUUGGUUAACAAUUCUCAUACAAUGUAUCAUAUCAUUAAAUUUAAAACAAAUAUAAAAACUAUUGAUUGUGUUGGUACAAUUUUUUAACCUUUUUUAAUUCACCCAUUUAUUUUCAUUUUUUAAUAAUGUUAGCACCGUGCGUAGUACGGGUAUUUACACUAGUUUAACUCGUAAGGUAGAGUUCUGCCUCUACUUUGUGAGAAUUGAGAUGCCUUAUAAAUGGCAAAAUCGUGAGGUCCAACAAGGCAAAUUAGACAAUAAAUGUGUUGGAUAAUAGUUUAUUUGGUAUAAAUUUUUGAAAGAAAUAUUAUAGUCCUUUUUAAAUGUGAUGUAUAUGUAAUAAAAAGAUUGUUGAAAAAUGUGUUGAUAAUACAAGUAAAUAAAAUUUGAUAAACAAUCUACUAUCAAAUACAAUAUUAUAAUAAUAUCAAAUAAAAACAACUGUAAAAGCACAUAAUUCUUACAAUAUUUCAAAAACAACUUACAAAUAUACCAAAAAAUUUAAAAGUAAAUUCUACCACUCUUUUCUUCUUCCAUCUAACUACCACCACCGUCUCCUCGCUCCUUUUCUCUCUUUCCCCUCCCUCUUCCCUUUCUUCCCUUCCCCUUUCUCCUUCUCCCUCAUUCUCUUCGAUUCCCUUACCGAAGCCUCCCUUUAACCCCUACCUAGAGCUGUAAAACGAACCGAACCGAAUCGAAUCGAGUAUUAUUUGUUUGAGUUCUGUUCGUUAAGCGAUUCAAAUAACAUUCGUGUUUAUUUGUUAAUUUUCGAACUCCAAACCUGUGUUCGUAUUUGGCUCGUUAAGCAAAGUUCGUGUUCGAGUUCGAGUUCGUGUUCGGCUCGUUUAACAUAAACGAGCCGUUCGCGAACAUGCUCGAAAUGCUCGAAUCCAAAUUAUUUUAAACCUUAAAUAUGCCAUACAAAUCAUUAAUCAUUCUAAAAAACAAUUAAAGCAACUAAGUGACUAAAUUCUAUUAUUCAUUAACUAUAUAACUAACAUUAACAUAAAAAUAACAAAUAAAACAAAGCAAUUUGCUCUCUAAAUAUAAAAGUCCAGCCAUAAAAUUAAUCCUAAAAUUUGUCAAAUGAUAAUGAUGUCCAUGUUCACGAACGUUCGUUAAAACUCGCGAACAUACUUGUGUUCACGAACGUUCGUUUAGCAUGUUCGCGAACGUUUGUUAAAACUCGCAAACAUAUUUGUGUUCGCUCGAUUAUUAAUCGAACAAAAAAAUUUGUUCGAACUCGGUUCAUUUAAGGUUUCGAACGAACCUUUCACGAACACAAACGAGUCGAAAAGAACCGAGCUACCAAACAGCUCGGUUCGUUUAACAGCUCUACCCCCACCCCUACCCCUCCCUUACUCCUCCCCAAUUUGGCCAUCUCUGAUUGCAGCUAGAUACAAAACUAGUCUCAGCCAUAUCGCAACUGGAAGGGGAUGGCAUUUUGGUCGUGAUCUAGUUGCAAUGAGAAGGAAAGAAUGGGUGGGAGGUGGGGAGGAGAGAAUGAGGGGAAGGAGGAAGAAGGAAGAGAAAGAGAGAGGAAGAAGAGGAAGAGGGAGCAGAGAGGAGCAGGGAAUAUUGGCAGUGGUUGGAAGUGAUGGUAGGUGGUAGUAGUGUAAUUUUUUAUUUUUAAAGAAAACCCCAAAAGAAUUAUAAAUUCUAAAAACACCCAAAUACAUUUCCAAAAACACCUCUAAAAAUAAUCUUAAAAAUACUUAUCAACAAUUUAUAAUAAAAAUUUUUCACAUAUAUUGUUACAAUAAAAAUUUUUGAAAAAUACUCUAAAAAAUAGCUAAUUCAUACGAAGCCCUCUAUUGAUUUAAUGGAAAGAAAUCAAACAAAGUCGUACUAUCCAAGAUUCAUGGCACUUAAACAUUCUCAAACGCUUAUUUCAUAAAGAAUAAAAAAAAUACUCCGGUAGUUAUCUUCUUGCAUUUCUUAAUCUAGAAAUUGCAUUAGUCGUGUUAAAAUAGCAGAAUUCUAAGGCUAAUCUGAGCCAUACUAGCAAAGAGCAUCAAUGAAUGGUACGCAAAAAGAAAAUGCAUUCUAUUCAUACAAUGCUAGAGUUGAGUAACUUGAGUUACAUGAGCUAAUAAAUAUAGGCACUUUAUAUGGCUCAAAUUCUUUAUUUUGUUUCUAGUAUCAAAAUUUUCAAAAGUAAAUCAUAGAGUUAUGGACAUCUGCUUUAUGUUUUAAUCAUUGCAAUACUAAAGAGAAGGAAUGACAUUAGAAUGAAAAUGGAACAAGAUAGUUGAGAUCCAUUAUUUAAAAAAAAGCUAGUGAGAUGGCUUGUGCGAUGCCUAAGAGAGUUAAUAUUUCCUGUGUUAACUUUUUUUUGUUGUGUGAGUUUGUUAAUAUACUUGUUAUUAUCUAAUUCAUGUGGAUCGUUAUGAAAUUAUCGUUUUUGUUAAAGGUUAACAAUUAUGAAAUAUACAGAACGCAUGAGGGUGCUUAUAUAGAAUGUAUAAGAGUAAAUUAGAAAAUUGUAUAAGGUUAGUUUGCAUUUGGAUUAGGAUAAUUAGAAAAUUGUAAAGUGAAUCAUUCCCAAAAGAGUAUUAAUCAUUGUUGACACAAAAAGAAGGGAUCUCGCAAGUCAAUUGAGCACUUAAACCAUAGAAUUUAAUAUUGCUAAAAAUUAAUCACCACAUGUCACAGUAAUAAAACCCAUUUUUUAAACCUACUAAAGCCAACAAUAGUUUAUUAAUUGUUUCCUCAAUAAUUGUGCAUUUACAGGACAUUUAACAAUUUUAUUUCAUGUCACAGUAAUAAAGGCCAUUUUUAAAGUCGCUAAAGCCAACAAUAAAAAUCAAUUAUUUCCUAGGUAAUUUUGCAUUUACAAAACACUUCAAAAGCAAAUAAUUAACCACAAAAACCAACUUUCAUAGGUUUCACUUUUUACACAAUCAAUUUUCAAUUCAAUCAACAUGUUCGAUAAAUGCACCAAAACUAUACCAGUUGCAAACAAAACAAAACAAGCAAUUGACAAAAAUAGUCCGGACAUCCAAUAACAAUUGCAAGAUAACCGCUUGACAAAAAAACACUGUUUAUAGAACAACUCUCCCUUUUAUAUUAUUAGAUGGUGCUUCCAAGAACUAGAGACUCAUUUAAACUUCUUGUGUCCUAAGAUGCUUUCUUUUGGGUCUAUUACAAGUUUUUUUCUCAAAAGAUUUUUCACUUUUGUGGGUCUUACCUCCUAAAUGAAUGUAUAUAAAAUCCAUCUGAUCCAUUUUUUAAGGGGAUGAAAUAGAUUGUAGCAAUGACCUUUAAUUGAAGCUGAAGAUGAACUUAGAUUUUAUAUUAGUCCACUUUAAUUAUUGGAGCCAGCAAGUUUAUUUCAAAUUUUGUUCACGAUAAUUUAUCAUCACACCUCUUCUUUAGCAAACUCCAAUCUUCACUCUUUUCCUUCCUUCUGCAACAAAUUGCAAUUUUCUCCCUCUUUCUUUUCCCAUUCUUAUCCCUUUUUCUUCGUCAGAUUUGCCUUUUCCCUAUGUGGCCUAUUUUAAUUAAUUUCAGUUCUAUUUCACGGAUUUUUUGGGUUGCUUUGCUAGGUUUCAAGGGGAAAUUAUGGAGAUGAUAAUAGCCUCAUAGGGUAAUUUUUUCCUUAAAAUUGAAAAAUGAUAUGUAGUUAUGGUAGGGACAUAGAUAUUGAAUGACCGGCGUAUUGAGAGAAGAAUAAUUUUUGGGUUUGUAAUUUAUUGUUUCCUAGUCCUAUCUCUUUCUUGUCAUCUUGGAUCUAUUUUGUUUCUUUUAGACAUAAGUUUUCUUGACAAUAAGAAAAGUGGAGUGAAGAAGAAAAUAUGUACAUAAUGGAAGUGCUAUUUAUGAAGUCAAAUUCUAGUAAUUGAUUUAAAGAUCCAAUUCUAUACUUUUGAAACGUUGCUAAAAUCAUCAAUAUAUUUUUUAUUUCUCAUGAAAAUGUAGUAUUUAGAUGAAUAACCCAUUCGACUAGCAUGUUAUUAUACAACCAUAAUUUUAAUUGUAAACAAAAUUUAAUCUAAUUAUAAACCCAAAAUCUCCUAUCAAAAUUUGAAAUACCUAUCCUUGCUUGAUAGCAUUUGUAGCAUCCUACAAAUAGGUGAGGAUCACACUGCAACUAUUUGCUUUAUUUGAUUCUAGUCUGGCUAUAGGUAUCGAUUAACUCGAAGUUAUAAUCUAGAGUUUUUUUUCCAACUCUUCUUAUCAACAUAUAUCUAACCACAUUAGAACCAAUAAGUAUGCAUUUAUAACACUUCUAAAUCAGCAAACAUAAUGCAUACACUAGCAAAUUUAAUAGCAUGGAUCAAUAUAAAGAGAUAUAUUAUGUAAAUACAAAACACGCACUACAACAAAAAUGGCAUUUAGCGGCAUUUAAAGGUGUCAGUCUAAAUAAUCUAACCUGACACUUUAUCUAUCCUCACACUUAGGGCGAGUGUUGUCCCUUCCAAUGUGGGGAUAGCCUCAAAUCUUUAGCAGCAUUCAAAUGUGUCAGGAAAACGAUGCUGCUAUAGCAUUCCUUCUGCCAACAAAAACAAUUUUUGUGAUAAUCGAAAGUGUCCGUAUAGCUUUAGAACAUGAGUAGGAUAUCCAACUUAUGAAGGCAUCUUCAGUUGUCUUAAUAUUUGGCUUUAAGGACACGCAGCUAUGUGAAUUUACACUGUUUUGGACGACAUGGCCAUUUGUCAUUAGUGUUUUUUGAGCUAAAUUAUGCCGACACUUUUAAUUGCCAGGAGUUUUUUCCCUGUGUUUUUUUAUAUGGAAGCAACCUGCAAUUAGUCCUCCCUGCUGUAUAUUCCAUCAACCAGAAUCCCAAGGGACUUGUAAAAUUAUCCCAAAGAGCAGAAUGCAUAUAGCAAUUUAAAAGAAGAAGUCAAUACUCAAAUAUAUUUCAUUAAAUUAAAAGUCGAUAACAAGUACUAAAAUCGCAAACAAGUGCUAAUUAAAAGCAAGUACUAAAAUUCCAAACCAGUACCAAAAGAUUGUCAUUUACAAUAACUUGAAAGACUUUCUUGUGCACAAACUAAAAGACUCUCAUCCCUAACAAGUUGAAAGAAGUAGAAGUAGCUUCCAAACUUUCCAUUUUGUUGAGAGUCCUCAAUCAUAACCAUGAAAUCCCCAUCAUUCUUCAGCUGUUUCCACCUGUGCACAAAGACCAAGGGGAUCAUUAGAUCAUCAUAGCUAGAACUAAAAUUCCAGAAAAUCUGCAAUGUAUUUAAGUGCAUAUCUCACCAAAUGACAAGGCCAAGCAACUGGUGCACCAAGUGCAUCUUGAAUUGUUUGCUGCAAAUCAUACGGUCUAAUCAAUUGCUCACGUGGACUCAUUGCAACUUGUAUUUGUAUUUCACACCAGUUUGGCCCAAGAGCUUGUCCCCCGACCUCAUCCAAUGGAUUCAGACUCCGUAAAUAUCCCUUUGCCACGAAUUUUGUUGGGUCAAACAAACUUUUUAGUGAAACCAUAUUCCCUACCUAGUAAAGAUCCAACAAGUACAAGAAUCAAACUCAUGCCAAAUUCCAGAUUACAAAUGUGAAAGUUUAAAAGUUGUAAAUACUUACUCGAAUAGGUCACGUGGCUCGCGAUGGAGUUUGGCUUGACACAUUGUUAGAUGAUGAUGAAGGAUGUCUCGGGCUGUCAAUUGGAGAGCCCCUUCCAUGUUGAACUAAAACCAUUUUCUUCAAGAUGGCUAUUUCAUCAUCUUGUCGCUGAAGCCUUUCCUCCAAACGGACCAAUGAUGACUGUUGUUGAACACUUAUACGGUAACAUGUGUUACGACUAGGAAUGUCUUCCCAUAAGUCCGUUGGAUUCACACCAUCACUAAACAAGCGAACAUGACCAUGUUUGUCUUGCCCAACCACCUGGGCAAAUAUAUCAUUGCGACCAACUGGAUCUUGUGACUCCGAUGGAAGCUGAUUUUUCAGCUCAUUCAUUUUUUCCUACAUAAUAAAGGAAAACACUUGUUAUUGCAAAAGCCUGUCUGAAAACAAUGGUAGAAUUUAUAGGCUUGUGUUCUCAGAUCCUUACCAAAUUCUCAGCAACCAUGGUACUUGAUGGAGUUCCAUCGGCAUGGGUAUAAAACUUAUUGAACAUUUCUACUCUAGUAGGAGGUCUUCGCAACUGUUUGGCCUAUAAGAAAUUGAAUUUUUUUAAUUAUAGUUUUAGCAUUUAGCAUAUAAUUAAAAAACAAGCUAACAUAAUGAAACAUGUACGAGUAAAAAAAAUAGCAACUAAAAAAAGGAUGAGAUAUCACCAAGUGGUUCCGAAGAUGAGCAAAUGACUUUUUUCCAGUUGUGUGGUUCAUCUUCUUCUCCCCUCUAGCUUUCUUGUUCCUCUCACUUAGUUUCUAAAUUUCAAAAUCAAAAGCAAGAUUACAGCAUUGAAUAAACACAACUUUAUGAAGAAUGUUGUAGCUGAUUUGUACCUUUGCUUCUUCACUUUUCCAAUAAGCCCAAAGUUUGAUCCAUUGCUCUUCCCGUACCCUUAUGUCCUUUUGAAACCGAGCUUCAGCAUUUGGCACGGUAGGAUCAAAAUAUGUAGCCUUUAAAUCUGCCUUCCAACUUCUCCAUUUUUUGCCAAUAGAUCUUAAGGUCCAAGCUUCUAGUCCCAUAGGCAAAGCAAACCUUUCCUGAAACGUAGUUAGGAACUAGAAAAUCAACAUAACUUCACAGUAAUUUUUGUCGAAAGCAUACAUAAUACAAAAGCUACCAUUACCUUUAUCACUUCUAACAUGUCCAUUUUAAGUUUCCUUGGCAUCUUAAGCCAACUUUCAACAUCUAUUGGACAAUACAUACCAUUCCUAGCCAAACUGCCCAAGAAUUCAGAGAAAGAGGUUUUCUCACUUAUUGGGAUCCCAUUGUCAUCGAGUUUAAUCUCAAUCCGUGGAAGGUCCUUAGGCCGACCCCAAAUUUCUUUCAUAAAUGUAGGGCUUCGGGUUUUCUGAUGUACUUCACUUGAAUCAUUUGUAGUUUCUUUUCCUGUAUAAAAUAAGAAAAAGGUGCAAGUUAUGAACAUAAAAAAUGCACUUCUGGAAUUGGUUCAAACAGUUAGUAAUACCUGCAUCGUCCGAGUUGCAUGACAUGAAGGUGGUGUCAUUGGAAUGUUGACCUUAAGAAUCCUGAUUUGGAUUUUCUUCAGUUGGUACGUGCCUUGUUCCAAGUGGAGAUUGUUGAAUUGGAGAGUUCUGGCACUGCUCAUGCGACUGUGAACCUCUACCAGCUUGUUGAGUAACUUGGUCACCUGAUUCAUGCAUUAUUCCCAAUGUAGAAUUCUGAAUUGGAGAUUGAGGUGCCCGAGCAGCUUCUCCUUGAACUUGUUCAAUUACAUUUUCAUGGCUUGUUCCAAGUGGAGGCUGCUGCCUUGUUUCAUGACAUGAGGGAGGUUGCUCAAUUGGUUCAUCUCUCAAUCCAUUUGCAGCGCGCUUACAUUUUCGACCUCUACGGGCCAUACCUGCAUAAUUCACCAUUUAUUUGAUACCAGGUCCACCACCAUAUAUAUAUUUUUUGGGGGAAGAAAGGGACAAAUGUAAAUGUGUAGCCUUUACUGAAGCAGACACUCUACCUAUAGCAGUGCAUCAAUCUGGGAUAAUAGAUAAAGUAUACAAACUAAAAUUAAUGAACAAGUUAUCUUGACUACAGCUUACACUGCAAUCCGAGCUCAAGCAUACUUUUAUUGAACUAAUUUUGAGUUGCAACGAAUAUUAUUGAAUCUAUUGUAUAUCAAACUUGGGCAGUUUGCUUCUAAUUAUAUUUGAAAAACCUUUUUGCUUAUAAAUCAGAACUUGAAAACAGCUUUAAGAACUUGAUGAUUACAGUUGGGUCACAAGAUCUGCUCAGGUCAUGUAGUUCCAUUUGAAAGGUUACUGAAAAGCUCCCAUGGAAAGUAAAAACAGAGCAGAACCAAAAGAAGUCUAUCAUUCAUGGGGAAACCCCCUACUUGCUUAAAUCAAGCAGUCCAGUACACAAUCAUUUGCUGGUGAAAAACAAAACUAACAGAAUAGGCAUUUUAGAACCCAAUAUCUACCAAGUACUAGCAAAGACACUUACAAUUUUCAACAAUCAUACUAGAAUCCAAAGCUAUCAUUUUCAUUUGUGACUAGAAAUUUCCUCAUAUACAAUCAGCACCAACAAUUUAGAAGUCCAGGAUUCAUGAGGACAUGCAUUAAGGCAAAGUUUGGCCAGUGGAAAUCUAAAUGGAGAAUCAAAAGAUUUGUGAGGCUCAACCAUUAAGGAACUCAAUGUCUACCUUAUUGUUUUAUAUGCUAAGACCAAUAAGGCGGAACAAUUGUACCUAGCAGCAUUCUGCCAAUAUAAAUAAGCAGUAAAUUAAAAAACAUUGCAUUCAAAGUUCUACUGCAUGUGGAUAUGAAUCAAAUAAUCAAAUACUACACUGUACCUUUCCAUUAAAGCACUUUUCAAAUUACAGAUGAAGCUGAUGAGGUAAUUUUUAAGCCAUUAACUCCAAAGGCAUGGAGCAGUUUUCUUUGGUUAAAGCACGUGCCUGGUUCUUCAAUAUUAACUGCUGCCUAUCAAAGCUAAUGAAGGAUGGUCAUUUAGUACUAACUUUUUUGCUGAUACCCCAUGAUUCCCUGCUCUAUUGUGGAAAGUGAUUCAGUCACUAGCCAAGAUAUUCUUUGAAGGUCAAUUUAAGUUGUUAGAGAGUCUAAUUUCUAAUAUUAGUAUAACUAAUCUUUACCCAAUUUCCUUUUCUAAGCAUCCGUUUUAAAGGACACACCACACACCCCAAAAACAAAAAGGGUGAAGAAGAGCAUCACCAAAUACAGAGAGAAGGAGGUUCUUUUUUCCUUUUUUUUGGGGGGGAGGGGGUGGAAGGGGCAUGUUAUGCAUUCUUGUGAAACGAAUCACAGGGGAAAAAAAAACAACUGCACAUAGUCAGAAAGACAUGAUACCGAUACUUUCCCUAUCUGGCAAAGUAGACAGCGGAAUUCGUAAAGUUCAAACCUUAAUCCAAGAACUGACACCUACAAUGCUAAGCGUCACUUCAUUAUUACAGUAAGAAAGACUGUAACUUUUCGGACUUUGCUGGAAAAAAUCACUAACCAGGUAGAUUUCCACAGGCCAAACUUUACUCUUUAAAGUUGUAACAGAAAGCAACUGACAAUACACAACACUAUGUCGCAUUCGACAGCUCUCACAAGCCACAUUGUCCUAAUCUGACAAGAAAGAAGAACAACUAGCAUCUCGACCAGGCUUUCGACCUAUGCAACUAGAAAUGUGCUUCUCAGAAACGGAGAAGGAGCUUGUCAGAAAUGGGAAUCGAACAACCUAAAUUAGACAGAUGUCUACCAUGCAAUGCAAAAUUAGACACAAAAUACUGAAAUUACCUCAAACUAUGGCUUGAAUCCCUAACUUCUCGGUUUCCCCAAGCUUAAAGAUCUGAACUCCAGCUUUCACCCAAGCUUUGAAGCCCUAAUUGCCUAGCUUUCACCCAAGAGGCUUGAAACAGAGAGAGAGGGCAAAGGGAGAGGACUAAUCUUGAAGAGGGGAGAAGAUGUCUGAAAUAAAGGCGGUACUAAUGACGCCAAAGUAAAUUAGUCAAGCCUCUUGAAUUUUUCAAUUUGCCGCGCUAAUUUUUGUGUGUUUGGGCAAAAUUUUGUUAAAGCUACAUAACAACUAAAAAUAUAACAACUAAAAAUGUUGUUACAACUACAUACAAUAUAAUAUAACAACUACAAAAAUAACAACUAAAAAUUUUGUUAAAGCUAUAUAACAUGAAUUAAAGCUGAAUUUAAUAUAACAUGAAUUUUACAUAAAUAUAACAUGAAUUAUAACAUGAAUUUUGUUAAAAAUAUCUUAAAUUAAAAAUUUUGUGAAGCUAAAAAAAACAUGAAUUUAAUCAAAAUGUUUUCGGUACCCAAUUUAUUUUAUGCUACUAGCAAUUAUGUACGGCUUGUAGUCUAACAAGCCGUUAUUUGAAUCGAAUUAGUUUAUGGAACAUAAAAAUGAACUUGUGAAUACAUGAACUUUCCACUGAUAAACGUUAGGAUUAGAAUUGAUUGAACAUAUAUAUAUUCAAUAUUUUCAAUUCCAAAGCAAUUGCCAUUCAACUUUGUGUUUAUUAUAAGCUAUUAAACACUUAGAAGAUCUUAAAAUUGAACAUUUCACUGCAAUUACCGUGUAACUUUGCAUUAAUUAGAAGUAAUUAAACACUUAGAAUAUUCAACUGACAAUCAAUUCCAAAGCAAUUGCCAUUCAACUUUAUGUUAAUUAGAAACAAUUAAACUAGAGGUGUGCAAAAUCGAAAAGAGGGGGAAUAGGAAAUUUUCGAAAUCGGUAAAUCGGAAAUCGAAAUCGAAUUCAGGUUUUCCGAAUUCAUAUAAUUCGAAUUUGGUUCGAAUUCGGUAAUUGAGUUUUUCAAAUCGGAAUUUCUGAUUUCGAAUUCACAAUUCGAAUUCGGAAUUCGAAUUCCGAUUUCGAUUUCAAAUUCGUUUUUAAUAUAUAAAUAUAUUUUUUAUACAUGUAAUAUAAAAUUUAUACUAUAUAAUAUUAUUCAAUGUUUUCAAUUCCAAAGCAAUUGCCGUGUAACUUUGCGUUAAUUAGAAGCAAUUAAACACUUAGAAUAUUCAAUGAUCUUAAACACUUACAAGAUCAGUUAAUUAGAAGCUAUUAAACACUUACAACAUCUUAGAAGCUAUUAAUUAGAACUAUUAAACACUUACAAGAUCUUAAAUUUGAACUUUCCACUAAUAAACGUUAGAUUAGUGGAAAGUUUGAUGGUCAAUCCAAAAUUUUGACAAAACCGAUUAAACUCUCCCAAAGAUCAGUUAUGGAGUGGACAUAUAUGCAAUAACAAUCCAAGUUCGGAAUGAUCGGCUCGGUCGAUUCGACCGGUUCGAUUGUGUCUCCAGUCUUGUUCACUGGUUAAUCCAAAAAUUCAAUUAAACCGAACAACCUUCAAUCAAAUAUUAGUUAUGGAGUAUAUAUACAGAAUAUGCAAUAACAACGUUUGAUCAGUAUGAUGGGUUUGAUCGAUUCGAUCGUGCUUGACCGGUUCGAUCGUGUCUCCAGUCACUUUAAUGGUUAAUCCAAAAUUUCGACUAAACCGAUUAAAUUCAAUCAAACAUCAGUUCGACCGGAAAUUUAGAGAAUUUCACUUUUUGAAUUGUUAUUUUUAAAAAAAUAAUUUUUCCAUUGUAUUAAAAAAUUAUUUAAGAAAUUUAUCGAUUAAAGUUUCAAAUUAUUUCUAUUGAUCAAAAAUUAGAGAGGGGUGAUUGGAAAUCAAAAAUUGGCCAUAAUACAAUGAUUCACUACAUUAAUAUUACAGCUUACAAUUAAUGGAAUUGCUUAAAAAAUAAUGACCAGUAUUUAUCUAGCCCAUUGGGCUCUUAAAAUUAGUAAUAGGUUGUUUUAUGUUUGGUCUGAAUUGAUUUGCAAAAAUUGCAUUAUAUCUUACACUCAAAAGUUUAAAAAACAAAACAAAGAAAUGAUUAUUGUAAUUAUCAAAAAUAAUAAUAACAAUUUUGUUAAAACAUUUAACGAAUCAUAAUCAAACUUUAAAGUGAAUUUGAUGGAUAGCAAUUUCCCAUAACACAAAGGCAUUUAGAGAUUGCACAGAACAUUUCAAUUGAGACCAUGUAUGGUGUACGGGCAAGUGCUUGAAUAAACACCAUGAUCUGCAAUUCCGCAAAUUUGAAACCAUAUUUGUCCCUUCAAAUUUAGUUGCUGUAUACAAUAAUCAAACGAACCAAAACUCACAAGCUUCAAGUAAUUUCAGACCAACGAAAUGUAGACAAGUAAUUGCAGCCAGUAGUAGAGCCUUAGCAAUUGAAACAUAUAACAAUUAAUAGGGCCAACAAGCUUAGCAACUAUAAAAGAUACUAAAUCAGAUUAUAUUGGGACAAAUCAACUUCAAUCCCAAGUCCAUCCUCACGAACCCAACUAAUUUCCUCAUUUUCAUUCUCAACAACAGGAUUUCCAACAUCACUUUGCAAAUAUGUCUCAACAUCCAUGGUUGUGUCCAUGUUAUAUCCACCUCUUGCAGUGGUAGAGAUAACAACUUGCCAAUCCUUAUCAGUUGGAUCUUCCACAUAAAAAACCUGUGAUGCUUGUGAAGCGAGUAUAAAUGGCUCAACAUGAGGCCUCACAUUUGCAAAAUUGACUACAGUAAACCCAUCAGCAUCUUGUUUCAUUCUCGAACCAUUUGAUAUCCAAUCACAUUCGAAUAACACCACCCGACGACCUCUGUAAAUUAAUUCAACAACAUUUUUCAAGACGCCGAAGUAAACUAGUUCACUCAAAACUGGAUUUUGAUCCCUUAUACUUGCAAAACUGGAUGUUGUUGCAUUUACUGUAACACCACUAUUCUGCAUUUUUCUUUUCUUCUCAACUUCGUUGGUGUGAAACUGAAAUCCAUUAACAACGUACUUGUUAUGUUGGAUUCCAACAACAUCUGGACCUUUAGCAAGGAACCUCAAGUCUCUCAACACCGAAACAUUUUCAGGAAGUUCUAACUUGUCAAUUUGUAAAAAAAAAAAUGAUGAAACUUACUUUGAAGUCCUACAAUUCAAAUUGUACUUAAUAUUCAGAAUUUUACUUACAUGUUCAGCAAACCAACAAGCAAAAUUUUCGCUAUGCAAGCGCUCUUUUAGAUGCUGUGGAACUUGAGGAUGCCCUUCUUCUAUCAAUCUACGAUGCUGCCUAGAAGUACAUGAGUCAAAAUUGUAAUCAUACAUUGAAUUCUACAAUAAAAUUUUAAUGCAUCAAGUUGUAGUUGAACUUACUCUAUGUAAGGUGUGACAGCAUCACAGUUAAAUAAAAUAUACUGAUAUGCUUUACUCAAGAUAUGAGCAUCAAAGACUGCUGGCUUGCCCCUCCCCAGAGGAUGUCCUGAUUCAGAGAAUAUAUCUAAACCCUCUUCAAUUUCCUUAUGUACUUCUUCAUUUCUGCUUGGACGAUUGAAUUUUGUCUCAACAUAGUCCGCAAGAUACAACAAGCAAAAGUUUAUGCAUUCUUCUGCCAAGUUGCCUUGAGCAAUCGAACCUUCAGGCCUACUUUUAUUUCGAACAUAAGAUUUUAAUGUUCCUAGGUACCUAAAGUAUCAUCAUUCCAAACUCUCUGUUUAGUUCCACAAAUCAAAGAAAGAAAAAAAGUAAUAAACAUUUAAGGCAUAAUUAGAAUUACAAGCAGUACCUCUCUACAGGAUACAUCCAACGAUAAUAUACCGGGCCACCUAAUUUCACUUCAGUUGCCAAAUGAAUAGUUAAAUGCACCAUGACAUCGAAGAAUGUUGGUGGAAAGCAUUUCUCAAGAUCGCAAAGUAUAACGGCAAUUUCACUUUCCAAACGAACCACAUCUUGAGGACAAAUAACUUUAGAACAAAGCUGCCUGAAGUAUCUACUCAAUCGAAUCAAAGGAUAGCGCACUGAUUUUGGCAAAGUCUUUCUCAAAGCUAUAGGCAUCAAUUGCUGCAUUAGGAUAUGAUUAUCAUGACUUUUAAGCCCCGAAAUUCUUGGUGGCUUUACUCGAACGCAUCUUGAGACGUUAGCUGCAUAACCAUCUGGAACUUUCACUUUUUUUAGCACAUUGCAAAACAUAGUUUUCUGUUUUUUAUCCAUUGCAAAGAAAGAUGGAGGUAAGUAAACCUUUCCAGGUUCUGUCUCAAUGGGAUGCAGCUCUUUUCUUAUUCCCAUUUCUCUCAAAUCACGGCGGGAAUUAUAAUGGUCCUUUGCUUUAUCCUCAAUAUCCAGCAAUGUCCCCCAAAUAUUUUCACAAACAUUCUUCUCAAUGUGCAUGAAGUCAAGAUUAUGUCUUAAGACAUUAUCUUUCCAAUAUGGCAAGUCAAAGAAAAUACUCCUCAUUUUCCAAUUAAAAGGCAAUUUCGGAUUACCUUUCACAAGUUUUCCAAAUUUAAUUUGCAAGUCUCCCAAUUCACUCACAAUCAUAUCCCCAGUUUGUAAAGGUGGUCGCUUUCCAUAUUCUUCGGUGCCAUCAAACAAUUGGGCUUGAUUUCUAAAUUUAUGCUUACUAUCUAAGAAUCUACGAUGACCCAUAUAGCAAUGCUUGAAACUAUGAGUCAACCGUCGAGCAUGAGUGAACUUGUGACAAACAGGACAAGCAUAUUCACCUUUAGUGCUCCACCCAGAUAACAUUGCAUAUCCAGGAAAAUCACUAAUGGUCCACAACAGAGCUGCAUGCAAUUGAAAAUUUUCUUUUUGGGAUGCAUCAUAAGUUUGAAUGCCAAAAUCCCACAAUUCGGUCAAUUCUUUAACUAGAGGCUGUAGAUAAACAUCAAUAUUAUUCCCAGGAGAGGAUGGUCCGGGUAUUAACAAGGACAACAUGAAGUACGGUUGCUUCAUACACAUCCACGGAGGUAAGUUAUAUGGUAUUAAAACCACAGGCCAAGUACUGUGUGUAGAACUCAUGUUGUUGAAUGGAUUAAACCCAUCAGAUGCCAACGCCAAUCUAACAUUUCGACAAUCCUUAGCAAAUUCUGGAUGUAGAUGGUCAAAAGUUUGCCAAGCUGGAGAAUCAACUGGAUGUCUCAUACAACCAUCUUUUGUACGUUUUUCCUCAUGCCAUCUCAUUUGAGAUGCAAUUUUAGAAGACAUAAAUAGUCUUUGUAAUCUAGCUUUUAAAGGAAAAUGCCACAAUACUUUUUGAGGAUUUUUUCUUUUUUCACCAGUUGUAUCAUUUUCUGAAGCAACCCACCUAAGCUCGUUACAUGUUUCACAUGAAGUUCUUUUUUCAGCAUUACCCCAAUAAAGAGAACAAUCAUUAGGACAUGCAUCGAUCUUUUCAUAACUCAGCCCCAAUGUAUUCAUCAAUUUCUCAGCCUCAUAGUAAGAAGAAGGCAAAUUAGUCAUGGCCUCCGGAAAUGCUUCUCUCAACAGCUCAACAAGCAUAUUAAAAAUCUUGUUACUCAUCUUACCAAGGCAUUUUAGGUAAAGCAAACGAAUAAUGAAAGACAACUUCGAGAAAUUUUUGCAACCACUGUACAGAUCCUGUUGAGAAUCAUCAAUCAAUUUGUAAAAUUUUUCAGCCUCUGAAACAGGAAAGUCCCCUUCUCUAUUCAAUUCAUUUGUUCCAUGUGGUAUCCCAAAUACAUCAUGGACCAAGUCUUGCAUGUCAUUAGUCCCAUUUGAAACCCCAAUUGAUGUAUUUUCAGAAUUAGAUGUGGCUUCAUAGUAGUUUGAAAGUUCUCCAUGUGCUAUCCAAUUAUUAUAACCCUUGAUAAAGCCUACCACUUUCAAAUGAUCAUAUGCUUCCAUUUUAGUCACACAAACACCCAUGCCGCAAUCUUUGCAAGGACACAAAAUCAGUCCGUCACAACUUGAUCUAGAAAAUGCAAAGUUUAGAAACAUUUGAAGUCCUGCCUCAUAUUUUUCACUUGUUCUUGGAAAAUCCAUCCAACUUUUAUCCAUACUUUUAAUAUAAAUAAAUGUCCUCCAACAAGCUUCCAAGAGCAUGAAAACAACAACUACACAUUAGUACUUAGAAAAGGCAUAGGUUUAUGACACGGUUAGACCGCCAGCAGAUAUUUAUGAAGAAAAAGCAUUCACCACAGAGAGACAGUGAAAUGUGAAAGAAAGAAGAGAAUCUAUCUAGCCUUUUAUUUUAUACUCAUAAUCUUUUUUUGGUCCAAGGAUUCUUUUAAGUUGCUAUGACUAUUCAACUAAUUGAUCUAGAAACAGGACUAAAUUGAGAAUAAAAAAACAGAACCCAUAAGGGUGCUAUGUCAUCCUGAACUGGGAGGGGGUGGAAGUUCGAGUCAAUCACACCUACAUAAUCAAAUGGUACACCAUUCGAUCUCACCCAUCUCAAUAACGACAUAAUAUUUGUUUGUCUAUUCAAUAAUCUUGCUCAACAACAAUCUGAACCUAUCUGUCACGGAUGUAUAACCAGUAUAUGACCAAUGUGCAGUUCAACAAGAAGUCCAUUAAUUAAGUCCUUAAAUAUUAAUUUUCAUCAACCUAUUUCUUAAACUUUUGCACCUGUCUUGCAAAAAGAUCAUUCCAGUCACCCCAUUGCUAUUUUGAUCUUCAUCAAAGAGCUUCCAAGUCGAUUUCUAUUCAUAGCCUAAACAGAGCUUCAAUUACAACUAAGUUUCAUAGAUUAACAUUAAAAGAGAUUCACAGAAAAAAUUGAAAAACAGGGGGAAUUGACAUUUUAUCGAACAGGUUAUGGGCAACAGCUUCAUUGUGUUUACCACUUCAAUUUUGGAACAAGAUAUGCGCACCUGAAGUAUAUAUCUUCCCGCUUUCCCAAUGUAGAGCUCCGUUCUUCAGCUUUUACUCCCUGCCUGCCCUUCCAGAUGUCUUAGCCGAGGGAUUUAAGGUUGAGGUUAGAAAAGAUGAAGAUGGUUGUUUGCGGAGAUAGCUUCGAUUGCUACCAACAUUCUGGACUGGCCGAGAUAGCUUGUAUGCUGAGAGGUGAGAGAGAUGAGAAGAAGAAAAUUUUCACCAAGUCCUUUUGCCGGCAAAAUGAAACUUCACAGUACUUCAGCAAGUGUUUUGGAGCCAAAAUAAAACGAUGUCGUUUUCUGUGUUUUUCGAUUUUUUUUUUGUUCAUCUCACAUUUUCCAGAGUGUCAUCAUAGGUUACCUAAAGGCACAUUAUUAUUUGUAUAUCAUGAUAAAAUAAAAAUAUUAUAAUACAUAUUAUUGAAUUUAUUAAUAAGUGUCAUGAUAUAUUUACUAUAAUGACACAAACCAGCAAGUGUCCUUAUAGGCAUGUCAGGAAAGGUCAUUUUUGUUGUAGUGACAGUACCUUUUUUAUUUCUCUUUUUGUUAAAAGACAACGAAACACCAUCAUAUGCAACAAAAAUAGAUUAGGAAGUAGAUUAAGUAAUGUAUAUUGAGAACUCAUAAUCUCUUUUAGCCACUUUAAAAUUGACAAAUACUAGCUAUAAAAUGUACUUACCUUCUUAUCUAUUGCUUUCCAACCAUAGUAGCUUUUUGUUAAAAUCAUCAAUUGCCCAUUUCUUUAUUCUCUGAGGAUAAAAAGAAUCACUAACUUGGUUAGAAAGAUUGACCCUAUUUUAGGUAAGACAUAAAUAUUAGUUGAAUAAACUAAUUAUAUGUAGGCAAGACAAAAUAAUUGACUUGGACAAUUUUCAUUUCUAUUGCAGGAACAUUAUAAAAUAUACAAGUAAAACAUAUCAAGUCGGGUAAGAUUGAGUACAUUCAAUGAAGGGUAACUUUACCUACAACCUCUUAAGUUAAAAUUACAUAUGUUGGCAAUAUCAAGAUGUUUUAGACAUGUCCAAUCGACUUAAUAAGUAGGUUCCAAAAUGGCAUGUCCUUAUUUCAAGAGUCAUAAAAGAAUGACGAGCUACAUUUUUUAUAGCAAACAAAUUUUUGUAUAACUUGUUAACUUCAUCAAAUUAAUGAGCCAAAGUACCUAAUAGGAUGGGAAAUCUUACAACUAUAGUUUAAAAAUUAAUAAACCCUACCAUAACCAUAGAAAAUUAUUGUUGUAAAAUAAAUUUUGUCUAAAAAAAUUAAAAGAAGGGCAACUAGGAGUGAUGAGUGGAUUAACAAAUGGAGAUAUAUUGCAGGGAAAGAGAGAAGAAAUAAGGCAACAAAUGAGUAAGGUAUGGUUUAUUAUAGAUAGGAAGGGACCAAUUUGUGGUUUUGAUUUAGACAAAAAAAUAAAGAAAAGAGGAAUGGGAGUUAGAGAUAUAAGAGAUUCAUCUAAAAUUGUCAGGAAUUGAGCAUGGAGAAAAAGAGAGCAGUCUAAGAACAAUACAAGACAAUAACAACAACCAUCUUUCUCUACAAAAUAUUAAAUAAAAAAUAAUAGAAAAACCAAAAAAUUAUAGGGAAAGAAAAGAUAACGAAAGGGAUCCCGAAGAAAAAAAGAAUGGAGAUCAGUCAUUGUUCUUGGAUUGUGUGUUAUUAAAUUCGAACUAGACCAGUCACUAUUUGAAUUGCGAAGUGGCUAAUCCUUUAGUCUAAGUGAAUAUUAAAACUCAGUAGGAAAAGACUCAAUCAAAAUCCCAUUUAAACCAAAAAUUAGUAAAACUGGGCUUUUGUUCGUUUGAUUUUUUUUUUUUUUUGGAUAAGGCAUUUAACACCUAUACUACCAUCUUUUGCUCAUCUUCCAAUUCUAGAUGUAAAAUAAAAUAUUUUUUUUUACGAAUAGCAACACUUCAAUAUCUUGAACACAAAGAUUAUAUAUUAUUACCUAGGGGUAUUUUAGUUAAAAAGAAAAUGACAUAUUUUUCUCUCACAUAAAUUACUAUAAUUCUGUUGAUGUGAGUAAUAUAGGGUGAUAAAGUGUAAUUAUCCAAAAGUAGAUGCUAAUAAAGAUAAAAGAGGUAAUGUAGGGGUAUGGGGUAUUUCAAUUAAAAAGAAAAUGAUAUCUCUUUUUCUUACAUAAAUAACUAUAAUCUUGUUGAUGUGAUUCAUGUAGGGUGAUAAAGUGUAAUUAACCAAAAAUGAAUGCUAUUGUAUAAAAAAGAGAGGAUAUAAUUAAGGGGAAAAUUUUAGGAACCUCCCUAAGAUUUUUUAUAAUAUCACUUGAUACUCUUAAACUUUGAAAUAUAUUAAUAAUUUUCAUCAUUUUAACUUUUUUCAAUCAUUAUUAACCUAUUUCAAAAUAUAAGACAAAAAGCAAAAAACUUUUAAUCUUAACUUUUUCAAUCAUUAUUAAUCUAUUUCAAAAUAUAAGACAAAAAGAAAAAAAAAACCUCAUUUUGGAUAUAGAAGAUAAGUCCUUUUUUUAUGUCUAAAGAUCUUGUGGUCUAAAGAUCUAUGUGACAAUUUUCAUUUCUAUUGCAGGAACAUUAUAAAAUAUACAAGUAAAACAUAUCAAGUCGGGUAAGAUUGAGUACAUUCAACGAAGAGUAACUUUACCUACAACCUCUUAAGUUAAAAUUACAUAUGUUGGCAAUAUCAAGAUGUUUUAGACAUGUCCAAUCGACUUAAUAAGUAGGUUCCAAAAUGGCAUGUCCUUAUUUCAAGAGUCAUAAAAGAAUGACGAGCAACAUUUUUUAUAGCAAACAAAUUUUUGUAUAACUUGUUAACUUCAUCAAAUUAAUGAGCCAAAGUACCUAAUAGGAUGGGAAAUCUUACAACUAUAGUUUAAAAAUUAAUAAACCCUACCAUAACCAUAGAAAAUUAUUGUUGUAAAAUAAAUUUGGCUAAAAAAAUUAAAAGAAGGGCAACUAGGAGUGAUGAGUGGAUUAACAAAUGGAGAUAUAUUGCAGGGAAAGAGAGAAGAAAUAAGGUAACAAAUGAGUAAGGUAUGGUAAAAUUACAACAGAAAGGAAGGGACCAAUUUGGGGUUUUGAUUUAGAGAAAAAAAUAAAGAAAAGAGGAACAGGAGUUAGAGAUAUGAGAUAUUCAUCUAAAAUUGUCAGAAAUUGAGCAUGGAGAAAAAAGAGCAAUCUAAGAACAAUACAAGGCAAUAACGAGAACCAUCUUUUUCUACAAAAUAUUAAAUAAAAAAUAAUAGAAAAAUCAAAAAAUUAUAGUGAAAGAAAAGAUAACGAAAGGAUCCUGAAGAAAAAAGAAUGGAAACCACCGAUUGUUGUUGAAGUAUGUUUUAUUAAAUUGGAACAAUACCAGCCACCGUUUGAAUUGUGAAGUGGCUAAUCCUUCAGUAUGAGUUAUAGCAAAACUUAGUAGGAAAAGAUUCAAUCAAAAUCCCAUUCAAACCAAAAAUUAGUAAAACUAGGUUUUCGAUCGUUUGAUUUUUUUUUUGGAUAAGGCAUUUAACACCUAUAUUACCAUCUUUUGCUCAUCUUCCAAUUCUAGAUGUAAAAUAAAAUAAUUUUUUUUACAGAUAGCAACACUUGAAUAUCUUGAACAGAGAGAUUAUAUAUUAUUACCUAGGGGUAUUUUAGUUAAAAAUAAAAUGACAUCUUUUUCUCUCACAUAAAUAACUAUAAUUUUGUUGAUGUGAGUAAUGUAGGGUGAUAAAGUGUAAUUAUCCAAAAAUAGAUGCUAAUAAAGAUAAAAGAGGUAAUGUAGGGGUAUGAGGUAUUUCAAUUAAAAAAAAUGAUAUCUCUUUCUCUCACAUAAAUAACUGUAAUCUUGUUGAUGUGAUUAAUGUAGGGUGAUAAAGUGUAAUUACCCAAAAAUAAAUGCUACUAUAUAAAAAAGAGGAUAUAAUUAAGGGAAAAAUUUCAGGAACCUCGCUGAGAUUCUUUAUAAUAUCACUUGAUACUCCUAAACUUUGAAAUAGAUUAAUAAUUUUCAUAAUUUUAACUUUUUUCAUCAUUAUUAACCUACUUCACAAUAUAAGACAAAAAGAAAAAAAUUCAUUUUGGAUAGAGAAGAUAAGUCCUUUUUUUUUUUAUGUCUAAAGAUCUGUGGUCUUUAAUCCUCGUGUGUUUGAUUUGAUGGUUAACCAACAAAUAAUGAAAUGGACUAAUGGAUAUACUUGAAUGGUGAUGAUAGAAAGUGACAAAAAAAUAAUGAAAACCCAAUCAAUAUGAAUGCUACUGAACUCAAAAGAAAUAAAGAAGAUUCAAGAAAUGAACUAUACUAGUUAGCCAUCAACUAUACUAGUUAUGUUCAAAUCAAAUUUAAUCUCGUUCAUCAACAUGGAUUGACAAUGCUACAAAAAGUUUAAAAUUAUAGGGAGCUCAGGGUGAUUUCUUCAAAGUUCAUAGAUGCCGAGUGAUACUAUCAAGAACCUAUGGGGAGGUUUCUGCAAUUAUCUCUUAAAAGCCAUACAACGGUGUAGUAGUAGUACACUCCGCAACAACAGCAGUUCCUCGAAGGAAAAAAUAAAAAGGAAAUUUCUGUCCCCUGCAUAUCCUACUAAAAUUAUCCAAAAAAAUAAAAUAAACAUAAGUAAUAAAAUAAAUAAAACACCUUCUCUUUCACGGACUCUCGUUUCUCUCUCCCUCUCUCUCUCUCUCUCUCUCUGAAAAAAAAAAAACCAAACCCCAAAAAUCUUCUCUUUCUCCCCAUCCAAUUUCUUUUAUGCGGCGCUGCUAAAAACCCUAGAUCCGAUCGCUUCCUUUCUCUCGGUAAAGAAAUUGGAAUCAUUUUUCUUUUUUGGUUUUGGAAUUUUAUUUUAAUUAAUUGGGUUUUUAAAGAGGAAAAGCAGCGAAGAGUUUCUGUUUCCUUUUCUUUUUUGACUGCGCCGCAGCCAUCGACGCCGCCAUGGUGGGUACUUUGCCGCCGUCCCUACAGUCACAGCCCCCUGCUGCUUCAUCUUCUUUGGCACCGGCGGGGGCGGCGGGAGCAGGAGGGGUGGUAGCAACCACAACUGUGGCUGCAACGUCAUCUGGAGGAGGAGGAGUGGCGUUAGCUGAAGAAGAAGCUUUAAAAAGAAAUACCGAUUGCGUUUACUUUCUCGCUUCUCCGUUAACUUGCAAAAAGGUCUGAUUUCGUUUUUUUUUUUUGGAAUUUAAAUUAUUUGAUUUGUUUAUUUUUUUUCUGUUUAAUUGUACGUGGAUCUUUGUAAUUGAGUUGUUUUGUGGAGUUGGGGUUUGAAUUGGGUUAUUUAUCUGUGGAUCUUGUUACUAUUAGGCUAAUGACUAACACAUAAAAGAAACCCUUGUCAAUAUUGAAAUACCUUUUCAAUUUCAAGAUUUGGGAUAUUGGAAUCUCCUGUUCACAUUUCUGCAAAUUAAUGUGAAUGUGUGGAGUAUUCUGUGGCGUUGUUGCAGGGGUUCUACUUUCUGUGGGUUUUUCUUGCGGGCAUGUAAAAGCUGGUGUGCAUUGUAAAUGUUGGAUACUGAAGGGAAUUCUGUGAUUUUCCUGAUUGGUGAUUGAUGCUGAUGUAGUUUCAGUUACUUCAAGCAAAAAGAUUGCAUCUUUAUGUGUUUAUAUGCAAAUAUCUUGGAAUUCCUGGUUAAUCAAUGUUUAGGAAUUGAAUCUCGAGAAUGUGAUACAGGUGGCAGCUGUCGUUUGGCGAAAAGUGUGUAUCUGUCAUUUGGCGAAAGUGUGUCUGUUCUUUCGUGGCUUCUGUUAUUCUUAUGACUGUCUUGUUUUUGUGUACAUUUUCUUCUUUAGGUGGCAGCUGUCAUUUGGCGAAACACACGUUAGUUUGAAUUGACUUAAUUGAUCUUACAUGAUGAGACGUGGAAAAGUACAUUUUUGCCUAUUUGACCUUUCUGUUUUUGGUAUAGUUGUUUUUUCCUGAAGUUAAGUUUAACUGAGGAUCUGGUUUUCUGGGACAAGAACUCAAAAAGGACGUUUUACAUGUCUAUUACUAAGGUUCUCAUGUGUUUCUUCUUGAGGCGUUCUUUGGGGGCAAGUUCUCAUUUAGGUAGAUUAUUAAAAGUUUAAACAAUUUUUUAUUUUCUUAUAGUGUUCUUGGUGCUUGAUGGUUGUGUGGAAUAAAGAGUGGUUGAAUACUCAAGGACUUGGACAAGUUUCUGUCCUUCUGAUGAAUUGCAUUUCAUUUCUUAUGAUAUUUCUGAGUAAAUUGAUGACUGUUUGUGCAUCUGUUGUUGACAGGGAAGUGAAUGCGAGUACCGCCAUAGUGACAUUGCUAGGGUUAACCCAAGGGAUUGCUGGUAUUGGUUACAUGGGAAUUGCUUGAAUCCAAAGUGUGGCUUCCGGCAUCCUGUAAGUUUCUGCUCUUUUUGACUAUAUAACUGGGUGUUGUUUACAAGAUGCCUUCAAAAGACAACUUUAUCGUUCAUUUCUUUUUCGGCUUAUUUGUUAUGUAUAAAUAUUGUAACUAGUGUGAACUUUGUAUCGGUCUGGUACUAAUAAUGCUUCGUCUUCAGCCUCUUGAUGGAUUACUGGGGACACAGAUGCCAAAUCCUGUGGUAACUUCUGUACCUGCUAGUCAGCCAGCUACAACACCAGCAGCAUCUGUCUCUUAUGCAUCCGGUAAACAAGGAGUGCCUUGUGUAUUUUUUCAGAAAGGGAUUUGUUUGAAAGGUGAUUGGUGCCCAUUCUUGCACGCAUCCAAUUCAGCCAACAAUAAGCAGAGUCAAGCAGCUAUCCCUGCUUCAGAACCUCCAGUAUUUAAGAAGACUUUUGGCAGUCUGGAGAAGGGCACUCAGGAUAAGAAAAUUACUCAAACAAGUGUCCUGAAGUCUGCAGAGUUGACUACUCAGGCAAAACCAAUACUUAAAUUUGAGUCUGCUCCUGCAAAGAAGGAAACUAAUAACAGUAAGCGUUUGCCACCAUCAGGUGUUGACAAUGAGCUUCGGGGAUAUAGGCCUGUGGAUACUGCUAACAAUGGAAACCGAGUCAGCUUGACCACUCGUGUGCAGCAGCAGCCGCCGCCUUUGCAAGUAAACGAUCAUACUACUACGUUGAAUAAUAAGGAUUUAGAAGAACCGUCAAGGGAGCCUUCCCCUGGUUUUGAUGUUCUGGUGGAUAAUGAGCUAGGAGAUUCUGAUUAUUACCAUACUGAAGAUCAUUUUGGAAGAUCAAGGGAUCACGAGGAAAUGAAUGAAUAUUAUGAUGGUCGCUCUGGUGAUUAUGGUUCAUUAUUAGAUGCUGACCAAGAUAUAUAUCGUGAUUCACGUGGUUAUGAUUCAUAUGAGCAGCUUCAGGGCCAGUAUGGCUGGGAGCAGCGUAGAUCCUCAUCAGAAAGGAUGUCUGGGGUUUUAGCUUAUCCAGAACAGAGGCGAUAUGGUAUGGCUGAUAGCCCAGAUCAAAUUGAUGAAUCGGAUUUGAGACAUCAUUUGUCAAAGCAUAGAAGAGUCAAUGGCUUAAGGUCCGUCAUUAAUCAUGACUAUCCCCAUGAAAGACCUGAUGAGCGAGGUCACCAGGGCUCUAGAAGGGACCUGCGCCAAGAUCGUGACAGACGGGAUAGCUCUCUUAGCAGUCGCCUCCGAGGAAGAAUAAAGAUUCCUGGGGCGUCAUCUUCACCAACUGAUGUAAGUGAUCUGCGGUCUGAUAGGGAGACAGAAAGGAGAAGGGAGCGCAGUGGAUUAUCUCCAGGGGGAUCACAGGUUCCUUCUCGGCUUCGAGACAGGAUAAAGGAAAAAGUACAAGAGGAUUUCAAUAAUGAUGGAAGAAACAAUAGAGGUCUGCGCAUGAGAACAGACAUGAUAAGUGACAACAAUAUUGAUUUUGCUGCUCCAAAAAGUCUGGCGGAGCUGAAAAGUAGCAGCAAAAGUGCUGAUGGAAGUGAUCAGCAAUCAAUGGGAAAAAGGAAGUACUCAAAGAUUGACUAUCAACAGCAAGCUGGAGAGGAUCUCUCAUUUGAAGGGCCAAAGCCCCUAGAAGAGAUUUUGAAGCGAAAAAGAAAAAGUGAUUCAGUGGUGUCUGGAAGUGGCAUGACUUCUCAAUAUGCUGAAGACAACAGUCAAAGAAAAGCAGAUGAAAGCUCAAAACAGGUAGUUCAUUUCUCUCCAUCUCAGAAUGACUCCAGCCUCCCUCAUAAAGAGAAUGAAGAAUACAAAUUGGCAUCUGGUGUCAAGAGUGUCUCAGAAGGUGCCCAGUCAGGUGACAGUCAGUCGCUGUCCCAUGGUAAAAAUGAAGGAGAAGUUGAAGAAGGAAUGAUUGUUGAUGAUGCUACCAAGGUCCGAGAGCCUGAAGCAUAUGAUCAUGGUGAUGAAGACUUUGAUUAUGAGCAGGGGGAUGGGGACAAUUAUAACGUAGAUGAAGGAGAAAAUGGAG